UGACUGGUGAGAAGUUAGUGACCCCGCACACUUCUGGCCAAAUAUCUUUUGCAGGAAGACGUCUCAUGAUGGUAAGUAAUUAACUAUAAAUUAUUUCAUUAUUAUUUUAAUUUUAUUUAUUGCUAGAAUUAAUUAAAUAUUUUUGACUAAUAAUGUUUAUUAAUUGGUAGGCCGAGGAGAACGGAAGAGAACUACCUCCAAUGACGAAGCUCUUCGAGACCACUCACCGGAAGAAGGACGGGAGCUUUGUCGACGCUCGAGGAGAUCUACAAUGCCGCUAUGCAGCGGAUCGCCGAGCGGGAGACCCAGGCCACACCUGACGGUACUAUCCAAGUACCGUUGACCGUCGCUGAGCAAGACCAGAUUUUCGAAGAGGUAUGAUAUCUAUUUCAAUUUUUUAAAAAUUUAUUAUAUUUAUAAUUACUUAAUAAAUAAUUAACGUUUUUAUUUUCCAUUUGUAAGUUGCUCCGAAGAAGAAGGGUCGAACCUUAGGGAUGGGCUCUAUUAGAGACUGUCCUGCCGCCACGGCUUCCGGAUUCCGCUCGCAGGAUCCGCAGCUUCGUCAGGAGCUUGCUACGGCCAAUGCUGAGAUCACCAGUCUCAGGCAUGAGCAAGUGGCCCAGAAGCAGGAGCUCACCGAGAUACAUGAUCUCUUCGACAUCAUUGCGGAAGCGGUUCCGCAGUUGACCACUGCAAUCCGAGCGAGGCAACAGCGAGCACGGAGGGUUUUUGAGACCGGUGGUAGUUCCGGUACUGGACCAUCGGACCACCAGACGCAGGGCGGUCAGUCUUCGGCUCCGGUCUCAGCAGCGACAGGCGGUCAGACUUCGGCUCCGGUAGUGCAGACGGGAAAAGUCGGCCUAGCAGCGACGGGCGGCCAAGACGGAGAGCCUCCUCGUGACGUCGAUCUCAACCUCGACGAUUACAACAUCAUUGUAUAGAUUAGGUUUUUUUGUAAAAAACAAUUUGUAUAAUUUUUUUUUUAUUUAUAAAUUAUUUUUGAAUUUAAAUUGAAAUUUAAAUUCAAAUUUUUUCUAUUUUUAAUUUUUUGAUUAUUUUAAAAAUUCAUUAAUUAAAUUAAAAUCGAAUUAAAUAAUUAAUUUAUAAAUCGACGUAAAUUCGUCGUAAAUUUAUGUCGAUUUAACGUCGAAUAUUUAACGACGAAUUUACGACGAAUAAGUUUACGUCGAUUUAACAUCGACAAUUAAAAAUUUAGUUUCCCUUAAUUGAAAUUGUUCGUCUCCUAAACGUUGUAAAAUCGAUGUAAUUUUACAUCGAUUUUACGUCGUUUUUAUGAUGGAAUUUUUUCGUUGUACAUCCGUUGGAAAAUUUACGACGCAUUUUCGACGAAUAGUUCCCGACGAUUUUACGACGAUUUUCCGGAGUUGGUAAUUUUACGACAAUUUUACGACAAUUUCGGUUUUACGACGAUCGUUUUACGACGAUUUUUAAUUCGUCGUUAAUUCGACGUAAAUGCUCUUUUACGUCGAUUUUACGUCGAUAUCUGCCGACGUAAAAGCCAAUCUUUCUUGUAGUGAUUUUCUUUAUGGAGUGAAUUUGAAAGUCGUGUUUUUAGGAUAUAAAUACAAGCUUUAAGGAUUGUAAUUGAUUAUUCACAUAUUUAAUAAAAAAAAACCCUAAACGGAUAUUUAUACCUUAAUUGCAAUUUUCUUUCUUUUAUUAUUGCUUUAUUCGGUUUGAUUCACAACAUAAACAAGUAACAUUUGGUCGCAGCUUCGGUCGCAUUCACUAGCAAUUAUCAAAUGAAGAUGGCCUUUCUCUUAUAUAUUGAUAUAAUAAUGAAUCUGUUACAUAUUCUUCUUACUCAAGAUCACUAGUUAGUGAAGUGUUACGUGUCUGUUUAUAUUUUCUUUCCACAAAUAUAAAUUCCUUGGCAGCCUAUUUAUAACUAGUUUUUUAUUUUCUCCAACCUUAAGAGUGGAAUAAUGAAAUAACACUGUUAAGCAAAUGUCGCAAAACCGAAAGAGAAUAACAUAAUAAACUAAAGACGAUCUUAUUAUGGAAACAACGAAGCGAUUACAACACAGGCCAUUACGAUAUGAAACUUUAUUCCCAUACUUUUCAUUUCUUAAUCCAUCAUGCCCCUUAAGAACACUUGGGGCACUUACACAUACACAUAUAAGUGUAUAUAUAGAUCCAACCAUGCAUUAUAUAGUUUUAGUGACCGGGUUGAGUCUGAACAGCUUCUCCGGCAUAAGAACAACACCUUGAGCAGCCACGGUAACCUCUGUAGCAGCAACCGUGACGGCAAUAACCUCCUCCACGGCCUCCUCCGUUGUAUCCUCCUCCGCGGUGUCCUCCUCCGUUGUAACCUCCUCCUCCGUUGUAUCCUCCUCCGUUGUGUCCUCCUCCAUUGUAUCCUCCUCCUCCGUGGUGUCCUCCUCCGUUGUAACCUCCUCCUCCGUUGUAGCCACCACCAUAUCCAUCGGGUUUCACAUUUUCCUCACUUUCUGACUUCGCUGUAGCUGUCAAAAAUAAUACAUUUCAAAGAUAUUAUUAGCACGUUCAAAUUUGCAUUCCUCACCCAGAAUUUAGAACUAUUUUUCUAUUUGCAAAAAAUAUUAAGAGAUAUAAGUUUGCAUCUCUAGCUAGUUUGUUUCAAAACAUUUACAACAUAAGAUAUACGUUCUAAACAUUUUUGCUCUAAAUGUUUGAGAUGAUCCCGAUACAUAUAAUAAGAAUUCAACAUCAUACUUAAGUGUAUUUUGAUUUUCGUAAGUCUCCAGCCUUAUAACAAACUAAAUAGUUGAAUGAAUCUAUCACCCAAUGGAAGAAGUAGACAGAAACAUAAAAAAUAAUGUUACAUACCCGACUGCCUUUCGGAUGCCGCUGCCCUUUCUGAGACGACGAAAAGAAGUGCAAAGAGACCCAACAGAAUUAAAGCCCUCGAAGCCAUUUUCUUCAACUGUUCAACUCUUUGUUUUAGAACGUGUGAUGAAUAAAAAUGUCACCAUGUAUGCCUCUAUUUAAAGAAAACGAGGAGGAGGGAAUGAGAAGAGUAAAAAAAAACCUAAUCCCUAGUCCAAUAAAAAUAACUCAAAAGAAAAGUUAAGAAAUUUAAUAAUUUAUGACAAUAAAAAUAGUAAGAAGAAGAUAAGUAUCGAUUGCAUAGGGCCCAUUUAUGGUUGGUUGUUGGAAUCAUUGUAAAUAAUUUUGAAACUCCUUAAAUGGCAACUCUCCACUAGUCUUUUAGAUGUUUCUAUAAAACGUCUCAAACACAGCGCAUUCACACGUAUAUAGUCAUAGACAUAUUAAAAAAUAUUAUUGGAUUAUUUCGAGAAUAAUAUUCAUUAUUGGAGAGUUGGAGACUUGGACUAUUGUUUAUGAAUCGUCCUUUACAAUCUCAACCGACAGAUUUUACGCAGAAGGAUAUAGACAAAUCAUAUGGACUUAAAAUCAGUAAGUCAUAUAGGAGCGAUACGUAGUAGUUAAUAAGGACAGACGCAAAAUAUUAAGUCAUAUAGGAGCGUACGUAGUAGUUAAUAAGGGCAGACGCAAAAUAUUGCACGGCUAUAUUGUUGGGAUAUCAAUCCAAGUUUCACAUCUAAAAUUUAAACUAAUGUACUCAAAUAUAUAAGUAAAAUGUUUAAUAGUUUAGUAUAAAAUUUUUUGGAAGAAAUUUAAAAACAAAUCCGUGCAUGCUUUGUCAUUUGAAUCCAAAGUGGACAAUAUCAUACUAAUAGAGAAUUGGACAUGGAUUUGAAAAGUUCAACAAUUGGUAUCAGAACCAGGUUCUGGAAAAAAUGGAUCUGGACAAAUGGGUGUGGACUGUGUGUUCGGUGUGGGAGGGAGAGCCCUCAAAGUAACCUUGCGAUUAGGGUGCUGGUGCUUUGUAUCAAAAGUCUUCCGAUUGGGCUUUUCAAGCUCAUGUCCAACUCCCUAUUAGUAUGAUAUUGUCUGCUUUGGGCCCAAAUGACAAAGCCCGCACAGAUUUAUUUUUGGAUUCGGGUUUGAGUGGUCCUUAGCUAGAGGAGAGGAUUGUUGGGAUAUCAAUCCAAGUCCCACAUCCAAAGUUUAGACCAAUAUGGUCUAGUAUAUAAGCAAGAUGUCCAAUAGUUUAGUAUGAGACCUUUUGAGAAGGAAUCCAAAAACAAAUUCGUGCGGGCUUUGCCAUUUAGGCCAAAACGGACAAUAUCAUACUAAUAAGGAGUUGGACUGGGCUUGAAAAACCCAAUAUGAAGACUUUCGAUACAAGGCACCAGCACCCCAAUCGCAAGGUUACCUUGAGGGCUCUCCCUCCCACACCGAACACACAGUCCACACCCACUUCUCUAGUCUACCUUUUCCAGAACCUGACUCUGAUACCAAUUGUUAGAUUUUCAAGUCCUUGUCCAACUCUCUAUUAGUAUGAUAUUGUCUGCUUUGAGUCCAAGUAGAAAAGCCCGCACGUAUUUGUUUUUGAAUUCCUUUCCAAAAGGCCUCAUACUAAACUAUUGGAUAUCUUUAUGUACUAGACCAUGUUGGUCUUUACUUCGGAUGUGAGACUUGGAUUGAUAUCCCAACACUUUUUAACAGUUGCGAAAAGGUUAGGAGAAGAGUUUCGUUGGUGCGUACGGUGAUACAAGAUGGGUGCCAAGUUUCGCAGGAGGUUGGGAGGCCACGGGUUUGUGUGAUCCUUGGCUUAAGGGGAGAAUUAUUGGGAUAUCAAUCCAAACCUCAUAUCUGAAAUUUAGAGCAAUAUGGUCUAGAAUAUAAGCAAGAUGUCCAAUAGUUUAGUAUAGGGCAUUGUGGAUAAGAAUCCAAAACAAAUCCAUGCGGGGUUAGCCAUUUAGACUCAAAGCAGAUAAUAUCAUACUAAUAGAAAGUUAGACAUGGGCUUGAAAAGCCCAACAUAUAUUAAUCACAGCUAUUCUAAUGGAAAAUUUUUUUAAUGAAAUUAUCUAUUCAAGUCAUUUAAGCGUAAGGCUUGAUAUUCAGUAAAUGAGUUGAGAAUUAGUUAAUAAUAUUAAUAAAGGUCAUUGAGUGUGGACAUGUUAGUUACUUUCCUGCUACUUGCAUUUGACUUAAGAGUGAAAUUCAUAAGAUUGUACAAACAAAUUGUCUAACACAUGAGACUUGUGAUACCAAGAACAAUACAUGCACACAAUAAGCCAUGGUAGCUCAAUUAUUCGUUUGGAAUGUAAAACAUCACAUACAUGUCUAAUUCAAGUUUUACUUGAUAUAAAAAUUAAACGGAUGAUAUAAAGGAUCUAAGAACACCUCCAUUAGUGAGAUACAUCAAUAUAAUAUUAAUACUGCAUUUAAAAUAUACUUUAACUUUGCAAUUUUAAGUUUUCUAAAAAACAUUCAUGAAAAGAUAUAUGUUACAUUAGUCUCUCAUAUGGUUUACAAAUGAUAAUCCAUUCUCAUUCCCCAUUCUUUCUUUAAUAUGAGAAAUCCAGUGAAAUAUUCUCAAUAGAGAUGUUUUAAAGCCUCUAAUUAAUUAGCAUGAAUAUUUUACUUAUUAAAAAUGUAUAAUUUCAAGCUUGUGACUCAUCAAGGAGAACAUCCAAAACGACUUAAUCAUAAGUACGAGUUGGGAUUAAGCAAGAAUUGGGAACUGGACAGAGAGCAAAAAAUUAGAAAAUACGGAACACAAAUAGUAAUAGUUAAUGGUAAUAGUUAAAGGUAUCAACUUAAUCAUAAGGACGAGGGUGAUCUUUGUCUUACACAUAAUUCUUUUCCCCCUUAUUUCCUCUUAGUUUGGUUGUAAGGAUUAUCUAGAGGGUUGUAGCCUGUAGGAUAUAUGAUCUAGAGAUUGUGAAAGAUCUCUCGAAAAUUCUCAAGAAUUAGUCUACAAAAUAAAUUCCUAAGAAUCCUUCCCCAAUCCAAAGGAUCACGCUAGCAAUCCCCAAACCUCCGCUUUUGUCACUUAUCUUACCCUAGAUGGAUCUUCAAUACAGAUCGUUUUAUCCAUUUGAUCAAUACCAUACAAUUUAGGUGUCUUUGUAUAACAAGGCGUAGUAUAUCCCUUAUUUGGUAUUCACGCAACACAAUGAAACACAUGACUAUAUCUUUGUGUUUUUCCACUCAUUUUCGAAUUCUUUCUCUUUGUGUUAGAUUUAUUUUUGAGAGGCUGUCUCUUUUUUUUGGACAAAAGAAUAGAUACCUACAACUGUUUUAUAACAUAAACAAUAUCUUGCAGUCCGCCGCGUUGAAUGUAUGAAAUAGAGAAAGCUAAAACCUUCCUUACACAUGUUGAAUUCCUCCAUGCGGUAUAAACAUCAUCGUCACCAACUCGAAAUAGUCUGUAACAAAAGAUGUUGUCUUCUGAUAUUCGAUUAUACAGUGCAUGAUCCAAAUGAAUGCUUCUACUUCAACGUGCAAAGGAAAGAUUUUCUUGUAGACUUUUGCUCCCAUUAAUAUCAUUCAAUAUAUUCUUGGAAGCAAUGCCAUCCUAGUCUGGAAAAAUUGUCGGUUUAGUUUUCUUGUAAGAGCAGUCUAUGUAGCAUCAAAUAAUUUAACCAAAUUUCCUUGGGUCAACGAUCUAUUUUUUUAUGGGAAUUAUCUAUAGCAUGAGAUGUCUCCCGACCUAUAUAUGCCUUCUUUCUAUAUCUCCACGAAAUCGGGUUAAGACCUAUUUGAGAGAUUAAUAUUUUUAAGUUUGUUUUUGUGGGGAUAUACACAGAGAAAAUAAUUUAAUGUACGUUAACAUCUGAUGAUGGCUGAUGCUACAGUAAAAAUUCUAUAUAUUAAUAAUGUUGGAACUUUAAAAUUUUAUUAAUUUAGCAAAUUAUUAAUUUAUAAAGAAAUUAAUUUAACCAAAAUUUAAAUUUAAAACCAAAUAAUUAAUUGAGUUUAUUAAUUUAUCAAAUAUUAAUUUAUAGAAUUUCUGUUGUAUAUAUAUGAUAGUUCUCGUGAUUCUUUCUAUCCUUUCUAAGAAAGAGAAGUUAUCAAAUACAUUUAAUGGUGGAUACGUGGAGUCUCGGUCAGGAUUGUUGAUCACCACACGUGAUAGUGAAAUUGUAAUUUGGUAAUAAUAAGGGGAAAUGUUCAGCUAAAAAAAUUAAAUGAAACUCAGACCAUGCAAGUGUUGGAACCUUACUCAAUGAAUUGAUUGCUUGUUUCGAUCCAAAAUUCAAAAAGCAAUAACUAUAGCUGAUGCUGACUAUUGAGAAGAAAGUUCUAAAUUGGCAACUCAAACUAACCACAUGAUAGUAUGAUACAUAAUGACAUUCUUUCAAUUUUAUAGCCUUUUCUAUCAAAUUGAAAAUAUGGAAAACCAAAUUAUAUUUUUAAUAUUUAAAACAAGAUACUAGCUAUUCUAUAACUUUAGUAUACCCAGGUAAAGAAAAUAAGAUUUAGAUUCUAUAUUGAAUAAGAAUCAGUCUAAUUAUGACUCAUAUAGUUAGAUUUCAAUUAAAACUCUUAUUAGUUAUUCAGAAAUUAUGUUUUAUAAUUUGUAAGUAAGAAAAUUUAAAAUUAAUCUAUAUUAAUCAUAAAUAACCCUCUUAAAUAAAUAAGAGGUUAUAAGACAAUAAUUUACAUUUUUCAAUUUGUAGUUUCUAUUUAUUUCUGUAUUUUACUUUUUAUUUUAUUUUAUUAGUUUCUUUUUUUGAACCAAAAAUUAUUUUGUUUUAUAUUUAAUUUUUUAAUAUUUAAAUAUAAAUAACUAAAAUUUAAAAACUUAAAUUAUUAUAUUAACAUAUGUUACAAUCUAAACUAAUAAUGACACAUAUAAUAUCUGUAAAAAGUUAUAAUUAUUCUAUGUGUCAUGCUAACGUAGAUCUUACCAAGUAGGAUUGUAACACUAGAUAGAUUCAACUCUGCAUAAUACGUAAAAAAUAAUAAAAUAUUUAGAUGAUCUGGUCAUCGAUCUAGCAAACCACCACAAGGUGAUCUCAAUGCCCAUAGACGAUCCAACCGAGCCAUCCGAAGCUGAUUGGAGCCUUGUUGAAGCUGUAUCGGUGAAACCAAAUACCAAAUCAACUGAGGGAAGGCAUUUUUACCAACCAACCAACCCCAGUGAAGACUGAUCAAGCAAAAACACUUUUGACUCAAACCAGAACUGAAGAUAACCGAGACAUUCCACCUAAUAGCCAAGGAGCGGUUAUACCAUCACCAUCUUUGACCAAACCGGUGAUUCAUGAUCCAAGAACCAAUAUUCAUCGACCAACCGACCAUAAGGAGUAUUCUGUACGAGAUAUUUCAUGUCUUAACCAAGCUAGAAGUAAAGAUAACCGGAGCCUCACCAACCGGCUUGAUUACAAACCAGAUUUUACCCGAGAAGAGACUUGGGCUGAUUUCUUAGAGAUCAAACUCAAUCACCAAGAACUAAUAUCAAACCUGAUUUGCUCUGUGUUCUUGACCCAUUAAGGAAUCACGGUGAAUUGGAAUCAGUCCAACUUACCCGAUUGGAAAUAUGCACCUUAAUUGAAGCAUUCCGACCAAGCCGGGAGGAAUUAAGCUGCGAAAUGACUUGUUCUGGAAUCUGGGUUCAUCAAGGAAUCCGGGAUAGUUGGAAUCACACCAAGUCCGGUUUUCAUUUGGGAGAUACUCCAUUUCUAAACCGACCGAUGGUUUCCCAGCUUGCCUUAUUUGAAACCCUAUGGGUUUAGGAGACACUAGACGUAUCAGUGGCAUCCAGGAGACUGUGCUAUUUCCAGAAGUUCCCUAAAAUACUCUAGAGUGCACCCGUACGCCUUGGAUCAGGCGGAUCCAUCUGUACCUUCAAUUGAACUAACUAGGGCCGAUUAUAGAAACUACGAAGACCGACCAGUUCAAUUAUGAGCAAACCAAGAUAUCACGACCAGAAGAGAUUCUUAGACAAUUAAGGAGCUUAAAAACACCUUCCCAUGCACCAGAAACCACAGGAUCAGACGGAUCUUCUUGCAAGUCCACUUUCCUUAUGUAGCUGCGUUCACAUUAGGAGCCAUAACUUUCCAACGGCUCUUUGUCUUUAAGUGCUACGAUAUGGACAACUUUUUUGGAGAUAAGAAUGUUCCAGAAAUUCUCACUAAUCCUCUUAAACCUUACGGAUACAAAGGCGUCAUCACAAUUGCCUUAGUUGCCGAGACCCUCCAUUAAGAGCCAACAGCUAGUUUUUGAUAUAUUUUUGAUUUGUUCCUUUACUCUAGAUUUUUAGACCGUUUGUAAUUAAGCUUGUAGGAGCUCUAUACAAGCUCAGCUCAGGUAAUUUUUACAAUUCACCUUUAAAUCCAGAUUAAUACAAAGUAUUCCUUUUUCUUUCAAAGUUGUGUCUUUGCAAAGACUUGUUCUUUUCUUUAGAAUUAAGUGUGAGAUUCACUUAGCUCUAUAGAAGCUGCGAAAUUAGUUUGUUUAUGAGAUUCAAACAAACUAUUUCGUCGACAUAUUGAGAGAGUCAAUCAACCCCCAUCGAUUGAGAGUCAAUCACCCUAUCAUCAUCUUUAUCUCGACUUCAUUCCACCUUCCGCAGAAUAAGUUUGGAAUAUCUUCAUCAUUAAGUGAUCAUAAGUUGGAGUGAUUUCAAUCUUGUAUCAAUUAAUAAUGACACAUGUAAUGAUAUAGAAAGUUAUAAUUAUCCUACGUGUCAUGCUAGCGUAGAUCUUACCAAGUAGGGUUGUAACACUAGAUAGAUUCGGCUCUGCAUAAUAUGCAGAAAAAUAAUAAAAUAUUUAGGUUUUCAAUUUUUAUAAUCUGCAUAAUUAUGACUUGUACAGUUUGAUAUAUACUAUUAUUUGCGAGGUCAAAAAUCUGAUGUGUCAUCAUCACAGUGAUUGUCUUAUGUGUCAUUAAUAAAAAACAAUUAUGUGUUGUUUUAAUUUGUUUUGAUAGGUCAAUCAUUAGUCCUACGUGUACAUAUCCAUGACAUGGUUUUUUUUCUUAAUUAUGGGCCAAAGAUUUUGCUAAUGGGCCACCGAUCUUAAAGUUUGUCCUAGCCACCGAUGUAAAAGUCGGUACUAACCUAAACCCUAGCGUAUCCAUCGUGCUAGAUAUACCCAUUUCGGUUUUCAUAUUUUCUUACAUAUAAUAUCUGUCUACUAAAAAAAAAAUUGUUCACCUCUUUUUUUAAAAAAAAACUAUCAUAGCAUUUAAAAAAAACGUCCACCUCUUUUUUAAAAAAAGGAUCAUAUCAUUUUUUAUAUACUCCAUCUCUUUUUUUUAAACAAUCUCUAUGAUUAUUUAUGCGUAUUUCUAAUGAAAAUAACCUACUAUUUUUUGUAUAAUUGAUAUUUUGAUGGUUCUAUAGUUCAUCUCUCGCCUUACAAUGGAAUCGUCAGGUAAAUAUACAUUUUUGAUUUUAUCUUAGUUCGUGCUUUUAAUGUUUUUUCAGAUUCUAGAAGUUUUUCUUUUGUAAAUCCACGGCGUAAUAGUUAUUUGCUUCAAAACUUUUAUGAAUUUUCUGUAGCGAUUAGCAAUCGUCCCUUUCAUGAUCCUCAGAUUUUCUAUAUCAUCUGCCGCCAUCUCAAAUCGUUUUUCCACGAGAUGAAGAUUCUUCUGCCAGUGUUAACAAUGAUAAAUUUAUCGGUUGGUCGAAGUGUAAUCAGGACUAUCCAGAAUCCAGAUCGUUAUGUAUUCUGAAUUUCUGACACGUUGGAUUUGAGAUUGUUAAAAACAUCAUGGCAUCCCCGUCUCUGCGGAAUCUCCACACCGAGUAUUAUAUCCAAUUGUAACCCCAACACUGGUACUGCUUAAGGGUUUUAUUGCAUGUCGUUUGCAGUCCAUGUUCUUAUAUUGAUAUAAGAACAAAUAAAUGGUGUUGUCCACCCUACUUUCAAAGAUGCAUGUUAUGUUUUAGGUUAAAUUCACGAUGAUACUGAGAAUGUUUAAGCUUUCUAUAAGGCAAGUCAAUGAGGUUCCCGCUUCUCUCUCUUCAAAUGAGGUUCACUACUUUGUUACAUCCAGGUUCUAUGAUGAAUCACUUUUGUGUAUGGAGAUCCAUUCAAUGUUUUUUAGUAUAAGUUUUGUCAAUUUUUUGCAUUGUCUUUGAUUUUCUUUUCUUUCAUUAUAUUAUUUUAACAAUUUCUUAGAUUUUUUAUUCUGUUCUGCCCGGUUUCGGUUGAGAGGUUUACUAUUUGAGAUUUUUGUUGGACGUUGUUAGGUAUUUUUAUUGGACGUUGUUAGGUAUUUUUAUUGGAAGUUGUUAGUCUUGGUGCUCAUGCUUUAUAUAUAGAUGAUAUCCAGUAGCUAAAGAUUUGUGUACUUAGUGGUUCGUUUGUUCGGUUGGUAAUUUUUUGUUUGGGUUUUUGAAUUUGGUUUUGUAUUAUUUUUUCAGUCGGUUAGAUUGAUAUUUGGUGCGUGUUGGUUAUAUAUUUUGUGGUUUAAUGAUUACACUAUUAUAUAUAUAUAUACAUAUAUAUAUAGUUGUAGUGUGGUUUUUAGACAAAAUUCUCUUUUUUCAAUUUUUGCGAUAGUUUAUUUUUCAAGAAUGUCACAUAUUUAUUCAUUGAGCUUUUGUGGUGUUUAUGAUUUCUAAUAUGUCUACGGUUUUGUCAGAUAUGAUUGUAAUUAUUUACCUAAGCUCUUAAAAUUAUUAUUUAUUAUAUAAUCUAUACAUAUAUUGUGAUCAAAGUAAAGAAUGUAUAUCCUAGGGUUAUUUAACUAUGAUCUGAAAUUUAGUAUUUAUUAUAUAUAAUCUAAUAAGGAGAUGAAGACGACCAAUGAAGUCGGAAGGUGAAGAUGAUAAAAAUAUAGAAGACAAAGUAAAAUAAAAAAAUGAAAAAAAAGAAGUAGAAGAAGAGGAGAAAAAAAGAUAAAUCAAAAUAUAAAGAAGAAGCUGUAGUUGAUGAUAAAAACUAAAGAAAAAUAUGAACAUAAAUUUGAAUAAAACCAUAGAGAAAAAGAAGAAGAUGAGAACACAGAAUAGUGAAGAAGAAUAUUGAUAAGAAAAAAGAAAUUUGGCUUUGAAUAAGAAAACCAGAAGAAAUAAAUGAAAGAUGUAGAAACAAAGUAAAGACGAGGAAAUGGGAAAAUGAGUAGGUGUAGAUGAAAAAAAAAAGAUGAAAACACUAGAAGAAGAUAAAUUUGACAAAGACCAAAGAGGAAUAAGAAGUAAAGAAUAAAGAAGGCUAAUAAAAAUCAAAAAAGAAAGAAGAACAAGAAGAAAAAGAAGAAAAAGAAGAGCUGAGAAAUAUAACGAUGAUGAAGAAGAAGUCAAAACGAUGAUGAAGAUGAAAGAAAAUUAUGAAAAAUAAGAAAAUCGAAAGAUAUAUAAGACGAAGAAGAAAGUACAAGUCAAAGAUGAUGAAUAAGAAGGAAAAUAUGAAGAAGAAGAAGACUUUGGGACAGAAAAAAAAAACAAUGUCUUUAAAUUAUAUAUUAGAGAAUGAAGAAGAAAGACAUAUAAAAACCAAAAAAAUAAAAGAAUAAGGAAAAUACAAAGAAAAAAAAAACCAAAAGAUAAAAAGUAGAAAAAAGAGUAGAACAAAAUAGAAGAGCAAGAAGAAGGAGACAAGUCUGAAGUGGGAAUUGAAAUAGAAGUUGAAGACGAUGAAGAAGAGGAAAGAAAACAUAAGAAAUAAGAAAAUUGAAGUCAAUGAUAAAGAAGAAGUAAAAGACGAAGAAGAAGACUGAAAAAAAGAAAAAUAAAAAUCAUAAUAAGAAAAAUUAUGACAAGACGAAAUGUUGACAACUAAAAAUGGGAAGAGGAUGACGAAUUUAGAGAGAGAGAGAGAGAGAGAGAGAGAGAGAGAGAGAGAGAGAGAGAGAGAAAUUGUGGUAAUGCUUUCAGGGACAUGUAGAUGGAGAGAGAGAGACAGUGAGUGAGAGAAAUAGAGAGAGAGAGAGAGUAAGAGAAAUGAGAAAGAGAGAGUUAAACAUUUCAAGUACAUGACAUUAAAUCUAUGUUAGUUCGUCUUUUCUGUGUUUCUAUUUUUUUUUAUAUCUGAGACACUUCUUACUUUAAAUGUAGUUGUCUAAAUCGUAGAUAUAUACAACUUAAGACGAGGGAAGAAGAGAGAGAGAGUGAGAGAGAAAUACUGAAACAGAGGGAGGGUAAGAGAGAGAAUGAUAGGGAGGGACGCAUGGAGGGGGAGAGAAAGUUAAAGUUUUCAGGUAUAUGUAUUUGAUUAAUAUAAAAGACGAAGAAAAACAAGAAGAAUAUGAAGUCAGAGAGAUCAAAGAAGACGAAGGUGAUGAUGAAGAAGAAGAAUUCGAAGUAGAAGAGGAAGAAGUUGCGAAUAAGAUGUGGAAAACAUGAAGAAGAAGAAGACGUGAUUAAAAAAAAAAAACUAAAGAAUAAGAAGUAAGAAAAGACAUAUAGAAUGAAGAAGAAAUAAAAGAAAAUGAAAAGAAAGUAAGAAUAUGCGAGAGUAGAAUGAGAGAUAAAGGUGGAAAACUAUGAAUAAAGAUAAGGAAAAGACAAUAAAGAAGAAAAAUCAAAAGAUAAAUAAGAGGAAAAAAAUGAUGAAAAGCGAUUAUGUGGAGUGAUAACUAUGAGUUUUCAAGACUCUUUGUAGAGGUUAUCAAUCCCUUGUCUUGUAGUACAAGGGGUUUAUCAAUCCAAGAAUGUGGUGAUAGACACUAAGCUAUGUAAUCAGGUUCUUAAUUCAAGCAAACAAGAGUGGUUUGGUUAACUAGAGACAACUACAAACUUAAACAGGAUUAAAGACUAAUGAAAUGAUUAAACAAGAACUAAACAAUGAGAAAUGAUGAGAAUGUAUGAAUGAUGAUGAGAAAAGUCUUAGACAUGAUAGUGGAUUAGGGUGCCUUCAGUGAUAAACUAAUGAGCUAAUGAAUCAUAUGAUCAAGCAAACCAUUCAACAUAAACAUCUUUAAUUAAGUUAAUCCUCUCAUGAAGGUAUUAACUCCUAUGCUAAAACAGUUUCUAACCCAAUCAUCAUCAGUGAAACAUGAGUUAACAAGCAUUAAGAAUCAGUUUAAUCUGUCAUUUAAGCAUAUAGACAAUCAUUCCCAUGAUGAAUAACACUUAAACCUAUAACAACCUUGGUUCAAACAUUUCAUCAAACACUUUUGAUGCAUGAAAUGCCCAGAAUCUAGACCACAUAUGAUUUGUAUGGAUCUAGCAUAGAGAACAAGUUGUAGAGAAUGGAAUAUGCAUGAUCUAACCCCUAAGCUCACUAAUCUACCACUUAAACACCCUAAUCUACAUAUCUAAGACCUUAAUAUGGAGAUUACUCACUAAUCAUGAUCAACACACUAGAUCCUUUGCAAGAUGUGUUGUUAAUCAUGAUUAGAAGUGUAUAGAUGGAGAGAUAGAUGAUAGAUUUUAGAAGAAAGCAGCUUUAAACACAAAGAUCUCUUAAACUCUCUUGAUUAAACACUCAAUAAUCAAUAUUUCUCUUCUUAAUGGAGUCUUUUCACAAAAGAGGCAAGAGACAAAAGGAAUAAAGCUUAGUCUUCUAAAAACCCUACAAAGUAUUUAUAUCUCUCUAAAAAACGAACCGGGUCAGCCCGGAACAAACCGGAUCCUGACCCGGCUUUAAUGGAUAAAGUGGAAAUUCUGCGGGUUGGUCCAGUGUCUCCCAGGUAGCAUGCCCAAGUCGCAGUAGAUGAAGAACUUGUCUUGUGAGACUUAAAUCGCCUUGUCUUAGUCGCACGCCCAAGUAGGAGUGUUUUGCGAGUCUUGCUGCGGCUUAAUCUUCUUCUUCUUCAACUCGCAGGACCAAGGCGGUUUCUGGGGAAUGUACAAACCGUGCGGGUUGGUCUCCAUUACACUCAGGUCGCAGGCUCAAGUCGGAGUAGAUUGAGAGUGAUCGUGCGGCUUGGUUCCAGGCGCGGCCAACUCGCAUGCCUAAGUCGCACGAUUGUGGACUUAGCAAUUUUCUUGCUCGGGAGCCUCAGACCUCAUCCAUUGAUAGCUUACCCGCACUUCUCAACUCGCAGCAUCAAUUUCCAGGCAUUCGUCUUCAGGCCUGCGAGUUAACCAAGUCGCAAGGCUUUCUCGCAGCAUUCAGAGCAGCUUGGACCACUUCGCAUUCCGGAGAGUUUAACUUCUAAGAUACUUGUCCGAAUUGAGUGAUUCCGGUUGAAGAGGACAGAGGACUCAUAUAUCUCCAACUUUGGUGAAGGAAGCUUCGGUGCUUGGGAAGUGGAAGGCUUCCUGGAGAGCUCAUCUUUGCAGUGCAUUUACACGAUCAGAGAGAGGCGUCUAGACAUGUGUCAAUUCCGGAGACCGUAUCUUCCUGCUCAUAGCUCCGAAUUGAAUGAUCUUGGACGUUAUGGAUAGAGGACUCAAAUGUCUCUGAUUCGCAUGAAGGCUCAGGAAACUGAAUCGGCCUGAAAGUGCACUGUCCGUCGCAUUCUUCAGAGCUCAUCGGCUUGGUCCAGAACAGCAGCGAGACAGGGGUUCCUUCCGACGAGCUUAACUUUCUGCUCACGCGUCCGAAUUCCAUGAUUUCACUUGCUAUGGAACCAUGAUCCAAUCGUCUCCAACUUCGAUGAAGCACCCGACAACUGAAUCGGACCGGAAGGUUCCCCGGACAGGCGAUUUCGGAAACGUGUCUGCACCCGGAGAUUUUGGCCGAAAGAUUCAAUAGCCGGUACGCGUUUUGGCCGAUAAAGUCUACCCGCGGUACGCGUUUUGGCCGAGAAAAACCUUUCUGGUGCGCGAGAAUGGCCGAUAACCUCCAAAGACCCAAUUUCACCAUUUUUCAAGCCUUGAUCAUCAUUCCACCUCCUGGAUUCAUCUUUUCAGCUCCAAAUACACCUGAUAAGCACUCAAAACAUGCAAAGACUCAUUGGGACCUAAUGCAUCUCCUAAGUUCUAAAACAAACCCUAAGGACCUAAAAUGCAUGGAAUAAAACAUGAUUUGAAAUGAAUUAUGCAACCUAAAUGAUGCAAAUUAUGAACAUAUCAACUCCCCACACUUGUCCUUUGCUUGUCCUCAAGCAAACAAGAACAAAUGAGAGAGAGAGGUUGAAUGCAUGGGAGUUCACAUUUUCUUUUUGAGAGAAGUGAUCACAAUGAGAAUUCAAAUUCAUGCUCAAUUAUGCAAUGCAAAGCCAUACUCAGAUAUAUAUCAACUCAGCAAGGAAUUUCCACAAGUUCUUCUCUCUCUCAACUCUUACAUUCAUUAAGCUUUUAUCAGGUGAAUCUCAUGAUGCAAUGUUUAAACAAGCUGGCUUGGCUAGGGAGAGGCUAUGAGAUUAAAAUGAUCUCAUUAGUGUUCAAGUGGGUUUAAUGCAGCAAAGGGAUCUCUCUAUGAAUGAUCAAACUUUGGCAGAAUACUAAAGGUAAAAAGCAACCUAUGCAUACAAGGGCAAAGACUCAUCACACCCCACCCUCUACUCAAAGCUUUCUCACUUGCUCACUCUCUCAAGGACCUCACUUUUCACACUUAUUUUCCUCUCACUAGGGGACUUACUUUUCACUUUCACUCUCAAGUCUUGGAGUUCAAACUUUACACAGCUCUUUUUCUUUUGCAACCUCUAGCCUCCUUUUCUUCUUUCUUUUCAAAACAUUUGAGCUCUUUGGCUUCUUUUCUUUUCCUUUUACUUAGAGGCUAGACUCUUUCUUUUCAACACACCAGAGCUCACUUUCUUUAACUCAAAACUCCAAGACUGAUUUCUUUUUCUUUCAUUCCCCUAGCUAUUUCCACUUCCUCUUUUCCACUCAUCUCACCUUUUUCCACUCACCAACAAGUCUUUUCCCCCACACUUAUUCCUCGCCAAAACUCUCAGUUCCUUGAUGUUGGAACACAGCACUCAAUGAGACCUGCCCUUGUCGCUCUAAACCUAACACUUUCUGCUAAGUUUGAUCCAAGGUGGCCUUUCAAUUCACACACAAACAUUGGCUUGAAAGAAAGAUGGGUUCAAGGUGAGGGAACUGAUCCAUGAUGCGGAUUCAGCUACUUGAGCUAAGCAAAAAAGGGGGGGGGGUAAAAACAAUGGUUCUAGCUCAAGUAUGUAUAUCGGUAUCCACAAGCUUUUUCAAACAAUGCAUCACAAGAUAUUUUCAAGUCAAGUUCAAGGUUCCCACUUAAUUAGAGUUGAGUUCAAUUCAAACUUGCUUCUCAGAUUCAGAUCAUUUCAGACUUUGCAAGCACAGAAAAAGAUUCACAAGCAUAUUCAGUUCAAGUUCUCAAAGUGAUGUACUCUCUAGAAAAUCUAUCAUUACUCCCUGCAAGAUGCAACCUACAUGAACAUGCAAUCUAGACUCAAUCCUAAAAAUGAGAAUGCAACUACAUGAUCAUUUUUUUUGUGAAAAUUUUUCAGAUUUUUCAUUUUUUUUGGGUUUUUAUAUGCACUUAGAUGAGACUACAUGAAUAUGCAACUAGAAUGUGACUCAAGACUCAAAGUAUAAAAUAAGAACAGAGAAAACAUGGUUAGUAAAAGAUGAAACUCCUCCCCCACACUUAAAUAACACAGUCCCUUGUGUUAUAAAAGCAUGAGAAAGGAGUGAAAGCAAAGCAAACAAGUAAAAAUGCAAAGAAAAAGAAAAUCUACAUGCAUAUUUACAAGGUUUAGAGUGUUACCUAAGAGCUGUUGAAGUCAGACCCCAAUGAGUAAGAGGGGUUUGAAGUGUGACCGGAUGGUGUCUCCCAAGAAUGAUGGCUUGCUUCAUCAGACCCGUCGUCGAGAUCCACCCAAGUUGUGCCAUAUGUGACCAGGGCUAUGCAGUUCAUGGAACUCUCUCCAACUUCCUCUCUGUUCCUUGGUGAAACUGGUGCUGGAGACCCACCUUUGCAAGGGUUUUCAAGCUUAUUAAUCCUCUUCUUCAUCUCCUUGAUGCACUUGGCCAUCUUGUGGAUGGUUUUGUCUUGGUACUUGCACCAUUGUUGGAGAAUACCAAUCUUUUGUUGAGCUAUGAACCCUGAAGUGCCUGGUUCCUCCCAGUUGUAAUCAUCAAAAUGGUAUCUAUUUCCAACAAAACGUUUUUGAGGUGGAGGCAGAUCAGCAUCUUGAGCACCAGUAGCACUUGUGGUAGCAUCUUCAGCGGUUGCUCUCUUUCCCUUGGAGGCUUCUUCUCUGCAAGCUUGCUUGUAUGUGAGGAUUGGUGGAUCAGUUUGGACAUUGUACAGCUCUUCCUUCAGCAAGAAGAAGUGAAUGUUCCUCUUAACUUGGACUGUGGUGAUGGAGGGAUUGGGCAGGAGAGUUUGUGCUGGCUCACUGAUGAGAGUCUUGAAGUUGUAUACUACCUUGGUACCCACUCUUCCUUGGAGGAAGCCAAUCUUACACAAAUGUGCUUCAUUAAUUAGAUCAAACUUUGCCUUGUUCUCCUUGAAUCUGUACCCCUUGGCUUUCAAAAUCUUUGUUACCACCCAUCCAUGGGCCAGCUUUGCAUCUUGCUUUGUAGAACCCCAAAUGCACUUUUUUUAGAACAUCAAAGACCUUGCUAAUUGAGAGGCAAGGCAAAGUGGGUAUUCAUACUGUUCAUAGGGUUCCCCAUCUUCAUGAGUUGGCAUCAGCUGUUUCAGCCCCACACCAAGAAGCAUCAGAUCGCCUUUGUGAACUCUUCCAUCAUCGAUUUUGAAGUAGAAGCUGUGAGAGAGAAUCUUGUGAACAUAUCUCAGCACUGGAUUCCUUAUCCAAGAGGACUUAGCUGUUCCAGCUAUGUACUUCCCAGAAGCAAUUGAUCUCCAUAGAAGUUGGACCUCAUCUUUUCUGAGAUUGACCUGGUUGGAGAGAAGUUCAUUUCUAGGUGUUAACAACCCAAAAAUCUCAUUCAAUUCUCUGAAUGACACUGAAUAAUCCUUCCCUUUCAUAGUAAACUCCAAAUGUCCAAGCCCAUCUCCUUGAAUAAUUCUUGAAUCCCUUGGGUAGUAAAUGAAAGCUUCAAAAGAAGCCAAGAACUCCUGAGAUUCCUCUUCAUAAGCGAUCUCUCUCAUCUCCAAAAGUGACUCAACACCCAUGUUCCCAAGCAAGGUUUUGACAUCUUCAUAGAUGCCAAUAUUCUUCAAAAAGUCCACAUCAGGGAACCUCCCUUGCUGGAUCUCUAUCUGUUGAAACUUCGCCAGAUAAUCAAGUGUUUCUGGUUCAGUUUUCUUGAACCUUUUUGAUCCCUCUUCAAUGGUGCCUUGUGAACCACCAGCUGAGCUGCUUGAGUCACUUUCAGUCUGUUCACUCUCAGAUACGACAGCCAACUGUUUCCCCUUCUUCUUGGAACCAGAAGCAACCACCAAAGAUUUUCCUUCAUGCCUUGUCCUUUUUGGCGCUGGAUCACACUUCCCUUGCUUUGUGGUAUUCUUUGCUCCUUGACCUUUUUCUCUUGGCUGUGAAGACCCUGAGACCAAACCUUUGCCCUUUGAUGCAGUGCUCUUCUUCUUGGCCAGAGAGUUGGUUCUUUCAGUCAUCUGCCAAGACAUUCUCAAAAACAAUGUUAGUACAAGAACAAGCUUCACAAAAUUCUCCAAAAUUUUGAAAAAAAAAAAUUGUUGCAAGAAUCGAUUUUAAAACCACAUGAACAGGUUUCUCAAGCCAAGCAUCAAUCCAAUAAGUUCAUAGCAAUGCAAAAACAAGAGUGCAAAGCAAGGACUCAGCAAUGAAAAUAGAUCUUUUUAAAAAAAAAAAAAAAAUCGAUUUUUCUCAUGAAUUUCUUACAACAAUUUUCAAAACUCAAGAACAAGGAAUCACCAACAGCUGUUUUCUAAGACUAUCUAGCACCCUAGCAUUUAUAAAAAUAAUCCCAAGGUCUAAAACAAUCUAUCAAAAUCGAUUCCACACCUUGAAGUUCAAAAAUCACCAUUGAAGAACAUGGAAAAAGGUGAAUUUUAACUGAAUGAAAUACCUUGGGAUUAAGAUGCAACGAGCUCGAAAUGCAAUCAAGAUGAUGUUAAAAACUCAAAAACGAGUUCAGAGCACUUUGAAUCAACAAAUUUGGUGGAGAAAUGAGAGAGAUAUGAUGAAAACAAUGGAGAGAAAUGAGAGAAAGAGUUGCAAACUCGGGUUUUUGGUGAGGAAGAGAGAGUGUGGGACAGGUUAAAGACUUUGGACUGGUGGUCAAUAGAUCUAUUUUGACCAGUCAAGGCUUUGACCUGUCCUUUUCUCGUUGACCAGCCUCCUUUCUCUCCUUUGUGCGACCGGGAACCGUCGGGAUCGGGCCGCAUGACGGUCUCGGUGUAGAACCGGAAAUGUUUUUGUGCUACCUGGGAUCUUCUGUGCCUCCCCCGCAUGACCAAGUCGCAGUAAAAGUCCUUCAGCUCGGUUUUAUCUUUCCUCAUUGCUGCUGCCUGGAACCCUUGCUUUCCAGCUAGCACGCCCAACUCGGAGUAAUUUGCGAACAUGUGUGCGGGUUAGACUCCUUUGUUCCCAGGUAGCAUGACUAUCUCGCAGGGUUUGGGACUUAAAAACCUCGGGGUUCCUCUUCUGGUGCGGCCUGGCCUCCAUACUUCCCAGGUAGCACGCCCAACUCGGAGUAAUUUGCGAGUCUUCAUGCGGGUUAGCUUCUUUGUUCCCAGGUAGCAUGACUAGGUCACAGGUUUUUGGACUUAAACAAUUUGGCCUUUCUUUUCCUGCUGCGACCUGGUCUUCAUGCUUCCCAGCUAGCACGCCCAACUUGGAGUAAAAUGCGAUCAUACGUGCGGCCUAGCUUCUUUGUUCCCAGGUAGCAUGACUAGGUCGCAGGUAUUUGGACUUAAGAUGUCUCGGCCAUUCCUCUUUUGCUGCGACCUAGUCUCCUUGCUCCCAGCCAGCACGCCCACCUCGCACACCUUCACACUUAGGCGUUUGGCUCUUCUUGAUUUCGUGCAGCCUGGUCUCUAUGAUUCCCAGCUAGCACGCCCAACCCGGAGUGAUUUGCGAAUGGAUGUGCGGUUUAACUUCUCUUGUUUCCAGGCCGCAGCAACUACUCGCAGGUUUUUGCACUUAAACACCUCGGCCAUCCUUCUUUUGCUGCAACUUGGUCUUCAUUCUUCCCAGGUAGCACACCCAAUUCGGAGUAAAUUGCGAUCAUGUGUGCUACCUAACUCCUUUGUUCCCAGGCCACAGCUCCUACAUCGCAGAUCUUUGGACUAAAGAUACCUUGGACCUUUUCUUUUUGGUGCGGCCUGGUUUCUCUUUUCCCAGCCAGCACGCCUAACCCGGAGUGAUUUGCGAAUGGAUGUGCGGCCUAGCUUCCUCUCUUCUUACCCGCAGCACCAGCUAGCACAACCUCGGACUUAGACGUUUUGGACUUCUUCUUUUUGGUGCGGCCUGGUUUCUCUUUUCCCAGGUAGCACGCCCAGGCCGGAGUAAAUUGCGAGUCCUGCUGCGACCUGGGCUCUUCUUGCACCAAGCCGCACACCUAGGUAGCACUGAGGCGUUCUCCAAGUUUUUCAGGCCCUAAAUACUUCUCUCAGCCCUCUCACAUGCUCCAUUCCAUUCAUCACUGAGCUAUGUUCUCCAAAAAUCACCUAGAACCUGAGACCAACUCACAAAACCCAUCAAAAAGUUCUAAAACAUAAAAGAAAAGAGAAGAAAUCAAAAGAACUAUGUACAAAGAUAAGCUUGGGGUGUCUCCCAAGAGCACUUUGUUUAAAGUCUCUAAGUUUGACUAUGGAAACCUGUUUAGCAGGCUGGAGGUGGGUCAAGAAGGGGAACUGAUGUAGCUUCCUCCUUCCCUUGUGAAACUAAGUAAUGCUUGAUUCUUUGUCCGUUUACCACAAAUUCUUGACCAUUCUUCCCUUCUAAGACAAUAGCACCAUAUGGUCUCACUUCAAGAACUUUAAAAGGUCCAGACCAUCUAGACUUAAGUUUUCCUAGAAACAACUUAAGUCUAGAGUUGAACAGCAACACCAAAUCACCAUCCUUGAACUCCCUUUUCAGAAUCUUUUGGUCAUGCAGAACCUUGGUCUUCUCCUUAUAGAUCUUUGAGCUCUCAAAAGCCCCAAGCCUUAUCUCUUCAAGUUCAUGGAGUUGAAUGACCCUUUUCUCUUGAGCUGUCUUGAUAUCAAAGAUCAGCAACUUCACAGCCCACAAAGCCUUGUACUCUAACUCAACAGGAAGGUGGCAGCUCUUCCCAUAUAGCAGAUUGAAAGGUGAUGUCCCAAUAGGAGUUUUAAAGGCAGUCCUAUAAGCCCACAAUGCAUCAUCUAGCCUUUUGCUCCAAUCUUUUCUGCUUGAGCUCACAGUCCUCUCAAGAAUGGCCUUGAUCUGUCUAUUAGAUACUUCAACCUGGCCACUAGUUUGAGGAUGAUAAGGAGUAGCUACCUUGUGUUUCACUCCAUGCUUUCUCAGUAAACCCUCCAAAGUCUUGUUCACAAAAUGAGAUCCUCCAUCAGAGAUAACAACCCUUGGAACUCCAAAUCUUGGGAAGAUAAUGCUCUUGAACAGCUUCACUACAACCUUGGAAUCAUUGGUAGGGGAAGCAAUGGCCUCAACCCAUUUGGACACAUAGUCCACAUCAACAAGUAUAUACUGAUUCCCAUAGGAUGAAAUGAAAGGCCCCAUAAAGUCAAUCCCCCAGCAAUCAAAGAUCUCAACUUCUAGAAUUGGGUUUUAAGGCAUCUCACUCCUCUUUGAUAUGCUCCCAUGCCUCUGACAAGCAUCACAUGCUGAACCACUAACUGAGCAUCUUUGAACAUUGUGGGCCACCAAAACCCACUCUGAAGAACCUUUGCCACAGUCUUGAAUGCUCCCAUGUGACCCCCAAAAGCUGAACUAUGACACUCUUGCAACACAGGCUGCAUCUCCUCCUCAGCAAGACACCUUCUAUACAGCUGAUCUUUGUUCAGGACAUAGAGGUAGGGCUCAUCCCAAUGGUAUCUUUGAACUUCUCUGAAGAAUUUCUUCCUGUGGUAAGCAUCUAAUUCAGGUGGUUCCACUCCACAAGCAAGAUAGUUCACAAUGUCUGCAAACCAAGGCAUCCUCCUCUCUUGAAUGCUGUCCACUUCUUCAAACUCCAAAUAAGAAUGGAGCACCAUCAGUGAUUCCUCAGGAAGACUGUCAUUAAGAGGCAAUUCAGAGUCUAUUCUCAACCUAGAGAGAUGGUCUGCAGCUCCAUUCUCUAUACCCUUUUUGUCAUGUACUUCCAUAUCAAAAUCCUGAAGUAGAAGAACCCAUCUCAAUAGUCUUGGCUUAGCAUCUUUCUUGGUCAUCAGAUACCUGAGGGCUGCAUGAUCAGUAUAUACAAUUACUUUUGAUCCCACCAGGUAACUUCUGAAUUUAUCGAAGGCAAAGACUAUUGCCAACAUUUCCUUCUCAGUAGUAGCAUACUUCUCUUGUGCAGGGCCAAGUGUUCUACUAGCAUAGUAAAUGACAUGAAGCUUCUUAUCUUUCUUCUGGCCAAAUACAGCUCCAACUGCAAAAUCAGAUGCAUCAGUCAUAACCUCAAAAGGUAGGGACCAGUCUGGGGCUUGGACAAUUGGUGCACUGACUAAUGCAUCCUUGAUCAUCUUGAAGGCCUCUUCACAUUCAGCAUCAAAGAUGAAAUCCACUUCUUUACAAAACAGCCUUGUCAAGGGCCUGGCAAUUCUUGAGAAGUCUUUGAUAAAUCUUCUGUAAAACCCUGCAUGCCCAAGGAAACUCCUUAUCCCUUUAACUGAAGUGGGAGUUUGCAGAUUCACCAUCACUUCCACCUUUGCUCUGUCAACCUCAAUACCCUUCUCAGAUAUCUUGUGCCCAAGAACUAUUCCUUCCCGCACCAUGAAGUAGUAUUUCUCCCAGUUUAACACCAAGUUAUCCUGCUCAAAUCUCUCCAAGACCUGUUACAAAUUAGAGAGAAAAUCCGAGAAGGAGGAGCCAUAGACACUAAAGUCAUCCAUGCACACCUCCACCUUCUCUUCAAUAAUGUCAGAGAAUAUAUGCAUCAUGCAACGUUGAAAUGUGGCAGGGGCAUUACAGAGACCAAAAGGCAUUCGCCUGUAUGCAAAGGUGCCAUAAGGGCAUGUGAAUGUUGUUUUCUCUUGAUCUCGGGGAUCUAUGGGAAUUUGGAAGAACCCCGAGUACCCAUCGAGAAAACAAAAGAAGGGGUGUUUUGCAACGCCUCUCUAACAUCUGAUCAAUGAAAUGUAAGAAACUAUCCUUCCUNNNNNNNNNNNNNNNNNNNNNNNNNNNNNNNNNNNNNNNNNNNNNNNNNNNNNNNNNNNNNNNNNNNNNNNNNNNNNNNNNNNNNNNNNNNNNNNNNNNNNNNNNNNNNNNNNNNNNNNNNNNNNNNNNNNNNNNNNNNNNNNNNNNNNNNNNNNNNNNNNNNNNNNNNNNNNNNNNNNNNNNNNNNNNNNNNNNNNNNNNNNNNNNNNNNNNNUCGUAGUAGUUAAGUGUAUCCUAUGGCUCUCCUGAACUUUCUUAUCUCACUAAGCAAUGCACUCUCUUGAUCCUCUAAUAGGCUAUCAUUGAUGAUUACUGGAUAUGUUGAGUUUAAGCCCAAGAAGGCAUACAUGAGCCCUGUUGGUAGAGGCUUGAGCUCAACAGGGGGUGCAUCAGCCUCAUUCCAAUCCUGGUCCAAGCUGCUUUGGCUGGUGUCUGAUCCUUUGAUAGCAAAAACCUCAGAGCCACUUUGUUCCAGCUCCAAAAACCUUGUCUCAGGACCCAGCUCUCUAGCAUUGUCCAAAUACAACUUGUACCCUUCACUUGCUUCAGCUAAGAGCCCAUUGUCUCCUUGUUCUUGAGUUAGAGCAGCUUGAAGAGGAUCCUCAGUGUUCAGCUCCUCUAGCAACUCAUCAGCCAACUGAUCCAUUGUCUCCACAUAGAAACAUUGACCUUCAAUGGUGGGUUUCUUCAUCAUCUCAUUCACGUCAAACUUGAGCUUUUCAGACCCAAGUUGAAGCUCUAUUAUCCCACCUCUCACAUCAAUUUUGGCUCCUGCAGUUGCUAAGAAUGGCCUGCCCAAGAUAAGAGGAUCUACUGGUUCUUCAUCCAUCUCCAGCACAACAAAAUCAGUUGGAACCUCAAAACCACCUAUCUUGACAGGUAGAUCUUCCAACAUACCAACAGGCAAUCUAACUGAUCUAUCUGCAAGGAUAAGAGAAAUCCUUGCAGGCUUGAAGACUCUAAAGCCCAGCUUCUUUGCUAUGGAGAAUGGCAUCAAGCUGACUGAUGCUCCUAGAUCACAAAGACAUCCAGAGAAUAGAAGAGGUCCAAUGGCACAAGGGAGUGUGAAACUCCCUGGAUCAGUUAACUUUCUUGGUAUGGACUUCUUCUGAAUGAUAGCACUGCAUUCAUGACUUAGUACCACCAUGCCUUGAAGUUUUUUUGUCUUGUUCAGAAUGGCAUCCUUCAGGAACUUGCCCAUCUAUGGCAUCAUUAAGAAUGCAUCAAUAAGAGGCAUAGUGAGUGGUGUCUCAUUGAGUGCCUUCUCAAAUACAGCUUUUGCCUUGUCCACAAGCUGCUUCUUAAAUCUCCCUGGAAAUGGGAGCUUGGGUUGGUAUGGAGGUGGUGGCACAUAUACCUUUUCUGGUUCAGGUUCCUUUGCUACCUUUUUACUCUUUUGGACAGGUUUCUCAGCAACCUGAUCAUCUUUUAAGGCUGCCUCCCCCUCAGUUUGAUCAUUGUCCUCAAUGAUCACAUUGUUGUUCUCAAUACCAGGUAACUCCUUUCCACUCCUCAGUGUAAUGGCCUUAGCAUAUUCCUUGGGGUUGGGUUCUCCGGUCUGAUUCAGUUGUCGGGUGCUUCAUCGCAGUUGGAGAAGAUUGGAUCACGGUUCCAUAGCAAGUUGAAUCAUGGAAUUCCGACGCAUGAGCAGAAAGUUAAGCUCGUCGGAAGGAACCCCUGUCUCGCUGCUGUUCUGGACCAAGCCGAUGAGCUCUGAAGAAUGCGAAGUACGGUGCACUUUCAGGCCGAUUCAGUUUCCGGGGCCUUCAUGAGAAUCAGAGACAUUUGAGUCCGCUUUCCAGAACGUCCAAGAUCAUUCAAUUCGGAGCUAUGAGCAGGAAGAUACGGUCUCCGGAAUGGACACAUGUCUAGACGCCUCUCUCUGAUCGUGUAAAUGCACUGCAAAGAUGAGCCCUCCAGGAAGCCUUCCACUUCCCAAGCACCAAAGCUUCCUUCACCAAAGUUGGAGAUAUAUGAGUCCUCUGUCCUCUGCCCUCUGCUACCGGAAUCACUCAAUUCAGACAAGUAUCUUAGAAGUUACACUCUCCGGAAUGCGAAGUGGUCCAAGCUGCUCUGAAUGCUGCGAGAAAGCCUUGCGACUUGGUUAACUCGCAGGCCUGAAGACGAAUGCCUGGAAAUUGAUGCUCCAAGUUGAGAAGAGCGGGUAAGCUAUCAAUGGAUGAGGUCUGAGGCUCCCGAGAAAGAAAAUUGCUAAGUCCACAAUCGUGCGACUUAGGCAUGCUAGUUGGCCGCGCCUGGAACCAAGCCGCACGAUCACUCGCAAUCUACUCCGACUUGAGCCUGCGACCUGAGUGUAGUGGAGACCAACCCGCACGGUUUGUACAUUCCCCAGAAACCGCCUUGGUCCUGCGAGUUGAAGAAGAAGAAGAUUAAGCCGCAGCAAGACUCGCAAAUGGUGGUUGAAACUGUUGUUGAACAGGCGCUUGCUGUUGGAACUGUGGAGGACCAAACCCUGGUGGUGCCUUUUGCUGCUGUGUACUGAAACUAGGACCUUGAAAAGGUUGUUGUUGCUGACCAAAACCUUGAUUCUGAGCAAACUGAUUCUUUGGUUGAAAAGAUCCUUGAAAGUUGUUCUUGGGAACAAAGUUCUGUGGAGCUUGAGAAUUGGGAUACACCUGGUCUUGUGGGUUAGCUACAUUGGUGUUCCUGUAAGAAAGGUUUGGAUUGGCAUUACCAUACUGAUAUCUCUGGAACCUCUGAUUCCCAAUGUAGUUUAGCUCCUCCUGGGUAAGACCUUCUUCACUUAUGUUCUCAAAGAUUUGAGAAGGUUCCUCAUACUCUCCAACAAAAUGCAUUGGCUUCUGAGUGGUGGAAAGGGUGGGGUUGGUGGUGCACCUGUUGUCUUUGCUGUACAUUGGCCUGAUGCCUCUGUUGAUGAGCUUGAGCUUGUCCCUGGUGGACAUAAGCUUGUUGGUGCACCUGUUCCUGAUGAACAUUACCCUGAUUUAACCCUUGACCAGCUCCAUUACCAGCUCCAUUACCCUGAGCCUGUUGCUCCUGAACCGGUUGUUCUAUAUCCACUACGUGCUCUCUUUGUUCUUCCAUAUCAGCCUGAUCAAUCUGUCUUCCACGUCUGUCCCUUCUCCUCCUUGGUACCAAAAGAUUGAUGUUGUCGUUGAGAGGGAAAGGUGGACCACAGCUUCUUGAUCUAGACCUGGUGUUCAUACCCGGACAGGCGAUUUCAGAAACGUGUCUGCACCCGGAGAUUUUGGCUGAGGGAUUCAAUAGCCGGUACGCGUUUUGGCCGAUAAAGUCUACCCGCGGUACGCGUUUUGGCCGAGAAAAACCUUCCUGGUGCGCGAGAAUGGCCGAUAACCUCCAAAGAACCAAUUUCACCAUUUUUCAAGCCUUGAUCAUCAUUCCACCUCCUGGAUUCAUCUUUUCAGCUCCAAAUACACCUGAUAAGUACUCAAAACAUGCAAAGACUCAUUGGGACCUAAUGAAUCUUCUAAAUUCUAAAACAAACCCUAAGGACCUAAAAUGCAUGGAAUAAAACAUGAUUUGGAAUGAAUUAUGCAACCUAAAUGAUGCAAAUUAUGAACAUGGAGACGAAGAACUCGCUUUUUUCUUAGUUCAAUUGGUUUUGUGAAUUUCAUAAACUUAUUUGGUAAGCAUAUACGUCUUUAAUUUUGGAUAGUAUUUAUUUUUUCGAUUUUAUUUUAUUUUAUUAUGUAUGUCUUAAAUAGUUGUUUUAAGUAAAAAUUACUCAAACUAACCUUUAAGGUGACCUAAAUGACAAACCUAACCUAACAUAUUUUGAGUCUUACUAGAUUAACCUUACAAAGUUGGUCUAAUACCAUUUUAUCCAGAUGUUGAAUAUUAUUACGAAAAUGCCAUAUUGAUUUUUUUUUUUUUAAAAAAUUCGAUUUGUUUUUUAUUUUAUUUUUCUGAAAAAAAUAUUAAAAAAGUAGAUACAAAAAACAAAAAAACAAACCUAAUAUUAAAAAAAAUUAUCUCUCUCAUCUUCUCUCUCAUCUUCUCUCUCGCUUCUCUCUCGUUUCUCUCUAACCUAGAUCUUUUUUUUUCUGCUGCAUUUCUUGAUUCCGGCAGUUAGCGGCGGUGGACCACUCCUUUCUUGCCUCCGUCGAUCACAAGAAUCGUCCGAUGGCACCAGUGCACCUCUCACUUCCCUUUAGAUGGCAAUUUUGUCCUUAUCUUUGAGCAUUGUGCUUCCCUUGAGUCUCUAGAUCCUUCCGCCUUCUACCACUAGACCGAAGACCUUCCUCUAGUUCUCCUCCAUUACUAUGAAGUCGCAGCAAGGCUCAAUCGCUUGGAUCCCUUGACAGUGUCCUUCACCAAGGGUUACAAAUCGAGUGACGACACAGCUGUGAGACCACAACUCUUAAGCGGCAUUCUCGCCGCAUCGCACACAACCGCAGUGGAUAGACGUUGUUUCAGUGGAAUGGUGGUUUUGAGGAGGUUGUCGGCGGCGUAAUUUUUUUUGUAAAACCCGUAACCCUAAUUUUUGUUUUGUUUCAGGUAAGUUUGAUAAAUAUAUUUGAAAAAACGAUAUUGUAUUUUUUAGUUGUAAAGUUCAUAACGUGUGAUGGUAGAUUUAUUUGAAAAACGGUAUGUAGUUUGGUAGAUUAUUAGUUAUUUGAUGGUAGAUAUAUUUACAAAACGAUAUGUAGUUUGGUAUAUCUAUUAGUUAUUUGAUGGUAAAUUUAUUUAAAAAACAAUGUGGUUUGGUAUAUUUAUUAGUCAUCUGACGGUAGACUUAUUUGAAAAACAAUGUGAUUUGGUAGAUUUAUUAGUCAUUUGAUGGUAACUUAUUUGAAAAACGAUAUGUGGUUUGGUAGUUUUAUCAGUUAUUUGAUGGUAGAUUUAUCAGUUAUAUAUAUUUGAAUUUUAUAUUUGAAUGAUGGCAUUUGUUUGUUCUUCUCUGACAGGUUAUGGGAUUUGUGAUGGCGAACGAGUCUCUGAUGGGUUAUGUUCUACUAUGAAUAUUAGAUUUGCAUUUGGUAGAUUUGUUUUGAAAUGAUGGUAGAUUUAUUAUUGAAUUGAUGGUAUAUCUAUAUUUGAAUUUGUACAAAUGAUAAUUAGAUUUUAGAUGAUGAUAUCUUUGUUUUCAAAUUAUAUUUGGCGCAAAAGAUUGACUCAAACAUUUCAUCUUUUUACCACUUUUCUUUACUUUCACUAUGGUUUAUAUCCUAAGUUAAUGAAAUUUUAAACAAAACACAUGAUUAAAGUCAUUUCACAUUGUGAUGUUCAAAAGUUUAUGUAAAUAUAAUUAAAUAUAACAAAAUAUUCACAAAUAAAAAUUAAAAGAUCAUAAGUUAAGAGAUAGUCAUUACAGACAAAAACGAUAAGGACAUAAGAUAAAUGUUUAAGUGAACUAGUAGGACAUAUAUGUUCAAGGUUAAUAUGUGAUAACACCGUAUUUUGACCACUUUUAUGGAUCGUUUUGAAAUACUUUUUCUAUGUUUUUAAUUGCUUUUAAGUACUUUUAUCACGUUUUUCUAGUAUUUUUAGUUCCAAGACUCUUUUCAGGUAACUUAGGGAAAAACUUAACAAAAUGGAUAGAAAACCAGAUUUCAGCUCAAAGUCAAACCGUCAGAAGUUCACCCCUGAUUGAAGGCCUUCUCACCGUCUGUUCCAGCUCAAAUUUGGAGACCUUAAAGAUGGAAGUAUCAACUUUCCAGCACACUUUACAGCUUGACAAUCCAACGGUUCAAUCAAAAGAUACGCGAAGAGCAAGAUGUCCCGUAAACCAGCCAGCAAGCAACUCCACCCGUGGCCAAUAAGCCAUUUCCCGCGGUCAGAAGCAUCCCGACCGCGGCAAACCACUCAUUCCCCGCGGUCACAGCACUCCCAACCGCAGCAAGCCAACUCCGAGCCCAAAAGCCCAUUUUUGAAGCCCACAAUGAUUCCCUCAUUUGGAGAAACCCUAAGUGACGUCCAGAGCACUAUAAAUACAUGUUUUAGGAACCCUAAUCGAAAAAAAAAGAGACCACCGAAUUUUUACUUCAUAGUUUUAUUGUUUUUGCUUUAGCUUUUAGGGAGAGAGAGAUUUGUUCUCUUGAACCCUUGUUCUUUCUUUUUUAAUUUCGGUUUCUAUUCUACUUAUUAAUACUAUGUUUUUGAUUUCGUUCAUUAUGUCUGAGUAGUUUUAUUGUUGGGAUUAAGGGAUUUUAGAUGGGGAUUUAUAUGUUCGAUGAGGAUUCCAUGAGCUUUUGAGCCGAAUCUUAGAACUUAUUCUUCUGAAUUCGUUUUUACUGCAUGAGAGUAGCGUCAUGAACUACAAUCUGAUCCAGAUGCUUUGUGACACGAAAGUGUUCAUCAGGUAUCAGAUCUAGUUUGGGAGAGCAAAACAAACAUAGGAGUGGAAACCUACCUAUGGGCGAUUUGUCAAUGCUGACGAGUCUUAAACAUAAUGCAUCUCUUCUUUUCCAGGGCCAUAGUGGAAACCUACUGGUCAGGGUUGAGAGAGAUAGUUGUCUAUGAUCACGACAGUGGCGUAUUCAUAUGUCCGUGACUCCAGUUCGAAAAGUUUAAGCUAAGAUCUUAGCAAUUUUACUCUCUAGCAAUGUUUUGAAUCGUUCGUACCCCUGAGAAAACUUCCCUGAACCCCAACGCCUUCUUUCCUAUUGAUUUACACCGUUUUUAUUUCAAGCUUUAGUUCAAUAUUGUCUUUCCUUUUUAGUAGAUUUUCAUUUAAGCAAUUAGAAUAUCCGUUUUUCUCAUUUUUAUUCAUUUUCGUUAAGUUUAGUUAUUAGGUCAUUUAAUUCCCGUAUUUUCUUUUAAGAUUUCGUUUUUACAUUUUAAACACACCACCAAACCCCCACAAAACCGUUUUGGUUCUAGACUUCCUUACUUUAUACUUAUUUCAAAGGCUUUUUGCAGGAAAAGAUCCUCUUUCCCCGUGGAUUCGAUCCCAAAGUACUACAAUCGAUCAGCUGUGCACUUGCGGCUAUUGAUUUCAUUUAGGUUAAAACUUGACAACCCUCACGACAACACCACAUCAAGUUUUUGGCGCUGUUGCCGGGGAAAGCACGCGUUUUCUUUUCUGCAACCCCGAGAAAGGUUGGUAAAUCGACUCUAAAACCCCUUUUUCUGCAAUUUUCCAUUUUUCGGUUUUUUUGUUUCCAUUUCAGAAGAUAUGGAUCCUAUAAAUCGAAAUAUACACUAUGAGGAAGGUUUAUAUAACACUCCUCAAGCCACCAGACACAGAACGUUCCAGAAGGAGCCCUGCGCAUCUCCAAUGGCCAACCCUGAACAACCCGCUCGUCGUUUGCCUCACCAAGAUGAAAACGUCCAACUCAUUCACUGAUUGAAAACACUAGAAGUGGCGGUCUUGCACCUACUCGACGUUCAAGCGAGAUCUAGAUCCACAAUCCACGAGAAAAUUGACGACUUGUCAAUGCGCUUUAACAGAAAGCUUGAAGAUCUUUCAGCUCAAGUCAAGACCAUCGAAACUCAACUAAACAAGGGUGCUGAAACCAUUAAGGAGAGGAUAGAAGCAAUCGAAGGACGAGUUGGAGAAAACGAAGUUCGCAUUCGCAAAGCCAGUGGGAACAUCCGCACCUUAGAGAUCAAACUUGAUGAAGCAGAAGAGACUAUUAACGACCAUAACAACCAAACCUAUUCCUACAUGGAAGAGAUUUAGGAUGGAGUACACAAGGUUCAAGACAAAACAGAGGAAAUAGACUCAACCGUGGACAAAGUAGUCUAUGCCCUCGAUGAAAUCGAAGAGAAGGUUGAAAAGCUUAUGCAAGGAUGUGAAACAAACGGUUCGACGCUUCUCAUCGAAGAUCUUACCUUAAAAAAGGAGGAAACGGAGCUAGAAUGUGCAGAAAUCAGUUUAGAUGGCAAAAGAGCAGACGAAACAAAGGAAACAACUCGGAGCCUUCUUCUCGCGGUCAGAACUCUCGUGACCGCGGCCAACAAGCCUCCAGCCGCGGUCGUGAGCCUCCUGACCGCGGCAAAACCCUCCCCACCCGCGGUCGUGAAACCUCUACCCGCUGCAAAUGCUCCGUCAGAUACCUUUCAGCCCUUUUCCACUCCUACAGGUCAAUGCUUAUUUGAUACAUCUGCUAGGAUGGUCAAAGCCCCUCUACAUGAGCAAACGGUGUAUGCUAUCAGCUCCAAAACAUCUCAAGAAGAAAAUGAGGUACUCCCUUGCAACAUAGUUUUAGCAUAUGAGGAUGAAUAUGAAGGGCACUACCUCGAAGAUGAAGACUAUCGUCUGUUCAUAGAAGGAGGGAAUCCAGACAAAAUGGUGGAAUUAGGAGCACCAAUCUCCAGAGAAAGGCUCAUUGAAUUCAACAAGUUUGUGAAAUCGAUCCCUCUUUACACAGGUUUCGAUGAUAUAUGGCAUCUUGGUUGUUUGCAAGUUUUCUUUAGGUACAGCAAGGAGACAAAGGAGGAUAUCAGAACCUAUUUUGGGAGGGCUAGACGUCUGACUUUUCCCAGAACAUCACCUGAUGCUGCAAUCUAUUCAAUUCACCUCAAAAAGCCGGAAGACUGCAGCCACUACACCAACAAAAUCAGCAAGGAAAAGCUCGAUGAAUUCAAUGAUGUGGUUCGAAAUUUGCCUGAAGAAAUCACGUUUGCCAGAGCUUGCAAGGACUUUAUGAUAGGCCACUACUUCUGUGAGAGCAAAGAAUCAAUCCCUGAGAUAGAAGACUUGUUCAAUCAUGCCAGAAGAGGUAAACCUGUUCGAACACUUCAUAAAAUAGAAGGUGUAGGUCAGUUUCUUAUCUCUUGUUCUAUUAGAGGAGAAAUGUUUAAAAACGUGCUAUGUGAUUCUGGAGCUUGUGUUAACAUGAUGUCCAAGGCAAUUGAUUUGAGACUUGGUAUUAAACACCUGCGCAGGACUAGAGCAAAGAUUAGUCUAGCUGAUGAUUCCAAUGCAACACCUCAAGGAAUAGCUCAUGAAAUUCCUUUGAGAAUAGGAGAUUACAUAGUGCCUGUCGACUUCUACAUUGUCGAAACGAGAGAUGCAACAUAUCCAGUGAUUCUCGGAUGGUCUUUUCUAGCAACUUUCGGAGCUAUAAUGGACUGGCCAAACCGGAGGAUUUCAUUUGCUAAUAUCGACAAAGAUGUCUUCACAGAAGCUGUUCCAUACAACAGCAAAGCAGGAAAACGUUCUGCAACAGAAGAGUUUGAAGAAGAACUUUGGAGUGACGAAGAACCUGCUAGGCAAAGCAAGGAGAUGUCGAAAAAGACUUGUCUCAGGACAAGGUCUUCUUCAUUGGAAUAAGUCACGUCCAACACCAAAAGUCGAGCUAAACGACUUAAAACAGAAGCGCUUAAUGGGAGGCAACCCAUUUAGGUAUUGUUUUCUUUAGGAUUUUUCUUUCUUUUUCUUUUGAUCUUUUUCUUUUUCUUAAUUUCAGGUGUUUCUUAUAAAACAAAAAAACCAAAAAAUCAAAAAACCCGAAAAAAACCAAAAAGAAGGAUGGUACCUGACUGCUCGGCCCAGCAGGAACCAAGGAGAAGCAGGAAGAGGCCGCGAAAUAAGCCUCCGCGGUCGCAGACGUUCUGACCGCGGGAAACUACUCAUCGACCGCGGUCGCGUGAUCCUGACCGCGGCCAAACACUUGGUUGCCGCGGUCGCGCGACCCCUGUCCGCGGCACUUGGUCGUUGACAUCAAACCCAACCCCAAACCACCCACUUCACCCCAUUCCACCUCACCAAUCACCCUCCACCUCAUUCAUCACCCUCCACCACCUUCAUCACCCCCUAAUCACCUUCCCAAACCUCUUCGAAUGAAUCCGGUUCAUCUCCACCAGCAUCCCGGAUCCAGGUAAGUUCUCUUUGUCCUUACCAAUUCGAUUAUCUAUGCAUUUUUCUCAUCCAAUCUCGACUUGUUUCACACUGAGGACAGUGUGAUUUAAGUCUGGGGGAGGAUUUCAUCCUUUUCUAACCACUUUUCUUUCAUGAGUCUUGCAUUAUCUACACUUUUUGCAUUUUCCUUAAAGUUUUUCAAAAUCGGUUUUCAAAACAAAAUACGUUUUAAAGGGAAUGGUGAACAUAAAUCAAUGAUAGUUGACUGUGUGCUUUAGACUAUUCCUAGUGACAUGCUCAUUCAUGAUUUAGGACUAGACUAGGCGGUAGCUAAGCACAUUUGAAACGAAGUACCCCAGAGGAAUUUGAAUGAUUUCGAUUUAGAUGAAGGGAUACACUAGCUCUGUUUUAUUUGGACUUAAUUUGGACUCAAUUUUCUCAUUGAAGCUUUAGACCAGGGAAACGAAUCAUACAUUCAGGACUCCUUUAUCCUUUUACCACUCUCAGUUGAUCCUGAAUGGCUAGUUCAUCUUUAGCUAGUUCCCCACCUUAACCAAUCCUCUUUCAAACCACAUGCACUCUUGUUUUCUAUUGUCUUACAUGCAGAUAAGUGCAAAAACGUUGGAGAGAAAGAGGAACGACGCAGUUUUCAGUCACCAAGGAUAGAGACCUGCGAUUUGCCGGAAAAGUUUCCGGAAGGAUCCAACACAAGAGGAAGCUCAGUUUGCCUUAGAAAAAUCUCAAAUUUUGGUACAAUCUCGUCCUCUAGUCUCUCUCUCUUUAAAAGGCAUUUCCUAUUCUAAAAAAAAAAAAAAAAAAAAUCCAAAAAUAAGAAAAGAAAGGAAAUAAAAGCCUUAGAGAGUCUAGAGAGCUCGAAUUUUAAGUCCCAAGGCAACUGGAGUUUGAUUUUAUGGAGUUUUGGAGAUCGUUUUCUGAUUCCUGGAAAGAAUCUAAGUCUGGGGGAACAGCUGUUUACAACAAAGGAGGAAGGAUUAUGCAACAACAUUUGGCAAGAAGAAGUGACUGAAAAACUGUGGUCAUCAACAGGUCCUUAUCUCUCUUGCGGUUUUGCAUAUUAUCUUGCAUCCUCCAGAUCUUCAGGUAACCCGAAACACUUUAACUCCACCACUUAAACAGUCCUUUAAUGCCAAACGCCGUCUACCCUGGAUAAUGUCUUUAAUGAGAAAUCACUAUUGAACUUAAUGAAUGUAGAGAGCUAGUUGACUGGAAUCAAGAUUUAGAUUUUUUAAGUUUUGCAUGACGGAAAAAGUGGACUAGUAUCUUUUGUGUCUUGGUGAGAAUUUUCUAGACUAAGUUGUGGAUUGAUGCACUAUCUUUGGUUCUAGUUUAGGAGUUAAUGUCUCUGAGAAUUGUGAAUUUCCUAUUUUUGUUUUCACCUAACCAGUUUAGACUUUUGCUUUGCUUGAGGACAAACAAAGGUUUAAGUCUGGGGGAGUUGAUAACACCGUAUUUUGACCACUUUUAUGGAUCGUUUUGAAAUACUUUUUCUAUGUUUUUAAUUGCUUUUAAGUACUUUUAUCACGUUUUUCUAGUAUUUUUAGUUCCAAGACUCUUUUCAGGUAACUUAGGGAAAAACUUAACAAAAUGGAAAGAAAACCAGAUUUCAGCUCAGAGUCAAACCGUCAGAAGUUCACCCCUAAUUGAAGGCCUUCUCACCGUCUGAUCCAGCUCAAAUUUGGAGACCUUAAAGAUGGAAGUAUCAGCUUUCCAGCACACUUUACAGCUUAGCAAUCUAACCGUUCAAUCAAAAGAUACGCGAAGAGCAAAAUGUCCUGUAAACCAGCCGGCAAGCAACUCCACCUGCGGCCAACAGGCCAUUUCCCGCGGUCAGAAGCAUCCCGACUGCGGCAAACCACUCAUUCCCCGCGGUCACAGCACUCCCGACCGCGGCAAGCCAACUCCGAGCCCAAAAGCCCAUUUCUGAAGCCCACAAUGAUUUCCUCAUUUGGAGAAACCCUAAGUGACGUCCAGAGCACUAUAAAUACAUGUUUUAGGAACCCUACUCGAAAAAAUAGAGACUACCGAAUUUUUACUUCAUACUUUUAUUGUUUUUGCUUUAGCUUUUGGGAGAGAGAGAUUUGUUCUCUUACCCUUGUUCUUUCUUUUUCAAUUUCGGUUUCUAUUCUACUUAUUAAUACUAUGUUUUUGAUUUCGUUCAUUAUGUAUGAGUAGUUCAAUUGUUAGGAUUAAGGGAUUUUCGAUGGGGAUUUAUAUGUUCGAUGAGGAUUCCAUGAGCUUUUGAGCCGAAUCUUAGAACUUUUUCUUCUGAAUUCGUUUUUACUGCAUGAGAGUAGCGUCAUGAACUACAAUCUGAUCCAGAUGCUUGGUGACACAAAAGUGUUCAUCAGGUAUCAGAUCUAGUUUGGGAGAGCAAAACAAACAUAGGAGUGGAAACCUACCUAUGGGCGAUUUGUCAAUGCUGACGAGUCUUAAACAUAAUGCAUCUCUUCUUUUCCAGGGCCAGAGUGGAAACCUACUGGUCAGGGUUGAGAUAGUUGUCUAUGAUCACGACAGUGGCGUAUUCAUACGUCCGUGACUCCAGUUCGAAAAGUUUAAGCUAAGAUCUUAUCAAUUUUACUCUCUAGCAAUGUUUUGAAUCGUUCGUACCCCUGAGAAAACUUCCCUGAACCCCAACGCCUUCUUUCCUAUUGAUUUACACCGUUUUUAUUUCAAGCUUUAGUUCAAUAUUGUCUUUCCUUUUUAGUAGAUUUUCAUUUAAGCAUUUAGAAUAUCCGUUUUUCUCAUUUUUAUUCAUUUUCGUUAAGUUUAGUUAUUAAUUCAUUUAAUUCCCAUAUUUUCUUUUAAGAUUUCAUUUUUACAUUUUAAACACACCACCAAACCCCCACAAAACCGUUUUGGUUCUAGAUUUCCUUACUUUAUACUUAUUUCAAAGGCUUUUUGCAGGAAAAUAUCCUCCUUCCCUGUGGAUUCGAUCCCUAAGUACUACAAUCGAUCAGCUGUGCACUUGCGGCUAUUGAUUUCAUUUAGGGUAAAACUUGACAACCCUCAAGACAACACCACAUCAAGUUGUGAGAUAACACCGGAUUCUGACCAUUUUUAUGGAUCACUUUUAUAUCUUUUACAGGUGUUUUUACUCCAUUUUCAAAGGUUUUCAAAGGAUUUCUAUGUUUCCGGAUUUUAAAAGACUUUUCAGGUAAUUUGGGAUAAAGAGGCACAAAAUGGAACAAAAAGACUCUUUUGAAUAAAUGCAGAUCGUCAGAACUCUCAUGGAGAGACGAAGACCUUUUCACCGUCUGAUCACCCUCAAAAUUGGACAACUUAUAGGAGAAUCAACCAGCUUUCAAAUGUACUUGGUUUGGAGACAUUCCAACGGUUGGAUCUCAAGAUAUUCUAUUAGCCCCGGAGCCACUUGAAGUCGGCCAGCAAGUCACGCGACCGCGGUGAUCAACCUAUAUCCCGCGGUCAGAAGCUUCCCGACCGCGGCCAACCAGCCAAUCCCCGCGGUCACAACACUCCCGACCGCGGCAAUCAAUCUCCGAAUUAAAGCCCAUGUAUCUGAAGCCCAAAGUCAUUCUCAGCCUCAAUUCCGGAACCCUAGAGACCAUGGAGUAUUGGAGACUAUAAAUACAUGUCAUUUAGGUCGUUUUUAGGGAGAGCCAUUCAUACUUUACAGAAACCCUUUUUCUUUAGCCGUUUAUAUGAGAUUUUUGUAGAAGAUUGUUCAAGUCCGAGUUCUUCAAUAGAGAAGCUUUCUUUAUCUCUUUUCUUUACUGUUUUUCAUUACUUUUAUUAAAACCAAUGAUGAUGUCGACCUCAGCCAUGUCUGAGUAGAUCCCGAGUUGGGCUUAGGGUUCCCGGAAGGGGCUCUCAUAAUCGAUUAAGACAUCUAGGUUUAUAGAUCUGGGAUUUCGACCUGUUCUCUUUUUAUUCUUGUUCUUAUUGCAUGUAUGCUUGAUUGAUCACCUAGUAUCUGAUCUAGAUAGUUAGUGUUGCAAAAGUUUUCAUUAAGUAUCAGCCCUAAAAUGAAACAGGCGAUUUUUCCGUAGGACUGGAAACCUACCUGCGGCGAGAUCGUGAGUAUUGACGAGUCUUGUGCAGCUCUUGCGUUCUCUCCCUUCUAGGGCCAGAGUGGAAACCUACUGGUCAGGGUUGCGAGAAACAGUUGGUUAUGAUCACGACAGUGACGUAGUCAUACUGCCGUACUCUAGCUCUAGAACCCAUAUAUCGAUAUCCGUCAAUCCCAAUCUAUUUACCCUAGUGUUAAAACCGAUUAUGAUCCCUUAGAGUCCCUAAAAGCUCAGCGUUUUUAGCCAUAGUUUACAAUUCCAUCGAUUUUUAUUUGCUUAUUUAGGCCUGCAUUUCAAUUUCCUUAGUUUGUUAUUUACUUACUUUACUAGUAUUUCAUUCGAUAUUUUACUUGCCUUAUUAGUCUUUCAUUCGAUAUUUUACUUGUUCUAUUUGCCUUUCAUUCGAUUUUUUUACUUGCUUUUUAGGAUAGAUUUAUUUGCUUUCUUUUGUUUUAGUUUAAUACAUCAAACCAACCAACCUUUAAAAACCAAUCUAGUCUAGACAUAAAGUUAAAAACCGUAGAAGAAUACCAGGCACACAAAUCUCUGUGGAUUUGAUCCCUAAAUACUAUAACUGAUUAGCUGUGCACUUGCGGCUUUCAUUUGUUUUGUUAAGGGUAAAACUUGUUCCCUCACGCAGUUGACACGACAUCAAGUUUUUGGCGCCGUUGCCGGGGAUUUGUUUCGCUGCCUUUUGCUAUUUUUCUUGUUUUAACUUCUGUUAUAGACACUUGAUCUCUAGUUCUUUCUUAAAGUUUUGCUGAAUUAUCUUUCCCUUCUUUUGUUUUUCUCUGAAUUGCAUGAAUACCAGGCGCAUACCUGUAGAAAACAUUCCAAUUCUAGACGAGAUAGACAGACACGAAAGACAACUUCGAAGACUUAGACGAACACAAAGAAUGGCCAACGACAACCAGCCUGGAGAUCCUAUUAAUCGAACUUUAAAUAUGGACCAAGACGGGUCCGAACAUGGGGAAAAUGAAGAGAAUGAUCACAGUGGAGGUGAUCAUGCUCGACAAGAUGGAGAGGAAGAUGAGUUUCCUCCAAGAAACCACCAGAACCGAGAGAGAGAAGGACGUGAAGACCUUGAUCCACCCAUCAAUGCAGCCGAUGGUGACCACCCAGCAAUGCAGCCAAAUGAACGCAUUCACCGCCCCAUUCCGCCAGCAAAUCAACACCGAAGACAAGCCAGGAACCAUCGCAUAGCUGAUUUUGAUGGACCUACUCAAAAUUUUCAGAAUCGAUCUGCAAUUCAAGUACCAUUUCCAAACCGGAAUGAGUUUGAAGUCAAGCCUCAAAUCAUCUCAUUGGUGAAGCAAAACCAGUUCCAUGGAGUUCCUUCUGAACACCCAAUGGACCAUAUCGAGCUCUUUGAAGAAAUUUGCAGCAUGAUGAGAACAAAUCAAAUUCCACCAGACUAUUUAAAGUGUAAGUUGUUCCUUUUUUCAUUAGCAGAUAAAGCUCACCGUUGGUUGAAAUCUUUGCCUGCAGGAUCGAUUACCAAUUGGGAAGAAUGCAGAAAUGCUUUCCUAAACCACUUCUACACUAAGUCAAGGUCGAAUCAGUUGAGAACAAAGAUCUCAAACUUUCAACAAGGGCCAACUGAAUCUUUCUAUGAAGCCUGGGAGCGUUUUAAGGAGUAUGAACGUGAUUGCCCUCACCAUGGAUUUCAUGGAUCAAGCCUGCUGAGCACAUUUUACCGAGGUUUGCAACCAAAAUAUAAACUUUCACUUGAUACAGCUAGCAAUGGAGAUUUUGGACAAAAGAUGAUAACCCAAGGAAGAGCUCUCAUCGAAAAUUUGGCUCAAGCCAAUAGCAAUGACUGUCCUGAAUAUGAUCGAUCAAUGAAGCAAGCCGGAACAGACAACAAGGAGAUAACCGAGUUGAAGAACAUGGUGAGCCAGCUUCUGAAGAGUAACAAUCGCCCAAUCCAUGCUUGUGAGACCAACAAUGGCGCAGAAGAUGAAGGACCUAGUGAUAUCGAUCACAUUAAUCAAGCCUUUCAAGAGGAAGAUGUGAACUAUGUAGGAGCACUGGUGCCAUAUCAAAAUCGCUCCAAUAAUAGCUUCAACAACAACUUCCGGAAUGCAAAUUACAACAAUCUCUCUUACCGCAAUCCAAAUGUGGAGAAUCCUCAAGACCAGUACUACCCACCUCAGCAAAAAUCCUUUCAAAACAAGUUUCAAGGUGGAAACGUUGGAGGAAUAGUACCAUAUCAACCACGACAGCCAUUUAACUACCAAGGUACGGGUUUUAACAAUCAAUUUGUACGACAGCAGGGAGUCACGACGAACCAGCUAGCUUCACAAAUCGGUAGACUUGAACAGUCAAUCCAACAGCUCGUUAUGACGAACGAAAAAGCAUCUAAAGACGUGAACGUGAAAGUGUACUGCAUGUACAAUGAUCUGAAUGGUAAGUUUGAAUCUUUAUCUUCGCACGUAAAAAAGUUAGAUGUGCAAGUCGCCCAAACAGCCGACUCUAUGAAGAGGCAAAGUGGAGUACUUCCAGGAAGAGUUGAAGAUAACCCUAAGAAGUUUUGCAACGCCAUAACCACAUUGCCCGAAGAAGAGGCCGGAACCAAUGGAAAGAAAGAAGAAACCCCAAUCUUUGUACCACUGUACAAGGAUAUCAAUCCCAAGAAGCCACCGUUUAAGGUACCUGAACGAUCACCGUUUUAAAGGCUUACCAAAGCCGAUGAUCCAGGACGUUUUGUUUUCCAGUGUUUCAUUUCAGGAAUCAAGUUUACAGACUGCUUGUGUGAUUCCGGAGCCAAUGUCAACAUCAUGUCUAAGACGUUUGCCGAAAAAUUGGGCACUAAAACCUUAAAGACAUCGACGGUUAAGGUUAUUUUUGGAGAUUCAUCUCAAAAAGAUACCAAAGGGGCAAUUCAUGAUCUACAAGUUCUAGUGGGAGACAAAAUCGUUCCAGCAGAUUUCCAAGUCCUGGAAAUGGAUAAAGACAAGGAGAGGCCACUCAUUUUCGGGAGACCAUUCCUAGCUACAGUAGGAGCAGUAAUCGAUCACGCAAAACGACAUGUUGUUUUCCUCAAUGUGGAUCGAAAAAAGUACUAUCCGACUAUCUUAGACGAUUUUCCAAGCAAAGGAAACAUACCAAAAGAGAAAGAGAAGGAGAAGCCGAAAGCUUUUGCAAAGAUCAAGAUCAUCAUUCCACCAGAUGCAACAGAAACUAGUGAGGACUAAAUCCAGGAGCUGAUCGAAAACACAAAAAGGGUUUUAAACAAUAUUAAAGUUCGAAAGAAGAGUAAAGGAAAGAAGACGGCUCCUCAAGGAGAAGAAGUAAAACCUCCAGCGACCGGAAGUGAUAAAGGCACAUCAAGUGGAGUGCCAUUCAAAUCAGCCUGAUUCCUCAUGCUUACGUCGAGCUAAACGACUUAAAACAAAAGCGCUUAAUGGGAGGCAACCCAUUUAGGUACUCUUUCUUUUAGUUUUCUUUUCCUUUUUUUUUACAAUUUAUACUUUCUUUUUCUUUUUAAGUUUUAGGUAUUUUAUAAAACAAAAACACAAAAAAAAUCAGAAAAUUAAGAAAACCAAGAAGAAAAAGGUAGGUUUUUAGCUGCUCGGCCCGGCAAAGACGAGAAGGUUGGACAAAGGCCGCAUGAGGAAGAGCCGCGGUCGCGACUGACUGACCUGCGGCCAAGGGAGCAUCGACCGCGGCACCGUGAAUGUGACCGCGGCCGAGCACUCGACCACCGCGGUCGCGCGUCUCCUGACCGCGGCCGUUGGUCGUUGAGGUGAUUCCGCGGAUUUCUGCCGCUUUUCGGUGUUGCCUGGUGUUUGCCUGGUGAUUCCUGGUGUUGCCUGGUGUAUUCUCGGUGUUGCCUGGUGUUUGCCUGGUAAUUCCCGGUGUUGCCUGGUGUUUUCCUGGUGUUGCCUGGUGUUUACCUGGUGUUUACCUGGUGUUACCUGGUGAUUCCCGGUGAUUCCCGGUGAUUCCCGAAAUGUUCCCGGUAAAAUCCGAAAAGCUCCUCCGUAAGUUUUAAACUUUCCUAAUGUGCAAACAAGAAAGGUAAGUUCCCGUAAACUUAAAAAUUUCUAGAAAUUUUCCGUUUUUGCUACAAAAACGCUUUUUAAAGAAAAGAAACAAACUUUUUGGAUCAAAACUCCUUCUUCUCUUCUCUUCCAAAAGAUUUGGAGAUUUAGGAGAUAGAAUACAUUUUUCAAUUCUUAAGCUUUUUAAAAGAUUUUUGGCUCAAACCUCACUCUUUUUCAAAGCUGAUUCCAAUUCUGCAAUCAAAUCUCUCUUUCCAGCAAGGUAUGAACCUCAAACUCGCCAUUUUUAAUUGAUUUCAUAACUUAGGGUUUUUUUAAAAAUCCCAAAUCUCUGUUUAUUGAUGGUAGAAAUAGAUUAAGAAUGAUAGAUUAUCCAUUUAGGUUAUCUAAAAAUUGAUUUUAGCACCUAGCUUAAGAGGAAUUGAGAUUUUUGAAAUUUGGAUUCUACAUGCUUCAUAAAAAUCGAAUUUGGAACAGCAAAAUUGAUGAGUUUGAUUAAGUCUUGUGUGAUUAAUGAUUAGUAUUGUGUGAGCCAAAACUCAAACAACCAGAAAUUUGUUUAAGGAAAACUAAGGGAUCGGAAACUUCUAGGGUUUAUCGCCAAAAACAGUAAGAUCGAAAGAAAGUUUUUCUUGCUGUAAAAGUGUUUAGCUCUUAUUGCUUAGGGUUGCAAAAGUUACAGAAUGAAUUGUAUACAUCGUCUAUUUAUACUAACUCUCUGAACCGCCUAGCCGAGAAUCUCGGGAGAGAUUUUCGGAAUAUUUCCUUAUCGCCUCGUGCGGCUCACCGCCUUUGUAUUUCGCCUAGGAUUUUUAUGGGCUUCGUCUCCCAAGGCCACGGUUUGGCCCAUCAUUCUCCUUUGCCACGGCUCGGCCAUCUAAUUUCUUCACGGCUCGGCCCACUUGCCAUUUCGGUCGAGACAUGAUCUGGUCCACCUCACCGAGGCGCGGCUCGGCCCAAGCAUGUUGGAAUGGGGCUCGGCCCAUUUCUUACGAUACGGCUCUCCCUACUGGUCUAUCGUCACGGCUCUCCCACUUGGUGAUCGCGGCUCUCCCGCUUGUCUUGGUGAGAACGGCUCUCCCACUUGUCUUGGUGAGAACGGCUCUCCCACUUGUCUUGGUGAGAACGGCUCUCCCAUUUGGUGACCACGGCUCUCCCACUUAUCUUUCUUCCAUACUUAGUCAUUUUGAGAUGGUUUUAUCUGCGUGGGGUGAAAACCGACCCCAACAGUUAGCCCCACUGCUCGUCAGUUUCGGAGGCGAGAGUAACGAGGUCCAUUACUCCUGACCGUAGGAUAAACCAUCGAGUCAAGCUGUUAUGACAUAGGCCCAGAUGAGGUGUUUUGGGAAUGAAGACGCCGAGGUGUUUCCAAGGAGUGCCGAGGGUGCCGAGGUGUUUCGAAAGGGUACCGAAGAUGCCGAGGCAAGUUAAGGACGAGGCGACCUCGUUUGGUAAUAAUGGGCCGAUGCGAUUUCGUUUAGUAAUGAUGAGCCGUGACGAGGCGAUUUGAGAAGGUUAUACCGAGCCGAAUAAAUGGCGAGGCGUUUCGAGAGAAAGUUUGUGCCGAGCCGUUUCGUUAAUGACAAGGCGUUUCGAGAGAAAAUUCGUGCCGAGCCGUUUCGUUAACGACGAGGCGUUUUGAGAGAAAGUAAAUGCUGAGCCGUUUCGUUAACGACGAGGCAUUUCGAGAGAAAAUUCGUGCCGAGCCGUUUCGUUAACGACUAGGCGUUUCGAGAGAGAGUAAAUGCCGAGCCGUUUCGUUAACGACGAGGCGUUUCAAGAGAGAGUAAAUGCCGAGCCGUUUCGUUAACGACGAGGCGUUUCGAGAGAGAGUAAAUGCCGAGCCGUUUCGUUAACGACGAGGCGUUUCAAGAGAGAGUAAAUGCCGAGCUGUUUCGUUAACGACGAGGCGUUUACUUUGGUAAGAUAUCGGCUGAAAAAUUGGGCAUCACAACUGUUGGUCUUCCGAGAGAAAAUUCAUGAUCUGUUGGCGCGUGUGACCGACGCAGUUCGGUCUAGCCGUUCCACUGCGGAUCCCACGCGCUGUUUGGACGGUUUCCCGAGGUUUACGCGGAAUUCACGCGCUUCGGUUUUCCUAUAAAUGGGUGAGCUCCUUCAUUCUUCCUCAUUAUCUUCAGACUCACUUUUUUUACUAAAGGUAGCUCUCCCUUCUCUCUUCUUUCUCUCUCUAGUUUAUUUAUUUUCCCGCUAGGGUUUCCGAGGUCUCCGCCGUUCCAGAUCUUUUUCCGGCAGAGGCUCGCCGAGUCGUGCUGUAAUUCUUGUACAAGUCGUAAGUUAUGUCGAGCCACUCCGACGAUUCGUUGGAUUCACUCUUUCACUACGAGCCGAGCCGUGUAGAUGCCGAGGCGAGAGGUACAACAGAAUCCUCCGAGGCAUCCGUUUCGCCGAGCCCUUCCAAUCGUUCAUCUGACGAGGCGUCAAAUCAUGCAAAACCGUCAGAUGUCGACUCUACAGAUGAUGAGCCAUCGGUUUCGACGAGCCGUCCCCAGGAUCCCAUUCCUGAUGAAGGUAUCAACUGCGCCGCAGUCUAACCCGAGGAGGAGGCAUUUCCCUUUGACCUAUUCGAGGCGAAGCGUGAGUUGGAACGUCUCAUAGCGUCUCGAGGCGCUUCCACAUCUGGGCGAGGGCCACGAGUUAAAAGACAAAAGCCUGACCCGCCUGGCUCUACGCUUUGCUCCCUUGAGUCGCUCUAGGCGUUGAGGCAUCGCUUCAGGAUAUCCGAGGCGGUGGAGUUCAUCGUUCCAGAGAAGAGCGACCGAGCCGACAAGCCUCCAGAGAAUCACUUCACUCUGUACGAGGCGUUCUUCGAGCUUUGCUUUCUCUGGUUCCCAAUCCCCGGAGUGAUCCUUGAAUAUCUCUGGAAACACGGGAUCUCGAUUGGGCAAAUCAUGCCGAGGGGAUUACGGCGUAUGAUUGGCAUCUUAGUUCGUAGCUCCGAAUGCGGACUCGAUAUCGAGCUGAAUCACCUGCUGGACUUGCUGGAAAUCAGGAAAGCCCCGAAGGGAAAUAGAUUCUAUAUUUCCAACAAGGCGAAACGACGGAUCAUAGGCGGUUUUCCCAGCAAGGAUCAGUUUUGGACUGAACGCUUUUUCUACGUCUUGGUGAACGAGGCGUCGGUCGGCGAGGAUUACGUUCAAAGAACCAAGACCGCUUGGGGAUCACUUGGUAGCCGACCCGAAGCUCUGCCUCGGCUCGGAACUGCUUUUGGUAUCCUCUUCCUUUUCUGAAUUUUUUUCUUUUUUGCUUUGUUUUGCAGUUCGGUGCUUUCUUCCCCCGAUUCCCGACGACCUUUUUACUGUUCAAGACUCUCUUUCGGCGCGGAAGGUUAAUUGGAGAAAGAACUUCACCCUCGAAAGAGUAGAAAGAGCGCGAGCCAUCCUUGCCGGAGUCCCCGUCAGCUCUUCGUCCUCAAGUUCUUCAAGACAUACCCGGGAGAAGAUAGUAAUAAUCGCUCUCAGAGAAAGGAAGAGGCGCGAGGAAGAGGAGGCCGCUAGAUGAGCUGCCGAGGCGGCUCGCGCGCAUACCGAGGCAGUUCCAGCGCAAGCCGAGGCGGUUUCAGCGCAAGCCGAGACCAUCCCUCAACCCGACCCGCCGAGCCAGGAAGGGGAUGUAAUGGUCCAAGCCGCAGAAGGAGACACUGCCGAGGCGGCUGAUAAAGAUGCAGCGCCCGAGGUGGAACCGGGCGAAAUUAUCCCCGAGGUGUCCGGGGACGGCUCGGCGGCGCGGAGUAAGACUCCUUCGCACACCGCCAUCCUGGCCCUCCCGAAGUCGACGAGGCCACCGACUUCGGUUGUUCAGAAGCAUGACUCUAGCCGAAAACGUUCGGCUACUGACAAGGGGAAGGGCGUCGCCGUUCAGAAGGACGAGCCGUCCAAGAAGAGGCGGAAACCGACGCCCGGGGACCCGCCGCGCAUAAGUUGGUCGUUGACGACCCCAACGCCUCUGCCGUCAUGUUCUCGCGUGUAAAUAACGCGAACACGAGUCUUCCUCCUCUGGAGAAGCUGAGGAGGCCGAGGUCAUACGGCACGAUGGAACAGCACGGUACCAAGGUACGUUCUAUUUUCUUUCCUUUAUUUUUGCAAAUUUUACGAGGUGUUUAACGCACGUCUGUUCUCUGCAGUUUGUCGCGGCCAUUAACGACCUGAUGGCCGAGUAUGAGGCGGACCUGUCUAAGGUCGAAUGUCGUUUGGACGAGGCCCGAAAUGAAACCGUGGCGUCAAAGGUGAAGCUGGAAGAGGCGCAAAACGAAGCCGCGGCCGCGAAGGGGAAACUCACCGAGGCGAUGACCCGAGUGUCGAGGUUGGAAGAGGAGAAGAUAGUUCUCCGCGCUGACGUCGACAAAGUUUCCGCCUUGGUGAUUCGCCUGGAGGAAGCAAGGAGAGCUAAAAGCGCCGAGGUGGCGAUGCAAGAGGCGUAUCGAAGCCAAGGACGCUCUGUUUGAUGCCAAGGUCAAGCGGGCAAAAAAGGAGGCGAGGCGAGAGCUUACGGCUAAGUUUCAGGAACGCCUCGCCAAGGUAGAGGAAGAUUUGGUCAAGCUCGAGAAGGCCAAAAAUGAUGAGAACGAUCUGGGGCAGAUCAAGGGCAAUCUUGCGAUGAUUGCCGACCUGAAGAAGCCGGACACCCCGACGCUUGAUGACGAGGAGGCGAAGCUGAAAAGUUGGGAGAGUGAGUAUGCCAACGACGAGGCGUACGAGCGUAUUGCUUCCGAGAUUCAAGGCGAGCUGUUUUACUCUCCCGUAUCGCUGGACUCGGUAGACACCAGCAUUGGCAACGAGCCGCUUGAAGAGACAGCGGCCAACCUGGGUGUCGUUGAUCCGACCAGAUCGAACGCGGGGACACCAGCCCUCUCGAACCUCCUUGCCGAGCGCGAGACGCAAUCCGUGGCUUGAUACUCUCUGCUUUCCCUCACCCUUUAUUGCACAUGUUCUUCUUUUUGUUUUUGUACUUAAGUUUUUUCAUGAUUCACUUUUCGAACUCGUUAUGUAAUUGGUGCCUGGAUGGCUUUAUCCACUUGACUUUUAUUUUUGCUUUAUGGAUAUAUUUUAUUUUCCUUAGCCAUUUUCGGAUUUACUUGUCUAACAAUCCAUGAAAAUGUUUACGAAAACUGUUGGCUUAGAAAAAUUGUCAAGGAUGAAAACUGUGUGUCGAGAAUGAUUUGAUUGCUUCCUUAGCCGGGCUUUUCGAAAUUGAUAGAAAUACGGGCUAAGGGGUGAAUUGUGUUAAGGAUCUCGUUUGGAUUCUUAAUCCCGAGCUGGGAGUUUAGGUGAUAAUGUCGAGGCAAAUUUCCACUGGCAAUGCCGAGCCGUAUUUAACGACGAGGCGUUUUCGCUGUGUAAGGUGCCGAGCCGUGUAAACGGCGAGGCGUUUUCUCUAAGCGUGGUACCGAGCCGUGUACACGACGAGGCAUUUUUUCUGUGCAUGGUGCCGAGCCAUAAGAACGACGAGGCGUUUUCUCUUUGCGUGGUGCCGAACCGUAAGAACGACGAGGCGUUUCGUUUUUUGUUCAGCCAAGAAUGAUUUGGUAGUCUCAUUGAAUCUUACUAUGGACCGGCGUUUCCGAGAGGAUGAAUAUGUUUGUCCGGGUUUUAAGAGUUUACUUCGGUUUUAGAGAAAGCGAUGUAGUCUCGACUUACAUUCUCGUGUGCGAUAGUAAACCGUGGCGACCUGAUACGUUUUUGGUCUGAUAUUUGUAUAGCGCUUAAUUUUUAUCCGUAGAGGAUGUAACUUGCACCCUCGUCCUAGGAAAGGUGGUAAAGUUCGUUUAGAGAACUUUGUAUUUGUUGCCCCGUUAUGGCCAGCAACGAGACGAGGCGUUCGGAGGCUUAGUUUGCCGAUCUGAAACUGAGGACCGAUUAAGGUCUGAGGUAAUCAAGUCAUGAUAUCGUGCCGAAGUGGUAUGAUUACUCUCCGAAGUGAUGAGUGAUAAAAUUUUAAAAAUCCGAGCUUGUUAAAAUAAGUUGCUGAUUUAGAAAAAAUGAGAAACUAGCCGAAGCGAUAAUGAACGAACUAGAAAUCCAAGGUAAACGUGCAAUAAGUAGAUGAUUAAAAACGAACUGAGAAUGUGCCGAAGUGGCGAUGUUCCUAAGUGAGCAAGUUAAAAUUGUAGAGUUAAAGAAGGUAUGUGUAUAAGUACCCACUCCCCCCCCCUUUUUAGGAAGGGGGACAGCUGAACCCGUCCGAGGACGGGCUGCCUACGUACCCUUUGAAGGGAUCAAGCCGUCCCGUAGUUCAUGCUUGCCAUGCUGUACCUUUAAUGAUAAUACUUUUUUAGAUGCAUUGCGUUCCAUGAUCUUGGAAUCGCUUCGUCAGCUAGUGUCGCGAGUUCGUAGACUCCUGGACGAACCACUUUUGUGACCUUGUAAGGACCUUCCCAAUUUGCUCCGAGCUUUCCUGCGUUCUUCUCGGCAGUGUUUUGGAAGACCUUUCGGAGGACGAGCUCCCCUGCUUUGAAUCUUCGACUACGAACGUUUUUGUUGUAGUAUCGCGCCGUUGCUUGUUGAUAGUUCUGGAUCCGAAUUAAGGCUUGGUCGCGCUUUUCGUUGAUUAGGUCGAGCUCAUCUAGCAUCAUUAAGUGGUUCAAGCCCUCCUGUCCUGGUAGAAGUCUUCGUCGAAUACCUGGGAAAUCCACCUCGGGGGGAAUUACGCACUCCGAUCCGUAGACCAAAGCGAAUGGAGUUUCCCCGGUGGCUCGGCGCGGAGUUGUCCGAUGAGACCAAAGGACUCCUUCGAGUUCGUCUGCCCACCGUCCCUUCUUGGCGUCGAGCCUCUUUUUCAGACAGUCGAGGAUCAUCUUGUUGGCUGCUUCGGCUUGUCCAAUCCCUUGAGGGUAUCUUGGCGUAGAUUUGCUGAGGCGGAUUUUCCACUUCUCGCAGAAGGCUUCGAAGCGUGUUGAGAUGAACUGGGAUCCGUUGUCGGUGACUAUCUCGUAGGGGACCCCGUGUCGGCAGAUGAUAUUUUUCCAGACAAAGUGUUCGACUUGAACAUCCUUUAUGCUUGCGUAGGAAUCGGCUUCGACCCACUUGGAGAAGUAAUCCGUGAGGACGAGCAGAAAACGAUUCUGCUUUGAGCAAUGUAGAGGUCCGACGAUGUCCAUCCACCAUCUCAUGAACGGAUAGGGUGAUGAAAUUGACGCAACUCGGUAGGUUGAUGAAUUGUUGGAGCGUGCCGCUGACACUUCUCGCACUUCGCCUUAAAUUUCUCGUAGUCCUUGACCAUCGUGGGGCAGAAGUAGCCGUGCCGUUUUAUCUUGAUAGCGAGCGACCUUCUGCUGGAAUGGUUCCCGCACGCGCCGCUGUGCACCUUGUGCAUGAUCUUUCUUGCCUCCGGUCCUUCGACGCAUGUCAUGAAAGGCCCUGAAAAUCUCCAUUUAAACACCUCGCCACGACGAGGACAUACCGUGCGACCUGAGCUUUUAGUUUGCGGGCUUCCCAUUUGUCGGUUGGCACCUCUCCAUCGGCGAUAUACACUCGGAUAGCUCCGAGCUAUUCUUUGUCGCAGCCGUACUCCGGCUCGGUCGGUGAGGCGUCUUCAUCCAUAGGAAUGGCUUCGUCGUCCUCUGGUUCUUGUUCAGGAGGAUUUAUCAGCCGAACUCCUUCCACCUCUUUGAUGCUAGGACGUUCGAUGAAUUCGACUGGGAUCGUCCGUCGGAGGUCUGGGUCUGAGGUCGAAGCGAGUGCUGCCAAGGCGUCGGCCGAGGUGUUUUCCCCUCGGGGAAUGCGCGUGAGUUCGUACUCGUCAAACUUUUGCACCAACUCUCGGACCACCUUGAGGUAAGCUCCCAUUCGUCCAUCCUUCGCCUCGUAUUCUCCGUUGAACUGACAUGCUACGAGCUGUGAAUCGCAAAAGGUUCUUAUCUUUCGAACUCCGAUUCCCUACGCUAGUCGUAUGCCGGCGAUCAGUGCUUCGUAUUCCGCUUCGUUGUUCGAGGCGUGGAAGUUUAGGUGAAAAGACUGCUCCAAUAUCUCUCCGGUGGGAGAGGUGAGGCGAAUUCCUAUACCCGAGCCGUGUUUAGACGACGAGCCAUCGACGUGCAGCGUCCACACUUCGUCUAGAGUCGGCUCGUUUGUUUCUUCGGCGGGAAGUUCAAUGAGGAAAUCUGCGAGCACCUGUGACUUUGCAGACGACCUGUUCCGAUACUCGAUGUCGUAUUCGCUUAGCUCUAUGGCCCACUUGGCGAGCCGACCGGAUUGGCUAGGGCUGUGAAGGAUCGAGCGCAGCGGAAGCGUAGCGAGCACAACAAUCGAAUGUUAUUGAAAGUACGGGCGCAGUUUGCGAGCCGAGACUACGAUGGCUAGGGCGACCUUCUCGAUCUGGGGGUAGCGGGUCUCGGCGUCGGUUAGUGUCUAGCUGAUGUAGAAAAUGGGUUUUUGCUCGGAUCGUUCUUCUCUGAUAAGCACUCCGCUUACGGCUGUAGCAGACACUGCGACGUAGAGGAAGAGCGGCUCUCCUUCGACUGGUUUUGCUAAGAUUGGUGGGCUCGCCAGAUAAUUCUUCAGUUCCUGGAAAGCCGUCUCGCAUCGUUCGUCCCACUCAAAUUUCUUGUUUCCUCGGAGGGUGUCGUAGAAGGGCAGGCAUUUGUCUGUAGAACGGGAAAUAAACCUGUUUAGCGCGGCGACUCUACCUGUGAGCCUUUGCACUUCGCGCUUCGUUCUUGGAGAGGGCAUCUCAAUUAACGUCUUGAUCUGCUUGGGGGUUGCUUCUAUGCCUCGGUGAGUUACCAGAUAGCCGAGGAAUUCUCCCGAGGUGACCACAAACCUGCACUUUGCCGGGUUUAGUUUCAUGUUGUGCUUGUUCAAUUGUUCGAAGCAUUCCCAUAGAUGCGCGACGUGGUCUUCCUCCUUGAGUGAUUUGACUAACAUGUCGUCGAUGUAUACUUCCAUGGUUUUUCCGAGCUGAGCCGCGAACAUUUUAUUGACGAGCCGUUGAUACGUUACUCCUGCGUUCUUGAGCCCGAACGGCAUGACUUUGUAGCAGUAUAUCCCUCGAUCAGUUAUGAAUGCCUUUUUUUCUCGAUCAUCAGGAUGCAUCAGGAUCUGAUUGUAGCCGGAGAACGCGUCCAUAAAUGUUAACAGUCUAUUCCCUGCAGUGGCUUCGACGAGCCGGUCGAUGUGUGGCAAGGGAAAGCUGUCUUUUGGGCACGCCUUGUUGAGGUCGGUGAAAUCCACACAUACUCGCCACUUGCCGUUCUUCUUCUUCACGACCACCGGAUUUGCGAGCCAAUCCGGAUAUUUGGCCUCGGCGAUUGAUCCUACUUUGAGUAACCUUUCAACUUCGUCGUUAACUGCUUUAGCUCGUUCGGGGCCGAGCUUCCUUCUUUUCUGCUUGACUGGCUUAAAGGUCGGAUCCACAUUCAGCUCGUGACAGGUUACGUCAAUGCUUAUGCCUGGCAUAUCUUCUGCUGUCCAGGCAAAAGUGUUGAUGUUCUCCUUGAGGAGGGAAAGGAGUUCGCUUCUCAGAGGCUCUUCUAGUUUUAUUCCAAUUUCGAUGCAUCGCUCCGGACGCGCCUCGUCUAUGCACACCGAGUCCACUGCAUCGCAUACCGGCUCGGCGCGUGUUUCGCGGUUCUCCGUGAUCUGUAAUUGCUAUAAGAGUUUCGAGAGCUCGUUUGCGGGCUCUCGGUCUGUCUUCAUCUUUUUGCGGUCUAUAUCUGCUCGUGCGUCAGUGACGGGGUUCCUCAGCUUGUGCUCGGCUAAGCAGCACAUUCUUGACUCCUUCUGAUUCCCCCAUAUCGUUUUGACACCCGAUGGAGUUGGGAAUUUGAGACAGAGAUGAUAGGUGGAUGGUACCGCCCUCAUCCCGUUGAUCCAUGGAGUUCCCAUGAUCACAUUGUAGAUUGCUGGGUGAUCAGUGACGCAGAAUUCGACGAUCUUAGUGACUCCGCCAGCUACCACAGGAAGCCUGAUCGUUCCCAUAGUCAUCGUCGUUUCUCCUGAAAAUCUGGUUAGAGGUUGGGGAUUGCUUCCACCUCGGAGAGGUCGAUUCCCAUUUUUCUGAGUGUUUCUCUGAAGAUGACGUUCACUGAGCUUCUAGUAUCGAUGAGCACCCUUGCCACAUCAUGAUCCAUGAUCGUUAACUCGAUCACCAACGGAUCGUUGUGAGGUCGAUCAAUUCCUGCCGCUUCCUCCUCGGCGAAGGAGAUCACUGUGUUUGGGAUGUCGGUUGGUUUUAUCCAAUUCUCCUUUGCUUCGGCUCGGCGCUGAUAGGCUUUGAUGGAGGACACGGUAUCAUGGUAGUAUUGAGAUCCACCCAUGAUCAUAUUGAUCCUUUGCCUCGGCACGGGUCGCUCUUCGGGUUCACCUCUCCUGUCGCGCUUGGAGUUAUCGCCUCUUCGCGCUGCUCGGCUCGGCUCUCUCUUGUUGUUCGUUAGGGACGAGGUCUUUGAGGUUGACCGCGUUUUGGAGCUCUCCCGCUGCCAUCUUAGGCACGAGUUUUGCUCCUAGAGUUCGGCACUGUGCCGUUGAGUGCCCGUAGGUCUGGUGAUACUCACAGAAAGCCUUCUCGUCGUAGUUGGCGGAUUUCCUCACCCAAGUGUUGUUGCGCGGCUCUCCUCUUCCGCGUCCGGUGCCUACCUGGUAGUUAUGGGCACCUCCGCUUCUAGGUUCAUCCGAGCUCUGCGUUGUUGCGUUGUUUGAUGGGUUGCCCUUCCUCGCGGGGCGCGGCAAAAUUGAGCUUCGGAUUGCUGCUUUCGUCGCUUCGUACCGCUCGUCCAAGUUUUUCAUUUCCUCCUCGUUUACGACGAAGUCUGAUGAUCGGUGCAGAGCGUCUUGAAUUGUUUGCGGCGUGUUGAGAGCCAUCUCCCGUUGGAACUCGGAUUUGUACCACAAAGAUUGUUUCAGAGCCUCGAGCGCAGCCUUGUCGCUUAUCCCUUCUAUUUUGGAUACGAGUGCCUUGAAUCUUGCCAUGUAAUCCCGAAGCGGCUCGUUCAGUCCUUGGGAUAGUGUCCACAGAUCGGCAUCAGAUGUUCCUCUGUCCAUAAACAUCGAGUAUUGUUUCUGGAACAAGGCGGAGAGCUGUUGAAAAUUGCCGAUUGAAUUUCGUUCCUGCCUCGAAAACCACUCGAGUGCGGCUCCCUUGAGAUGCUCCACGAAGAGCAGGCAGUAUCCGGCAUCUACUUUGCGCUCGGUGAGUUUAGCGGCGUUCUUUGUGAAGGCUCGUCCCAUUGCUAUCCGAAACGCUGUGAUGUGUGCUUUCGGGUCGGUUGUUCCUUCGUAGAACGGGAUUCUCACCUUCCCCGGCUCGGGAAUCCUGGCCUCCGUGAUUCUUGCAGUGAAUGGAGUUCUCUGAGUUUCUUCAAGCAUUCGGUCGAUUUCGGGCGCUGCGCUUGUCACGUUGUGCACUUGGGAUUUCAUGGCGCGUAUUUCAGCUACUGUCCGAGCUAUCGAGGCUCGCAGCUCUUUGAGUUCGAGAGUUUGUGUGUGAAUCAUUCCCUUUGAUUGGGGGAGUCGCUCCCGCUCCUCUCUCCUCGGCUCGUCUUCGCGCUCUGCCUGUUCGAUCCAUUGGCGAUUUUCUUCCUCCUCGGUUGGAUUGUCGCUGCGGGUCGGGUCGGAAACUUCGUCAGUUCGGAUGCCGUUUAGUGCCGAGGCGAGGUCUUCUUGACUUAUUCGCCGAGCCGAGCCGGUUUGUUGCGGAUUCGUGGUUCAGUCGUUAUGCUGGGCGUCUACGUCGAUCGCAUGGUUUUCUUCUUCGCCGGCUCGCCGCCUUGAGUUUCGGCGGAGAGGGGGCGGCUCGGUCAUGUUGACUCUGGUUGCUGCGGGGGGUCUUUUCGUCGAGGAGACGAAACAUUGGAGGAGCCGAGGGGUUUCUUGCGCCACUCCCUGAGGCUUCUGCAGGUGUCGAGAAAUCGAAGCGUCUCCGGAUUCCAUCCAUCGGGUCGGGAAUUCCGGCUCUCCAAGUUUGGUGCAGUCGCUCAGCCGCCAUCGCGUCGAGCCUUUCCGUAAUCGCCUCGUUUCUUUUAUCCUGUUCGUCGAUUUUCUUCAUCAACGCAGCCAUCAUGUUUGCAUCUCCUCCUGGGUUUUGAUCGUUGCUGUCGUUGUGCCCGAUGCCGGAGCGUCCUUCUCCGUGCCGUUACCGGUGUUGUUGUUGUUGUUGUCGUCGGGGGUGUUGCUCGCCAUGUUCUUCGGAUCUUAAAGUCUUGUCGAUUUAGAGUAAGAAAGUUUCGAUUCCCCACAGACGGCGCCAAAUUGUGUGAGCCAAAACUCGCACAACCAGAAAUUUGUUUAAGGAAAACUAAGGGAUCGGAAACUUCUAGGGUUUCGCCAAAAACAGUAAGAUCGAAAGAAAGUUUUUCUUGCUGUAAAAGUGUUUAGCUCAUAUUGCUUAGGGUUGCAAAAGUUACAGAAUGAAUUGUAUACAUCGUCUAUUUUUACUAACUCUCUGAACCGCCUAGCCGAGAAUCUCGGGAGAGAUUUUCGGAAUAUUUCCUUAUCGCCUCGUGCGGCUCACCGCCUUUGUAUUUCGCCUAGGGUUUUUAUGGGCUUCGUCUCCCAAGGCCACGGUUCGGCCCAUCAUUCUCCUUUGCCACGGCUCGGCCCAUCUAACUUCUUCACGGCUCGGCCCACUUGCCAUUUCGGUCGAGACAUGAUCUGGUCCACCUCACCGAGGCGCGGCUCGACCCAAGCAUGUUGGAAUGGGGCUCGGCCCAAAUCUUACGAUACGGCUCUCCCUACUGGUCUAUCUUCACGGCUCUCCCACUUGGUGAUCGCGGCUCUCCCGCUUGUCUUGGUGAGAACGGCUCUCCCACUUGUCUUGGUGAGAACGGCUCUCCCACUUGUCUUGGUGAGAACGGCUCUCCCAUUUGGUGACCACGGCUCUCCCACUUAUCUUUCUUCCAUACUUAGUCAUUUUGAGAUGGUUUUAUCUGCAUGGGGUGAAAACCGACCCCAACAAGUAUUGGGUAAUCUUUAGAAUUUACAUGGAAAUUGCUUAUAAAAACCAAUUUUUAGAAGAUUUCUAUGUUGAGAACAUCAAAAAUCCGAAUCUGGUCAUGAACUACUUGAUUUCUCUGAUUUAUUAUCGAUUUUGUUUGCUCAUGGUUUUAAUUAAUCUCUUUAUGCUAGUAUUAGUAUAACAGAUCUUAAUGUGUUAAAAUCAGCAUCCAAAUUCACUCUUUUUCCAAGAACUAUUUCGUUUUGCAGAAAAAUGGACCAAAACAGAUCCCGAAGGAGCCGUCGCACUGGUGGCAGCUCCGAGGACAUUCCCGAUGAUGCUACUCUAGGAGAGUACAUGCUGAACCAAACCAGACCGAGAAGGAGAAACUAUGUGAUGAGAUUGCUCCAUCACUCAAGAGAAACACAAGCAGCUCCCGAGCCACCACAGAUUCUAUACAUUGGGAGGGAGACAAACCCGAGAGUGGACUAUGCAAGACGUUUCAAGAAGCUGAACAUCAAACCCACGCCUUGCAUAGAUUAUCAUACACUCGAGAUGCUUGGAAUCAGAGAAGAUGUGAUCUGGUACAUCAAUGCACUUAAGCUGAGACCCUACAUGGAGCUGAACCUUCCGACUUAUCCUGAGCUAGUCCGUGAAUUCUUAGCGACUAUUACACUACACCACACGAAGAGGAGGAACCCCAGAGCAUCAGAUGGCAUCUUGUCAUUCUCUAUCCGCGGACAGCCUUACUCUCUCACCAUUUCUGAGGUUUGUGAAGCUCUUAAGCUUCCAUACACUGAUGGCAUUUACCUUGAAGAUGAACCUGAUCUUAACCUGUGGAGAGAGAUGGGUCAUGGAGUCUAUGAUAGUGGGAGAUCGAAGUCAGCCCUUCUUACUCAUCCAGCAGUGAGAGUUGUGCACAAGCUAUUAGCACACACGAUCUUCUCUAGAGCAAACAUGGGAGGUGUUUUAAAGACUGAGCUCAUUACACAUCAGAUUCCGUUUAUGGACGACCCACGACUUGCUUGCUUUGCCUGGAUCAUAGCGCAGAAUACGGUAAACGUGAAGCAUGACUUACAUGGUUGCGAGGACGCUACUCCAGCUUUCAGGAGUGCUAUUACAGCGAUACUACAGGCUGUAGGAUUCGAUUUCUCAUCUGAUGAGCCACUUCCCGAUGUCUGGUAUGAUCUACUUUAUCUCUCUCGCGAUCACACUAUCUCUCGUGCCGCUUUCGAUCCAGACAGGUUUGGUUACAAGUAUUGCACUGGCACUGAGGAGCACCGAGUCAGUUUGCCUUCGGUAUCUAUCCCGAGAUUGUGUAACGGAGGACGUCCGCGAUGGACUCCGGAACCUGAUGAUUUUCUGCCUUCUGUACCUCGUCUACCAUUCACCAUUGGCCAAUACAUAGUGGCCAAGGUGAAGCGUGAUGCAGCUGCGGCCCGUGCCCAUUUUCAGCCAUCUGUUUUGACCGGCCACACCUCAUCAUCUACAUCAUCUCACACUCAUUCCGAUCUGGAGCGCAGAGUUGAGAGACAGGGACGACGCUUUGAGCGCGUUGUCACCUUCUUACAGGAGCAGCACCAGUUUGCAGACGACACAUCGGAGGAUGAGUGAUUGAUCAGCACUUCACUACCAUCACGGUUCUAUCAUCAAUUUCUUUUCUUUUAUCUUAUUUUAUUUCUCUUUUAUUCACCAUCUUCUCACCAACUUUUUCACACUGGGGACAGUGUGAUUUAAGUCUGCGGGAGGAUGUCUAUCCGUACUAAUCAUUUUCUUGCUUUUCUUUUUAAAUUCCAAGUACUUUUUAAAUUUUAAUAUGUAACCUAUUCGACAUUAAGUAUUUUUCAGGAAUGUUUGACGCAAAACUAUGAUGAUUUAGACCUGCACGCUUCUACACUAUGCAUGAUUGCUCAUUUGUGGUUAGCACUAGACUAGGCGGUAGCUAGAGUACUUGCACUACGAACUCCCACCAGAGGACUUCUAUUCAUGGAGAUUCUUUCUGACAGGAUAUACUAGCUCAUUUUAUUUGGACUUAAUAUUGAUAUCUAAUUUUUUCAUCAUUGAUUUUAGGCAGGCAUCGACAUACACAUCUAGGACGUCUUCUACCCUCACUUUUACCACUCUUUGUCGUCCUAGAUGACCUGUUUAUCUUUAUCUGGUACCAUACCCUAAACCCAAAACCCUUGUUUUCAAUCCUCAUGCAUUCUUUCUUUAGUUUAUAUCAGCAGAUAUGUGCAAAAACGUCGGAGAGAAGAGGAGCGACACAGUUUUCAGUCACUCACAAAGGAGACUGAAUGGAAUUGGGAAGGAAGAGUAUCAGAAAAAUCAUGAAGCUUUACAAGACAGAUAUUGACUGGUAAUUUCGUGCUCUCUAAGACUCUAUAUCUAAAGGUGUUCCCUUUCUCCCACAAAAAAAAAAAAAAAAAAAAAAAACGUGAAAAAAGAAAGGGAAACAAAAAGCCUAAUGAGUCUUAGAUUGUCAAAAAUUUGUGGAGCAAUAAGCAACCACUAAUCGUUUAAUUUUGAAAGAUUUACAUAAAUCUAAGUCUGGGGGAGUUAGGAGAGAACCUGAGGAAGAAGACCAGGAAUCUAUGGCACGAAGAAAGUGACUGAAAACUGUGGAUACCAACAGCUUAACUCUCUCUUGCGGUUUUGCAUAAUAUCAUGCAUCCUCCAGAUUUUCAAGUAACCCGUAAACACUUUAAACCUUACCCCUAGAAUAACCUUUUUAACACCUAGCCUAGAUUGCCUUGCCUAGACUUUCUUUGAUGAGAACCACCGAGAUUUUUAAUGAAUGUUAAGAGCUAGUUGACUGGAAGUUAGAUCCUAGUGCAUAGAUUUUCGCAUGAUGGAUUAACGGACUAGUUAUGCCUGUAUUGCUAGUGAGUAUUUUCUAGGCUAUUCCCGAUUGAUGCAUACUGAUUGAUAUUGGUCUAGAAGUUUGGUCUCUGAGAUUUUGUUUAGUUCCUGCGUUUUCAAACCUCUCACCGAGAUUUAGCCUUUGUUUUGUUUGAGGACAAACAAAAGACUAAGUCUGGGGGAGUUGAUAACACCGGAUUUUGACCAUUUUUAUGGAUCACUUUCAUAUCUUUUACCGGUGUUUUUACUCCAUUUUCAAAGAUUUUCAAAGGAUUUCUAUGUUUCCGGAUUUGAAAAGACUUUUCAGGUAAUUUGGGAUAAAGAGGCACAAAAUGAAACAAAAACUCUUUUGAAUAAAUGCAGACCGUCAGAACUCUCAUGGAGAGACGACGACCUUCUCACCGUCUGAUCACCUUCAAAACUGGACAACUUAUAGAAGAAUCAACCAGCUUUCAAAUGCACUUGGUUUGGAGACAUUCUAACGGUUGGAUCUCAAGAUAUUCCAUUAGCCCCGGAGCCACUCGAACUCGGCCAGAAAGUCACGCGACCGCGGUGAUCAACCUAUUUCCCGCGGUCAGAAGCUUCCCGACCGCGGCCAACCAGCCAAUCCCCGCGGUCACAACACUCCCGACCACGGCAAUCAAUCUCCGAAUUAAAGCCCAUGUAUCUGAAGCCCAAAGUCAUUCUCAGCCUCAAUUCCGGAACCCUAGAGACCAUGGAGUAUUGGAGACUAUAAAUACAUGUCAUUUAGGUCGUUUUUAGGGAGAGUCAUUCAUACUUUACAGAAACCCUUUUCCUUUAGCCGUUUUUAUGAGAUUUUUGUAGAAGAUUGUUCAAGUCCGAGUUCUUCAAUAGAGAAGCUUUCUUUAUCUCUUUUUUUUACUGUUUUUCAUUACUUUUAUUAAAACCAAUGAUGAUGUCGACCUCCGCCAUGUCUGAGUAGAUCCCGAGUUGGGCUUAGGGUUCCCGAAAGGGGCUCUCAUAAUCGAUUAAGACAUCUAGGUUUAUAGAUCUGGGAUUUCGACAUGUUCUCUGUUUAUUCUUGUUCUUAUUGCAUGUAUGCUUGAUUGAUCACCUAGUAUCUGAUCUAGAUAGUUAGUGUUGCGAAAGUUUUCAUUAAGUAUCAGCCCUAGAAUGAAACAGGCAAUUUUUUCGUAGGAGUGGAAACCUACCUGCGGCGAGAUCGUGAGUAUUGACGAGUCUUGUGCAGCUCUUGCGUUCUCUCCCUUCCAGGGCUAGAGUGGAAACCUACUGGUCUGGGUUGCGAGAAACAGUUGGUUAUGAUCACGACAAUGACGUAGUCAUACCGCCGUACUCUAGCUCUAGAACCCAUAUAUCGAUAUCCGUCAAUCCCAAUCUAUUUACCCUAGUGUUAAAACCGAUUAUGAUCCCUUAGAGUCCCCAAAAGCUCAGCGUUUUUAGCCAUAGUUUACAAUUCCAUCGAUUUUUAUUUGCUUAUUUAGGCCUGCAUUUCAAUUUCCUUAGUUUGUUAUUUACUUACUUUACUAGUAUUUCAUUCGAUAGUUUACUUGCCUUAUUAGUCUUUCAUUCGAUAUUUUACUUGUUCUAUUUGCCUUUCAUUCGAUUUCUUUACUUGCUUUUUAGGAUAGAUUUAUUUGCUUUCUUUUGUUUUAGUUUAAUACAUCAAACCAACCAACCUUUAAAAACCAAUCUAGUGUAGACAUAAAGUUAAAAACCGUAGAAGAAUACUAGGCACACAAAUCUAUGUGGAUUCGAUCCCUAAAUACUACAACUGAUUAGCUGUGCACUUGCGGCUUUCAUUUGUUUUGUUAAGGGUAAAACUUGAGAGAAAAGGUAUAUCAUCGAAAAAAAAUUCAUGCAAGAAAAUUUUGACCAUUAUUUGUGGUGUCUAUACCAUAAAAACCAAUAAUCAUCUAUGAUCGGAUCAGAAUUUACCGGCGUAAUCUCAGCAAACCCAUGCAAAAAAACGUCAAUAGUAACAAAACCAACUCAAAUAUAACCAUGAAACAAGUCUACCAUACAUAUGGAAUCUGUUUAACAUACAACACCCCAAAACAAGUCUACCACACCUUUGGUUUUUUUGUAGAUUGCUGAAUACCUUUAGGACAAAUAAGUAAUUUCAAUUGAAUAAGUCAAAUGUCUACCGAAAACAAUGUAACUAAGUCUACCACAAGCAAUGUAAAUAACUCUACCAUAAGAAAAACUCUACCUUCAAGCAUCAAAUAUGUCUACCAGAUUGAGGUUAUCUGAGUAAACACCAAAGUUAUUUAAUCUACCACAUGAAGCUCAAUAGAAGUCUACCAUACGUGCAAUAACUUUACCAAUUGAUUGAAAAUCUACUACAAUAACAAAAAAAAUCUACCACCAUUUUAUAAGUCUACCUCAUGUAACAAUAAAUUUACUACUCAACGGAAUGAAAUCACCAAAUUUUUACUUGAUUUAAAUCUUCCACAUUACUUAUAAAUCUACCACAAGAGCGAUAAAUCUACUCACAUGAUAUAACUCUACCAAUUUCAUAACUAAUCUACCUCAAUAGGGAUAAAUCUACCACCACGUUAUCUUAAAUUUUGGUGAAUAAAUCUGCCACCAAAAGAAAUAAGUCUACCAAUUCGAGUAUUAAAUCUACCCCCAUUGUCAACAAAUCUACCAACAAAAUCAACUAUGCGAGAGAGUCAACGAAUUCCUUAACAAGUCUACCAACACUUUAACAAGUGUGGCAUACAUGACAACAAAUCUACCGAAACUUAACAAAUCUAUCGUGUCAUUGUCAAAACUCUACCAAAAAAAGUAUAUCAACAUUUUACAAAUCUACCAAUUCUCGAAUAAAUCUACCAUCGUCCUAACAAAUAUGCCAUCUAAAAAAUUGUGUUGACCAACAUCUGAUAAGUCUACCAUCAAAGACCGGUAGGCUUAUCAUUUUUCAAGCGCAUCUUUUUGCCUACAUGGCACAAAAAAGUAAUGGCAUUUUUUUAAUUAGGUUUUUUUCAUCAAAGGCGAAAAUGAUGUUUUCGGUAUGCUAUGUUAUUUUUGUAAUAAAAAUAAAAGUAUGUCAAGCAAACAAUAAACAUACAUUUAAAGGUUUGUAUAGUAAUCCUUCCUUGUUUUAAUUCUUUUGAAAAACAGUUUAUAACAUCAAAAUAUGUUGUACAUUUUUAAAACCCUUAUGUCCGCGCAAAGCGCGGACCAACACCUAGUUAUAAUUUAAAAUCCAGCUAAGUUAUCUACAUACUAUAAUUCAUAAUUCACUAUUAAAAAAAUCAAAAUUCAUCCAUAUUAACCAUAAAUCUUACAAUUUUUAAACACACGAUAACAAAUUGGUAUUUUAUAAUUCUAUAAAUUAAGAAUCUUGUAUAGAUUUUAUUCAUAAUUCAUUUUUUAUAUACUUUUUUUUUGUCAUCAGCCUAAGUACCUAAAACGGUUCGGCUAUCCAAACCGGUGGUACCGAGUUUACAUAAAUGACGUCUUGAGGGUAGACACGAGCACUUCUUGCUAGGUUGUCCGCCUUCGAGUUUUUUGCGCGUGGGAUAUGUGAUAUAAGGAAGAAACUGAACUUGUCCUUCAUUUUCCUAAUCUCCUCCAAAUGUAGAUCAAAAGCUGGCCAUUCUUUGGGUGUAGACACCAUCUUCACCAACUCCAAACAGUCUGUUGCAAAAGCUACUUCCAUCUUCUGGUUUUCGAGCAUACAGUGCAUAGCCCAUAUGAGGGCUUCUAUUUCUGCAUGCAGAGGUGUAAGACUUUGUCUUACAUUUUGUGCUCCCAUUAUUCUUUCCGUAGCAUCUUCUUUAAAGAAGUACCAUCCUAAUCCCGUUAAAAGAUAUGUAUCUUUCCAAGAGCCAUCAGUAUAACACCACCAGCCUUCGUAGGCCAUAGGUGUUUACAAGUUCAGAGAAGUGCAAAGAUCGGUAGGAAUUGAAUCCUGUUCAGACCUUUGAGCCUCUUCCCACAAUGUUGCUUCUUUUUCCGCUAUUUUCAAUGUAAUCUGUGGAUCUAUAUCAUUAUUCGAAUACACUUUCUCAUUCCGUGCCUUCCAAAUAUACCAUGCGAUCCAUGGGAAUUUUGUGUUAUUCAACUCUUUUGGAAGUCGCCAAAAGAGAUGAUCAAAAUUCGAAUAAACCGAUGGUCCUGGGAAAAUCCCAAGAGGUGUUGGUAUCCGGGAUAAUGCCGAAGUUUGCAAAGCAGGAGGACAUUCAAAGAGCACAUGGUUAAUUGUUUUUUCAUCUGCUCCACACCGUGUACAUUGUGUGUCACAUUGUAUUCCACGGGUGCUUAAUCUAGCCGACACUGGAUGGCACCAAGAUAUUGCUUGCCAGAUAAAAUGUCUUAACUUCGACACACUUUUCAAUUUCCAAGCAUAUGCUUGUAAAGCCUUUAUGUCUGGGCCAAAGAUCUCCUCUGUUAUUUCUUUAGAUAAAUAACGCUCAGUUUUGUACCCUGAUUUUACAGUAUAUCGUCCGGAUUCUGUGAAAUGCCAUCCCAUUGGGUCUGGCCUAUAGGUUCUACUAAUGGGAAGUCCACGAAUAAUUUCCACAUCCGCUGGGUCAAUAAUUGCUGUUAUCAAACCCAUGUUUCACGAGUUUGUCACUGGGUCAAUCAGGUGAUUAACCAUAAGAUUCGGAUAAUAAUUGAAACCCUUACAAGUGGCUGAUCUCGGGCGAGUAGAAGGUAUCCACGGAUCAUUCCAGACAGAAAUGGAGCAUCCUGAACCUACCCUUUUAAUUAGCCCUUUAUUAACCAGAGAUCUAGCCGAUAUUAUACUUCGCCAUCCAUAAGACGGUGAGUAGGAUCUCACUGGGUCCAAAGGACUUGGAUUCCGAAAGUAUCGUCCUUUAAAGACCUGCGCAAAUAAGGAAUUUGGUCUAUCAAUCUGCGAAAGUAUCUUCAUUUUUUAUAUACUUUGUAUUUACUAAUCUUUUCUUUUAAUUUUUUCUAUUUUUUGAAUUUACAUUUAAAAAGGUAUAAUUAUUUUUCUAUUCUUAUUUGAAAUAAAUAAUUAAAAUAAGAAAUUUUAUCUCAUUUCAUUGACACAUGAGUCAAUCAUAAAUAACUGUGAUAUAUGACACAAUAUAGUGAGUUAUAAAAAUAUAAUGUCUUAUACAUAUAGAAUUUUAUUUUUGGUUUACUUUUGUUAUUUCUAUUUUGUAGUUUCUAUUUUCAUCUACUUUAGUUUUUUCUAAUUUAGUAAUUUACAUUUAAAAAUGUAGAAUUCCUUUUGUUUAGAAAAAAAAUAUAAUUUAACAUAUAAGAUUUUAUAUUAUUUUAUUGACAUAUGUUACGAUCAUAGUUAAGCGUGAUACAUGACACAAUAUGGUGAAUUAUAAAAAUCCUAUGUGCCAGUGUCACGUUGAGAGCACUGAACUUUCUUUUUUUUUUUUCACUGAAUAUUACGUAUAUUAAUAAUCGAUGAGCUUACAAGCAGACAAUACAAAACAUGAUCAAAAGCAAUCAAACACUCAUAUAGAACAUGAGUAUUACAACAAGGUAAUACUACUUUCAGAAACAAAAAUCUCUUCUAACCACUGAGGAUAGCCCGAGGCUAUAUAUGAUUGUCGACGAUCAUCUUUAGUCACACUUCUAGCAAUGAGGAAAGCACCUUGAUUUGUAACUCUUUCCUCAAGCGUAAGCUUCCAAUCCAAAAAAAUUUCCAAACCAUUCAAGAUCUCAGACGAAUAGAAUUUGAAAGAAGGCCAGGCUGGUGGCCGAUGAACCGCUCCUAUUAAAUCUGAAUCUUCCGAAGCAAAGACCAUUUUGGUGAUACCUAAGCUAUUCAAACUUUCAAUUGCCCAGAUCCAACUUUUGAAACUAGCAUCAAUGUGGCUGGAUACAGAACAGAAAGAUCUUCUACUGUGUAAAAGGACUGAUCCAAAAGAGUUCCUAAGAACCCAUGCAGCACCACCACAUCCUUUCUUUUUAUCCCAGGAAGAACCGAUAUUACAUUUCAACCAAGGUCUAGAGGGAGGAAGCCAAACCUUCGGGGGUUGAAUCACCUCCAUCUUUUUUUUAAUAGCUUCCUUUUCAUCCAACUCUUGAGCGUGAAACCAUUGGUUCACAUCUUCUUUAAUCUUGCCCAUAGUAUCAGAAACUCGGAAGCUCAUUCCUUCAAAAAUGAAGAUGUUGAGAUUCUUCCAGAGUAUCCAUAAGAUCCACGGGAUUGAUCUUCUGAUUUCCAAAGGCACUGAUAACUUUUUACCCACCAUCAAUAAAUGGAACAUGUUCUGAUAGAUGGAGUUUGAUUCAUAUCCAUUUUCAGGACUGGGUACAUUCGAAGAGGCCCAAACCUGUCUAGCAAUUGUACAUUUGAAUAGCACAUGAUUUAUGGAUUCACCUUCAAGCCCACAGAUUUGACAUCUCGAAUCAAUCUUCAUACCUCUCGAUGCAAUUUUGUCUGCAACAGGAAUGGCACCACUAAUUGCUUUCCAAAGAAAGUUUUUGAUUUUAGUGGUUGUAUUGAGCGCCCAGAUUUGGAGUUUGAUUGCAUUCAAAGACGGUUGCAUCAGAGCUUCCUUGAGGGCUUCAGAUGGAUUACUUUGAGAAGCAAACCAAUACCCUGAUUUAACAGAAUAUUCGCCACUUUUGGUAUGUUCCCAGCAGAAAAAAAUCCAAUGAAGAAACCACCGGGUUAGUUCUUAAGAUUAGACCAACGUCUCUUUGGAAGAAAUGCUCAUCGAGUUUAUCCCUAUCCCAGCUUUUGGAUAUCGGAUCAAUGAGGUCAAUAACUCUCAAAUCCAAAUUAAAGAUGAUGUUCUUUAUGAAGGGAGCUCUCAUAACCCCAUCACAAAGCCAUCGAUUAGUCCAUACACUAAGCGAAGCUCCAUUGCCAACCAUCUGUCUAAGACCUUUUUCUAAAAGAGAUCUUCCAUGAAGAAUGCUUCUCCAAGCAAAAGAGGGUCUAACUCCAGUAUCUGCGAGAAGGAAGGAGGAAGAAACAAAGUAUCGGCUCUUUAAGAACAAAGCAAGGAGACAAUCCUUAUCUUGUAGAAUUCUCCAAGCUUGUUUGGCUAAAAGAGCUUGGUUGAAGAUUUGAAUGUCUUUAAAACCGAUCCCUCCUUGAGCUUUAGGAAUGCACAAUUUAUCCCAUCCAAUCCAAUGCAUUUUCCUUUUGUUCUCGACAGUGUCCCACCAGAAAUCAGCCAUCGCAGAAGAUAACUUAUUACAGAUAGUUACUGGCAAUUUAAAACAGGUCAUGGAGAAAACUGGCAUCGCCAUCGCAACAGAGUUGAGUAACACUUCUUUUCCACCUUGAUAUAGAAGCUUUGAAUACCAUCCAGACAUUCUUCCUUUCAUUUUGUCGUGGAUGUAAGACAACAUAUCCACUUUAGAUCCACUAAAACAUUCUGGAAGACCCAAAUAAGUGCCCGCUCCACCUUCAUUGAUAAUACCCAAUUUGGUUUGAAUGAUUUCCUUCAUAUCCAUAUUCACGUUAGCACCAAAAGUGAUGGAGGAUUUAUCAAGGUUGAUGAUCUGACCAGUAACUCUUCCAUAAAGAGAAGAAUGGAUUGGAGGGUUGUGCACUGUUCUUCAUCCGCUUUAAUCAUAAAAAGACUGUCAUCUGCGAAUAACAAAUGGUGAAUGGCUGGACCAUCGGGAGAGAAUUGAAUCCCAUUAAUCAAGCCAGAUCGUUCAGCACAGUUGAGCAGAUAUGUCAAUCCUUCAGUACACAAAACAAAAAGGAAAGGUGAUAAGGGAUCACCUUGCCUUAUUCCUCUCUCAGGAAUGAUCAAACCAAAAGGCUGUCCAUUAAUCAGAACUGUAUAAGAAACCGAGGAGACACAGAACAUAAUCAUCUGGACCCAUUUUUGAUGAAAACCGAGAGCCAAAAGGAGCGCUUGAAGAUAGGACCACUCAACACGGUCGUAAGCUUUUGACAUGUCGGUCUUCACCGCCAUGAACUCCGUCGAAAUCCUAUCAUGAGUUCUCAAACCAUGGAUAGCUUCAUGAGCUAUUAUAAUGUUAUCUGAGAUAAGUCUUUCUUCAACAAAGGCAGAUUGAUUAGGAGAGACAAUCUCAGACAGAAAGGGUUUCAUUCAGGACACCAUGAUUUUGGAAAUCACUUUGUAGAGAACAGAACAGAGACUAAUUGGCCGUAGGUCACUCAUGUGAGGAGAGUUGACCUUUUUUUGGGAUAAGACAAAGAUUAGUGAAGUUCCAUUCUUUAGGGAAAACACCCGAUUCAAAGAACUUGAGAACUUCCAUCGUGACAAGAUCACCAACAAUAUCCCAAUAGUUCUGAAAGAAAAGACCAGUCAUACCGUCUGGGCCAGGAGCACUAGAGGCUUUGAUCGAGAAAACAGCUCUUUUCACUUCUUCUUUAGAAACCAUACUGAUAAGACUGUCGUUCAUUCUAGAGUUGACUCUCGGCAUGAAAUCGGAGAAGAAUUCUAUCUGAUUUGAAGGAGCAGAUGAUGAGAAAAGAGUCUGGAAAUAGCUAGUCGCCACUUCACCCUUUGAAGCUUCAGAUCGAUGCAUGAUUCCAUUUAUAUCCAUAAGCUUAUCAAUACAAUUCCUUGACCUAUCAGACUUGACAGAAGCAUGGAAAAACUUGGAGUUUUUGUCACCAAGAUUCAGCCAUUUAUCUCUACUUUUCUGUUGCCAAAAACUUUCUUCUUCCUUGUAAGCCUCCACCAGACUUUUUUGAGAUUGAAGAGACGACAUGAAGAAGGAGAUGACGAGGAUUGUUCAAACUCCAGAUCAUCUUCAAUAGUUUUUAUUUUGAUCUGAGAAUUAGCAUCGUUGACUUUCUUCCAUUGACUGAGAGCUUUCCUGCAACUUCUUAAUCUCGAAGAGACACUAAGAUUAUGAGAGGAUGAGGGACCAAACCAAGCCGACUUUAUGGCUUCUUUGACAAAAGGUUUGUGGAGUAAUCUUUUUUCAAAUCUAAACGAACCCCGAUAAGACUCUUGAGAAGAGAAGAGAUGAACCAGGACCGGACGAUGAUCGGAUCCUCUUUUAGCCAAAAAAGCUUGAUUAGAAGCAGGGAAGAAAGAAGACCAGACUUUGUUGCCGAAACAUCUGUCAAGCUUACACUGAAUCCACAAGGUGCGUCUUCUGCCACCCCAGGUAAAGCUAUUCCCUGUACUUGGAAGUUCUCUCAUAUCACAAUCUUUCAACAUGUUGGAAAAAGUAAGGAAAGAAGAAUCACUCCUUCUUGGACCACCAUUUUUUUCCUCAUUGUUGAGAAUUUCAUUAAAGUCUCCAAGCAUACACCAUCCAGUUUUUCUUUGAAUCCCAAUACGAGUCAGCCUUUCCCACACUAGGUGUCUCAAACUCGCAUUUGGGUUUCCAUACACACACGUAACAAAGAAACUGCUUGAACCAAACUGUACAUACAUGUCCAGCACAUUCUUAUCUACAUACUUGAGAUCGAUAUCAACACCUUUUUUCCAGAAAAGAGCCAAACCCACCGGAUCAACCGUAUAUACAUGCUCAUAACCCAACCAAACUUGAAUAUCUACAAUGAUAUUUUUACAGUUUAUCGUUUCCAUAAGGAACAAGAUCUCAGGGAAGUGUUUUUUACGCAUCUCCAUGAGUCUGGGAAUCGUCAGAUCUUGAGGCCGCCCCAAUCCCUGGCAAUUCCAGCUUGAUAUGCUCAUAAAUCAGUGGACAGUUCCUCAUUUGGGACCAUCUCAUGUGUUUUUGACCUUGCGGCUUUGGAAACACUCUCCAGUUCACUAUCAGCUUUCCUUUUCUCCACUGAACCCUCUAAAGAACCCUUCUUUUUCUCCACAUCUUCGGCAAAAGAAUUCUCCAAUUUUCCUUUUAACUUCCUUCGAGAUUUUGGAGGCCUCUUUCUUGGUUUUGGUUUUUUCAUAGCAGUCCCGGAAGGACCAGCAACAGAGUGCCCGAUCCUAUAACCCGUUGAACUGUUGUGAAAAGGGACCGACUCAUCACCAAAAUCUGGGGAAGUAGAAUCGGUUUGAAGAGGAUUGGAGCCAUAAUUUCUCCUAGAGCUAGCAUCCGCUUGAAUUGCAGCAGACAUAAGCUUUUGACCUCGAGGCAUGAUCACUUCAGUUUUUGUAGUCGAGUCCUCAGAAUCAUAGCCAAAGACUGGACCUUUCCCUUUGUUGAGAUCACGAGUGAUAAUUGGAACAGGUUCUAGACGAAGCACCAUUUUCUGCGUGAUUAAAUUCUUUUCUGCCUCACAAACAGAAUUCUUCACACGAUCUUCUCUAACCUUACGAUCAUCACCAUUAGCAAUUAACAAAUAUUGUCUCAUGCCUUCUAGAACCUCAGCUGCAAUUCUUGGACGACCUGUUAAGGGAUUCAAGCCAACCUGGUUCUCACCAAGAACGCCAAAAAGAGGGUCAGAUUCCAACAGGACAGGCUUGGGGAUCUGUUUUUGGGGAGCAUGUCCAAGUCUUCUUUCAGCCGCCAAAGCUUGACGUUUCAUGAUCAAAAUAGGGCACACCUCACGCGCGUGAGUUAACCUUUGACAAGAAUAGCAUCUCUUCUGAAUUCUUUCAUAGAACUAGUGAACUGUGGUUGAGCCUCCCUUAGGCAGAUUGAUCACUUUCGACUGUCUAAGAGGUUUAGACACAUCAAAUUUAACUUUCACUCUCACAAACUCUUUGUUCUGCGCUUUAGUAGGAUCAAAUGCAAUUUCAGUAACAAGACCAACAAGAUCUCCUAAAGCAGUAAUCGCCUCCUCAGUGUAAUGAUUAAUAGGAAUGUUUCUGAUUUGCACCCAGAUCGGAACAAACUGCAGAGAUUCACUUGAAGGCUGCUCUUCCCAACGCUCUGUAGCAAGAGCCCAUUCAUUGAAAGUAUGGACACCUUUGUCCAAGAUUUCAUUUAGGUCAUGUUCAUACUUGAAGAAAAACUGGAAACGCUCUCUUGAUAGAGCCACACCUCUGACUCUAUCAUACUUUUGCCAUUUUCUAGGCAAAUCCAAAAUCAGGUUAGCCAUCUUUUGACAUUCUGGAUUAAGAAGACGACCUAUCAGGCUGAACUCAUUUUUAUCACUUGAACAGUAAGCUGGGGUAUCAGGAAGAUCGAAUGGAACUUCUUCUUCCUCUAGAGACAUGGCCAUCAGCGCCUUAUCCAUAGCAGAAGACAUGGUAACCGAAAAUAACUCUGAACCACAACCACAGGUAGAAAAUCUGAACGGCCCAAAGAAGAUAGACCACCCAAAGCAAGGAAACCACGAGAUGAAAACUUAAGCAGGAGAUGAGACGAAAUUUUUCUAGACCCAGCAAAUGAAGAACACGGAUGAACCCUAUAUUUCUUUAUAGAUCUGAAAAAAAGUGUUUGAAAAGGUGAAAAGCGGGAUGAAUAGUCAAAAGGGAAAGAAGUUUUUCCACACAAAAGCUCUAUUCUCGAAGAGAUGAGAUACUCUUACACAGAAAGAGAGUCCUAAGCCCAAAAAAGGGAAACAGAUAUUUUUUCUACUAUCUUCAUCUUCUAUCUGCACCACUUGAGAGCACUGAACUUUCUAUAAUAAGAUUCUAUUUUAAAAAAACUAUUAAAUGUGUAGAAGAAAACACCACCAAAUGAGAAGUUUUGACGAUGGGACUUGGGAGGUAAGAAAAGCAUAUAAGAGUCUCCAAGUGUCUGGUUAUACUUUUUUUUGCGAUCCAGUUUAUUCUUUUGUCCAACCUCAAGGGUAGAUGUUAAUUUGAUUUAAUUUUGUAUUGGGUCAGUUCAAUUAAUUUGUAUUUAAUAAAAUUCUAACUGAAUUUAAAUGAAGUUAAUUCGUGGUUUUUCUUCAGUUUGAUCUAUUUUUGGUUAAAAAUAAUAAAAAAGUCAAUAUGAAAAUAAGUCAUAACAAAAUAAAAGAGAAAAAAGAAAAAUUUUUUGGCACUUAUUUUAAAUUAUUGCGAUUUAAUAGAUACGACACAUUUAGUUAAGACAUAUAUGUCUAGGACACAAAAGAAAUAUUGAAAUGUUGUAGUGACUUCAUAACACUACUACAAAUAGAUAAAAUACUGGGAUGGUGUAUUGACUUGGCAAUACUGUUACAAAUCUCAGAUAUAUUCUAAAAGAUAUAGUGGAAUGGUGUGGUGACUUCAUAACACUACUACAGAUAAAUAAAAUACUGGGAUGGUGUACUGACUUGAAAACACUGUUACAAAUCUUAGAUAAAUUCUAAAAGAUAUAGUGGGAUGAUAUAUCAAUUUGUGACACUACUGUGUACAUCCUACCCAAGAUCCAGAAAUUCAUUGGGUUGACUCGGUUUAUUCCAGGUUGAUCUAGUUUGCCUCCUUUUCCUAUUUCAGCGUUUUAAACCUAAUUUUUUAAGUUAAGUUUAGUACUAACUUUGUCUCUCUUUCUUUUUUAAGGUUUUACUUAAAAGUUUGAUGCUAUCAUAACUUAAACACAGAGAGAUUAUAUACACACUUUAUUCUCAUAGUUUCACUUCUUUUUAUCAUUCCCCUUUAAUACAGUAAAGGCACUUAAAUCAAUAUAAAUUAAAGACACUAUUGUACUAUGUAAUCACUCAUUUUAUUUCACUCAUAAAAAGAAUUACAAAAUUAAUACAUCUUAGGAACUGAUGAUGAUCGACCUAUCAAAACCCAAUUGUAAAGAAAAUAUCUAUCUAGCAACUAAUGAGCAGACUAUUAAAUUCAUCAACUAAAUAAGAAAAGUAAAAUAACUAUUAAUCUUCUCUCUUCUAACAGCUUUCUCUGAUUAUGCAGUCUACGUCAGCAGUGAUCACUCCCUGGUAGCAGUUAAUUGGUCUUCAUCUUCCAGCUCAUGAUCUUCUUCUUAGGCACAUAGCUCUUGAGGUAUUAUAAAUACCCACAUCGAAAACAAGAAGCUUUUCUUCAAUCUUAAGUGUGAAAAUUGCUUGAUCAUAGGUGCAGCUCUCUCCCAUGUCCUCUCAUUAUCUAGAAGACCUGUCCAACUAAUUGAUGUUUCCAAAUGAUUAGCAAGAUCAGAGUGAGUAACUAAAACUGAUACCGGUUCAAUAAUGAGUUCAUCAUCAACUGAGAAGGACUGUGGAAGUGCAGAAACAUGAUGAUCUGUUCCUAAGACUUUUUCACUAUCAAGUAGACCGCCGAUGCAAAAGUUAAAUACCAUGAUAUAACCUUUAAAAAUUUUAGUACCACAAUAAUCACUUUUUGUUGAAACCUUACAAUGCAAAAUCAUAAAGUGACAAAUAGGUACUUGAACCUUUUUUUUUUCAUCCAAUACCAAACUUGUUUUUUCAUCAUGAUUCACCUUCUCUAACAUGUACAAAUAAGAAUACAACACCUUAAAACUUUAUUUUUUAGUACAACGCACUUCAUUAACAUCUUUUUUUCCUCUCAAUGUGGUAGAUUAAGAAUGCUGAUCUAGUAACUAAAUAAGAAUGCCCUGUCAACUAAAUCUUGCCAUGCCUGCUUAGUUCGAAAUUUUUGACAUAAUUCUCAUGCAUCACGUGGAAGUUCAACAUAUCCAGGCAUACACAAGAUAACCAGACUGUUAUCUACACCAUUAUCCACACUAUUAUCCACAUUGUCACGUGAUAUAUUUGUAACACAUCUAUCAACAACAUUCUUGAUCAAUUCAUGAUGUUGUUCUGUUGUUUUGUCAUCUUCUUAAAGAGUAACAAAACCAUCAUUAACUCUAGAAUUAUUUCUUCCACCUGAAAACAGAUCGCCAAAAUUCACACCAAAUAAAAUUUCUCAUUCUACUCUUAGAAGUUGCUUGCCCAACUUAAUGUUUUCCAAAUCUUUGGUGACCUCUACAUGCAAAACACUUCUACAUAGUUCCUUAUUCAUGGAGAUAAACAUAAACGUCCUCAUUAUUGAAAAUAUAUUAUUGUCUGUGAGGUUUCACUACCAAUGGAAUUAAAGUCACUUUCAGCUUUGUCUAAGAUAUAUAUAUGAUGUCGUAAAUGAUAUACUAUACAUGUGAUCUUCUAUUGAAAUCCAUCAAUUCUAUGAUCUUUGAAUAAUAUCCUUCAUAAUCAAAUAUAUGUUUGUGAAACUAUAGCUUAUUGUCUUAGGAAGAAUAGAAACUACUUUAGCACGUGUUAUCUUGAAUCAAUAAUAUUAUUUGUACCAAUUAUAACACUUCUCUAAGUAAUAUCAACUGUUACAGUUGUUUUUCUGCAAAUUAGGUGACUUCGGGCCACUGAUAUGUUCAUAAUUUGCAUCAUUUAGGUUGCACAAAUCAUUCCAAAUCAUGUUUUAUUUCAUGUAUUUUAGGUCCCUAGGGUUUGUUUUAGAACUUAGGAGAUGCAUUAGGUCCCAAUGAGUCUUUGCAUGUUUUGAGUGUCUAUCAGGUGAUUAUGGAGCUGAAAAGAUGAAUCCAGGAGGUGGAAUGGUGAGCAGAGCUUGAAAAAGUGGAAAACUUGAGUCUAUGGAGGUUAUCGGCCAUUCUCGCUGGCCAGGAAGGUUUUACCGGCCAUUUUCAUGUACUGCGGGAAGCUUUACCGGCCAUUUUCACGUACCGCGAAUUAAGUAUAUCGGCCAAAAUCUCCGGGUGCGAACGAGUCUCAGAAAUCACCUGUCCGGGGAGCCUUCCGGUCCGAUUCAGAUGGCGGGUCCUUCAUAGAAGUUGGAGAGCAUUGAAGCACGGUCUCAUAGCAAUUGGAAUCGUAGAAUUCGGACGCGUGAGCAGAGAGAUAAGCUCGUCGGAAGAAACCCCUGUCUCGCAGGUAUUCCGGACCGAGCAGAUCAGUUCUGAAGGAUGCGAAGGACGGUGCACUUCCAGGCCGAUUCAGCUUCCGGGUCCUUCAUGAGAAUCAGAGACAUUUGAGUUUUCUUUCCAGAACGUCCAAGAGCAUUCAAUUCGGAUCUAUGAGAAGGAAGAUACGGCCUCCGGAAUGGACACAUGUCUAGACGCCUCUCUCUGGUCGUAUACAUGCACUGCAAAGAUGUGCCCUCCAGGAAGCCUUCCACCUCCCAAGCACUGAAACUUCCUUCACAAAAGUUGGAGAUAAAUGAGUCCUCUGUCUUCUGCAACCGAAAUCAUUCAAUUCGGACAAGUAUCACAGGAGUUACACUCUCCGGAAUGCGAAGUGAUCUAAGCUGCUCUGGAUGCUGCGAGAUGGUCUUGCGACUUGGUUAACCCGCAGGCCUGAAGAUGAACACCUGAAUGCUGAUGCUGCGAGUUGAAAUGUGCGGGUAAACUAUCACUGGAAGAGGUCUGGAGCUCCCGAGCAAGAGAAAUGCUAAGUCCACAAUCGUGCGACUUAGGCAUGCGAGUCAUCCGCGCCUGGAUCUAUGCCGCACGAUCACUCGGAAUUCACUCCGACUCGAGCCUGCGACCUAAGUGCAAUAGAGACCAACCCGCACAGUUUCUACAUCCCCCAGAAACCGGCUCAGCCCUGCGAGUUGGAGAGGAAGGAGACCAUGCCGCAGAAACACUCGCAAUUUACUCCUAGAUAGGCGUGCGGCUCCGACAAGGUGAUUCAAGCCUCACAAGACAAGUCUUCAUCUACUGCGACUUAGGUGUGCGGCCUGGGACAUACUGAACCGACCCGCAGCUUUUCCCACUUUAUCCAUUAAAGCCGGGUCAGGACCCGGUUUGUUCCGGGCUGACCCGGUUCGUUUUUAAGAAGGUAUAAAUACUUUUUAGGGUUUUUUGGGGGAGAACUAAGUUUUAUUCCCUUUGUCUCUUGCCUUUUUGGUGAAAAGACUCCAUUAAGAAGAGAAAUAUCUUUAUUUGAGUGUUUAAUCAAGAGAGUUUAAGGAGAUCUGGGUGUUUAAAGCUGUUUUCUUUUGAAUCUAUCAUCUCCAUCUCCAUUUCUCAUCAUUAAUCAUGCUAAUCUACUCAACUUGCAAAAGUUUAAGAGAGAUUAGUAUGAUUAGUGAGUAGUCACCUUAAUGAGGUUCUAGAUGUGUAGGUUAGGGUGCUAAAGUGUUAGAUUAGGAGUGCUUAGGGCUAGAUUCAUUGAUUCAUCUCUCUAAACAGCUGUUCUCUAUGCUAAAUCCUUGAUAAUCACUUGAGAUCUAGAUUCUGGGAAUUUCAUGCACCAAAAGUGUUUGAUGAAAUUCCUGAAAGAGUUGUGUUAGAGGUUUAAGUAAUUUUUCAUCAUGGGAAUGAUUUGUUAAAUGCUUGAAUGAUCAUUAAGAGCUGUUUGUUAAUGCAUAUUGAUUCAUGUUUCACAAAUGGGAAUUUGGUUUGAAAAUGGAUUAGUAUAGGGGUUAAUACCUUCAUGAGAGGAUUAACCUAGAUUAGAGUUCUUAAUCAUUUGAAUCAUGUCUCAUCAUUGUCAUUAGCAUUUCUAGUUUAACACCAAGGCACCCUAACCAACUAUCAUGUCUAGAAUCUCAUGCCUCCAUCAUAUCAUAUUCACAUCAUUUGUCAUUGUCAUUUGUCUUUAAACCUGUUUAUGUUUAUAGUUGUCUCUAGAUUAAUCAAAACCUAUUCUUGUUUGCUUGAAUUAAGAACUUGAUCAUAUAGCUUAGUGUCUAACACCACAUCUGGAUUGAUAAACCUCUUUGUACUACAUUGACAAGGGGAUUGAUAGCCCUGAGACCCUUAAAAGUCAUAUCUAUCAAUUGGCGCCGUUGCCAAAUUGUGGUUUGAUUAGCAUUAAGCUCUGAUCUGUUCUUGAGAUCAAGUGCUUACUUUCUUGUUUUUACUGAUUCCUUUCAAGUUCUGUUUGUGAUUUCAGGUGUAUGAACACCAGGUCCAGAUCAAGAAGCUGCGGUCCUCCUUUUCCUCUAAACGACAACAUCAACCUUCUGGUACCAAGGAGGAGAAGAGACAGACGUGGUAGACAACUUGAUCAGACUGAGAUGGCCGACCAAGGAGAUCACGGGGUAGAUAUAGAACAACCAGUUCAGGAGCAACAGGCUCAAGGUCAGGGAGCUGGUAUUGGAAUUGGUCAGGGGUUUCACCAAGGCAAUGUUCAGCAGGAACAGGUGCACCACCAACAAGCCUAUGUCCACCAGGGACAAGCUCAGGCUCAUCAACAGAGGCAUCAGGCCAAUGUUCAACAAAGACACCAGGUGCACCACCAACCCCACCCUUUCCAACCACAACAAAGAAGAUAUGAGCAACCCCAAAUAUAUGUUGGCGAGAAUGACAGGGCCAAUGCUCAUCAGUAUGGGGCUGGUAUUCAGGCACCACCUGUGCAGAACAACAACUUUGAAGUGAAAGCAUCAUUGCUGAAUAUGGUCCAGAACUCAAAGUUCCAUGGGUUAGCAAUGGAAGAUCCCUUGGAACACUUGGACCAGUUUGAUAAGGUGUGUGAUCUGACCAAGAUUAAUGGAGUUUCAGAAGACAGCUUUAAGCUAAGACUAUUCCCAUUCAGUCUUGGUGACAAAGCUCAUCAAUGGGAGAAGAAUCUUCCAAGAGGCUCCAUUCAAACCUGGGAGCAAUGCAAGCAAGCCUUCUUAUCUAAGUUCUUCUCCACCUCAAGAACUGCAAAACUGAGAAACCAAAUCUCUAGCUUCACUCAGCACAGCAAUGAAAGUUUUGGUGAAGCAUAUGAGAGAUUCAGGAGCUACACAAACCAAUGCCCACACCAUGGGUUUAGUGAGGCUUCUCUUCUCAGCACACUGUAUAGGGGAGCUCUUCCCAAGAUUAGAAACCAGCUGGAUACUGCUUCCAAUGGGAACUUUCUGGGUAAAGAGAUUCAUGCUGCUUUAGAGCUAGUGGAGAACUUAGCAUUGAGCAAUGAUACUUAUGGUGAAGACUAUGACAGAUCAAAUAGGUAUGAAGGUUCAAGCUCAGAACAGAGGCUCACCAGAGAAGUUAAGGAGUUGAGGAGUGAAUUGGACAAGCUGAAAUUCACCACUCAGAAGCCAAUGCAUUUUGUUGGAGAGUAUGAGGAACCUUCUCAAAUUUUUGAGAACAUAAGUGAAGAAGGUCUUACCCAAGAGGAGCUCAACUACAUUGGGAAUCAGAGGUUCCAAAGAUAUCAGUAUGGUAAUGCCAAUCCAAACCUCUCUUACAGGAACACCAAUGUAGCUAACCCACAAGACCAGGUCUAUCCCAAUUCUCAAGCUCCAAAGAACUUUGUUCCCAAGCACAACUUUCAAGGGUCAUUCCAACCCAAGAAUCAAUUUGGUCAGAAUCAGAGUUUUGGUCAGCAACAGCAACCAUUUCAGGGCACUGGUUACACUUCACAGCAGCCAAAGGCACCACCAGGGUUUGGUCCACCACAGUUCCAACAGCAGGCGCCGGUUCAACAACAGUUUCAGCCACCAAUGGUUCAACAGCAGCCACAGAUGGGUACAGAUAUGGUUGGUAUUCUGCAACAACUACUUCAGGGUCAACAGACUAUGCAGCAGGAAAUCAAGGAACUGAAGCAAAACCAGGCAUCAAGCUCAAGGAACCAAGGUCACCUACCUGGAAAACCAGAACCCAACCCCAAGGAAUAUGCCAAGGCCAUAACACUGAGGAGUGGCAAGGAGUUACCUGGUAUUGAGAACAACAAUGUGAUCAUUGAGGACAAUGAUCAACCUGAGGGGGAGGCAGCCUUAAAGGAUGAUCAAGUUGCUGAGAAACCAAGGUCAGAAAAGGGUAAAGAGGUAGCAAAGGAACCAGAACCAGAGAAGAAGUAUGUGCCACCACCUCCAUACCAACCCAAGCUCCCAUUUCCAGGGAGAUUUAAGAAGCAACUAGUGGACAAGGCAAGAGCUGUAUUUGAGAAGGCACUCAAAGAGACACCACUCACAAUGCCUCUCAUUGAUGCAUUCUUAAUGAUGCCAAAGAUGGGGAAGUUUUUGAAGGAUGCUAUUCUGAACAAGACAAAAGAGCUUCAAGGCAUGGUAGUACUAAGUCAUGAAUGCAGUGCUAUCAUUCAAAGGAAGUCCAUUCCAAGGAAGUUAACUGAUCCAGGGAGCUUCACACUCCCCUGUGCCAUUGGACCUCUUCUAUUCUCUGGAUGUCUUUGUGAUUUAGGAGCAUCAGUCAGCUUGAUGCCAUUCUCCAUAGCACAGAAGCUGGGCUUUAGAGUUUUCAAACCUUCAAAGAUUUCUCUUAUCCUUGCAGAUAGAUCAGUUAGAUUGCCUGUUGGUAUGUUGGAAGAUCUACCUGUCAAGAUAGGUGGUUUUGAGGUUCCAACAGAUUUUGUUGUGCUGGAGAUGGAUGAAGAGCCAGUAGAUCCUCUUAUCUUGGGCAGACCAUUCUUAGCCACUGCAGGAGCUAUUAUUGAUGUGAGAGGUGGGAUAAUAGAGCUUCAACUUGGGUCUGAAAAGCUCAAGUUUGAUGUGAAUGAGAUGAUGAAGAAGCCCACCAUUGAAGGUCAAUGUUUCUAUGUAGAGACAAUGGAUCAGUUGGCUGAUGAGUUGCUUGAGGAGCUGAACACAGAGGAUCCUCUUCAAGCUACUCUGACUCAAGAACAAGGAGACAAUGGGCUCUUGGCUGAAGCAAGUGAAGGGUAUAAGCUGUAUCUGGACAAUGCAAGAGAGCUGGGUCCUGAAACAAGGUUUGUGGAGCUGGAACAGAAUGGCACUGAGGUUUUUGCAAUCCAAGAAUCAGUCACCAGCCAAAGCAGCUUGGACCAGGACUGGAAUGAGGCUGAUGCACCCUCUGUUGAGCUCAAACCUCUACCAACAGGGCUCAGGUAUGCUUUCUUAGGACUAAACUCCACAUAUCCUGUCAUCAUCAAUGAUAGCCUAUUAGAGGACCAAGAGAGUGCAUUGCUGAAUGAAAUAAGAAAGUUCAGGAGAGCCAUAGGGUAUUCUUUGGCUGAUAUUAGAGGGAUCUCUCCUGACAUCUGCACCCAUAGGAUCCACCUAGAGGACCAAUCUAUGUCCUCUAUUGAGCACCAACGUAGACUUAACCCCAACCUUAGGGAAGUGGUUAAGAAGGAGAUACUAAAGCUUCUUGAGGCAGGGAUAAUUUACCCAAUCUCUGACUCAAGAUGGGUAUCUCCUGUUCAUGUUGUGCCCAAGAAAGGUGGGAUCACGGUGGUGAAAAACGAUAAGGAUGAACUCAUAGCUCAAAGAACCAUAACUGGCCACCGCAUGUGCAUUGACUAUAGGAAAUUGAAUUCUGCUUCUAGAAAAGAUCAUUUUCCUUUACCAUUCAUUGAUCAAAUGCUUGAGAGGUUAGCUAAUCAUCCUUAUUUUUGUUUUCUCGAUGGGUACUCUGGAUUUUUCCAAAUUCCCAUAGAUCCAAGAGAUCAAGAGAAAACAACAUUCACAUGCCCUUAUGGCACUUAUGCUUAUAGGAGAAUGCCUUUCGGUUUAUGUAAUGCACCGGCUACUUUUCAAAGGUGUAUGAUGCACAUUUUCUCUGACAUUAUUGAAGAGAAAGUUGAGGUGUUCAUGGAUGACUUUAGUGUCUAUGGCUCCUCCUUCUCGGAUUGUCUCUCUAAUUUGACACAGGUGUUGGAGAGAUGUGAGCAACACAGCUUGGUGCUGAACUGGGAGAAGUGUCAUUUCAUGGUGCAAGAAGGGAUAGUUCUUGGGCACAAGAUCUCUGAAAAGGGCAUUGAGGUUGAUAAGGCAAAGGUGGAGGUUAUGGUGAAUCUGCAAACCCCCACUUCAGUUAAAGGGAUAAGGAGCUUCCUGGGUCAUGCAGGGUUUUAUAGAAGAUUCAUAAAGGACUUCUCAAGGAUUGCCAGGCCCUUAACAAGACUGUUGUGCAAGGAGGUGGAUUUCAUCUUUGAUGUUGAAUGUGAAGAAGCCUUUAAGUUGAUCAAGGAGGCAUUGGUUAGUGCACCAAUAGUUCAGGCACCAGACUGGUCCCUACCUUUUGAGGUCAUGACAGAUGCUUCUGACUUUGCUGUUGGAGCAGUACUUGGACAAAAGAAAGACAAGAAGUUGCAUGUGAUCUACUAUGCCAGUAGAACACUUGACUCUGCCCAAGAGAAGUAUGCUACAACUGAAAAGGAAAUGCUGGCAAUAGUUUUUGCCUUUGAUAAGUUCAGAAGCUACCUGGUGGGAUCAAAGGUCAUUGUGUAUACUGAUCAUGCAGCCCUCAGGUACUUGAUGACCAAGAAAGAUGCCAAACCAAGGCUGUUGAGAUGGGUUCUAUUGCUCCAAGAGUUUGAUAUGGAGGUGCUUGAUAAAAAGGGGAUUGAGAAUGGUGCUGCAGACCAUCUCUCAAGGCUGAGGAUUGAAGAAAAAGUCCCCAUAGAUGAUGCUUUGCCUGAAGAGUCUCUGAUGGUGCUCCAUUCAUACUUGGAGUUUGAGGAAGUAGAGAGCAUUCAAGAAAGGAGGAUGCCUUGGUUUGCAGAUAUAGUGAACUAUCUUGCAUGUGGGGUGGAGCCCCCUGAAUUGGAUGCUUACAAGAGAAAAAAAUUCUUCAGAGAUGUCCAGAGAUACUAUUGGGAUGAGCCCUACCUCUAUGUUCUGAACAAGGAUCAGUUAUACAGAAGAUGUCUUGCUGAAGAGGAGAUGCAACCUGUGUUGCAGGAAUGUCAUGGUUCUGCUUUUGGAGGUCACAUGGGGGCAUUCAAAACUGUAGCAAAGGUUCUUCAAAGUGGGUUCUGGUGGCCUACAAUGUUCAAAGAUGCCCAAUUGGUGGUUUCAGCUUGUGAUGCCUGUCAGAGGCAUGGAAAUAUAUCUAAAAGAAGUGAGAUGCCUCAGAACCCCAUUCUAGAAGUGGAGAUCUUUGAUUGUUGGGGGAUUGACUUUAUGGGACCUUUUAUUUCAUCCUUUGGAAAUCAAUACAUACUUGUUGCUGUGGACUAUGUGUCCAAAUGGGUUGAGGCCAUUGCUUCCCCUACCAAUGACUCCAAGGUUGUAGUCAAGCUGUUUAAGAGCAUCAUAUUUCCAAGGUUUGGAGUUCCAAGGGUUGUCAUUUCUGAUGGAGGAUCCCACUUUUUGAACAAGACUCUGGAAGGUUUAUUGAGAAAGCAUGGAGUUAAACACAAGAUAGCUACUCCAUAUCAUCCCCAAACUAGUGGCCAAGUGGAGGUAUCUAAUAGACAAAUCAAGGCCAUUCUGGAAAGGACUGUCAGCUCAACCAGAAAAGAUUGGAGCAAAAGGCUGGAUGAUGCAUUAUGGGCUUACAGGACUGCCUUUAAAACUCCAAUUGGAACAUCACCAUUCAGUCUGCUAUAUGGGAAGAGCUGCCACCUUCCUGUGGAGUUGGAGUACAAAGCUAUGUGGGCUGUGAAGUUUCUAAACUUUGAUAUCAAAACAGCUCAGGAGAAAAGAAUCAUGCAACUCCAUGAGCUUGAGGAGAUUAGGCUUGAGGCUUUUGAAAGCUCAAAGAUCUAUAAGGAGAAGACCAAAGUCCUGCAUGACCAAAAGAUUUUAAAGAGAGAGUUCAAGUGUGGUGAUUUGGUCUUGCUUUUCAACUCCAGACUUAAGUUGUUUCCAGGAAAGCUUAAGUCUAGGUGGUCUGGACCUUUCAAAGUUCUUGAAGUGAGGCCUUAUGGUGCCAUUGUCUUGGAAGGAAAAAAUGGUCAGGAAUUUGUGGUGAAUGGACAGAGAGUCAAGCAUUACUUAGUUUCACAAGGGAAAGAGGAAGCUACAUCAGUUCCUCUCUGAUCACCAGCUGUUAACCAGUUCUCAAAGUCAAACUUAGAGACUUUAAACAAAGUGCUCUUGGGGAGACACCCCAAGCUUAUCUUUNNNNNNNNNNNNNNNNNNNNNNNNNNNNNNNNNNNNNNNNNNNNNNNNNNNNNNNNNNNNNNNNNNNNNNNNNNNNNNNNNNNNNNNNNNNNNNNNNNNNCGAGUUUGCAACUAUCUCUCACUUUUCUCUCCAUGUUUUCACCAUAUCUCUCUCAUUCUCCACCAAAAUUGUUGAUUCAAAGUGCUCUGAGCUCGUUUUGAGUUGCUAACAUCAUCCUGAUUGCAUUUCGAACUUGUUGCAUCUUAAUCCCAAGGUAUUUCGCCCUGUUGAAACUCAUCUCUUUCCAUGUUCUUCAAUGGUGAUUUUUUUUUUUUUUUUGAACUUUAAAGUGUGGAAUCGAUUUUGAUAGGUUGUUUUAGACCUUGGGAUUAUUUUUAUAAAUGCUAGGGUGCUAGAUAGUCUUGGAAAACAGAGCACUUUGUUUGUAAUUACCUGUUCUUGAAUUUUGAAAAUUGUUGCAACAAUUUUUUUCAAAAUUUUGAGACUUUUGUGAGGUUCAUCCUUGUACUAACAAUAUUUUUGAGAAUCUCUUGGCAGAUGACUGAAAGAACCAACUCUUUGGCCAAGAAGAAGGGCCCUGCAUCAAAAGGCAAAGGUUUGGUCUCAGGAACUUCAAAGCCAAGAAACAAAGGUCAGGGUGCAAAGAAUACUACAAAGCAAGGAAAGUGUGAUCCAGCGCCAAAAAGGACAAGGCCUGAAGGAAGAGCUUUGGUGGUUGCUUCUGGUUCCAAGAAAAAGGGGAAACAGUUGGCUGUGGUAUCUGAGAGUGAACAGACUGAAAGUGACUCCGGCAGCUCAGCUGGUGGUUCCCAAGGCACCAAUGAAGAGGGAUCAAAGAAGUUCAAGAAAACUGAACCAGAAACACCUGAUUAUCUGGCUAAGUUUCAGCAGAUAGAGAUCCAGCAAGGGAGAUUCCCUGAUUUGGACUUUCUGAAGAAGAUUGGCCUCUAUGAAGAUGUCAAGACUUUGCUUGGGAACAUGGGUGUUGAGUCACUUUUGGAGAUGAGAGAAAUCGCUUAUGAGCAAGAGUCCCAAGAGUUCUUGGCCUCCUUUGAAGCUUUCAUUUACUACCCAAGGGAUUCAAGAAUCAUUCAAGGAGAUGGGCUUGGACAUGUGGAGUUUACUGUGAAAGGGAAGGAAUAUUCAGUGUCAUUCAGAGAAUUGAGUAAGAUCUUUGAGUUUUCAACACCUAGAAAUGAAUUUCUCUCCAACUCGGUCAAUCUCAGAAAAGAUGAGAUCCAACUUCUAUGGAGAUCAAUUGCUUCUGGGAAGUACACAGCUGGAACAGCUAAGGCCUCUUGGAUAAGGAAUCCAGUUCUGAGAUAUGUACACAAGGUUCUCUCUCACAGCUUCUACUUCAAGAUUGAUGUUGGAAGAGUUCACAAAGGAGAUCUGCUGCUUCUGGGUGUAGGGCUGAGGCCGCUGAUGCCAACACAUGAAGAUGGGGAACCCUAUGUAGGGUAUGAAUACCCACUUUGCCUUGCAUCUCAAUUAGCAAGGUCUUUGAUGUUCUACAAAAAGUGCAUGUGGGAUUCUACAAACAAAGAUGCAAAGCUGACCCAUGGAUGGGUGGUAACAAAGAUCUUGAAAGCCAUGGGGUAUAGAUUCAAGGAGAACAAGGCAAAGUUUGAUCUGAUUAAUGAAGCACAUUUGUGUAGGAUUGGCUUUCUCCAAGGAAGAGUGGGUACCAAGGCAGUCUACAACUUCAAGACACUCAUCAGUGAGCCAGCCCAAGUUCUCCUACCCAAUCCCUCCAUCACCACAGUCCAAGUUAAAAGGAACAUUCACUUCUUCUUGCUGAAGGAAGAGCUGUACAAUGUCCAAACUGAUCCACCAAUCCUCACAUACAGGCAAGCUUGCAGAGAAGAAGCCUCCAAGGGAAAGAAAGCAACCGCUGAAGAUGCUACCACAAGUGCAGCUGGUGCUCACGAUGCUGAUCUGCCUCCACCUCAAAAACGUUUUGGUGGAAACAGAUAUCACUUUGAUGAUUACAACUGGGAGGAACCAGGCACUUCAGGGUUCAGAGCUCAACAGAAGAUUGGUAUUCUCCAACAAUGGUGCAAGUACCAAGACAAAACCAUCCACAAGAUGGCCAAGUGCAUCAAGGAGAUGAAGAAGAGGAUCAAGAAGCUUGAAAACCCUUGCAAAGGUGGGGCUCCAGCACCAGUUUCACCAAGAAACAGAGAGGAAGUUGGGGAGAGUUCCAUGAACUGCACAGCCUUGGUCGCAUAUGGAACCACUUGGGUAGAUCUUGACGACGGGAGUGAUGAAGCCAGCCACCAUUCUUGGGAAACACCGUCAGGCCACACAUCGAACCCCUCCUACUCAUUGGGGUCUGAUUUCAACAGCCACUAGGUAACACUCAAAACCUUGUAAAUAGCAUGUAGACUUUUUUUUUUCCUUUUGCAUUUUGCUUGUUUGCUUUGGUUUCACUUCUUUCUCAUACUUUUAUAACACAAGGGACUGUGUUAUUUAAGUGUGGGGGAGGAGUUUCAUCCUUUACUAACCAUGUUUUCUAUUUUCUCAUUUUACACUUUGAGUCUUGAGUCACAUUCUAGUUGCAUAGUCAUCUAAGUGCAUAUAAAAACCAAAAAAAAAAAAAUGGAAAAAUCUGAAAAAUUUUCACAAAAAAAUGAUCAUGUAGUUGCAUUCUCAUUUUUAAGAUUGAGUCUAGAUUGCAUUUGCAUAUAGGUUGCAUCUUGCAAGGAGUAAUGAUAGGUUUUCUAGAGAGUACAUCACUUUGAGAACUUGAAUUGAAUAUGCUUGUGAAUCUUUUUCUAUGCUUGCAAAGUCUGAAAUGAUUUGAAUCUGAGAAGCAAGUUUGAAUUGAACUCAACUCUAAUUAAGUGGAAACCUUGAACUUGACCUGAAAAUAUCUUGUGAUGCAUUGUUUGAAAAAGCUUGUGGAUACCAAUAUACAUACUUGAGCUAGAACCACUGUUUUUACCACUCUUUUCCUUAGCUCAAGUAGCUGAAUCCACAUCAUGGAUCAGUUCCCACACCUUGAACCCAUCCUUCUUUUAAGCCAAUGUUUGUGUGUGAAUUGAAAGGCCACCUUGGAUCAAACUUAGCAGAAAGUGUUAGGUUUAGAGCGACAAGGGCAGGUCUCAUUGAGUGCUGUGUUCCAACAUCAAGGAACUGAGAGUUUUGGCGAGGAAUAAGUGUGGGGGAAAAGACUUUUUGGUGAGUGGAAAAAGGUGAGAUGAGUGGAAAGAGAGAGUGAAAAUAACUAGGGGAAUGAAAGAAAAAGAAGUCAGUCUUGGUGUUUUGAGAAAGUGAGCUCUGGUUUGUUGAAAAGAAAAAUCUAGCCUCUAAGUGAAAAAGAAAGAAAAGAAGCCAAAAGCUCAAAUGUUUUGAUAAGAAAGAAAGAAGAGGCUAGAAGUUGUAAAAGAAAAAGAGCUGUGUAAAGUUUGAGUUCCAAGACUUGAGAGUGAAAGUGAAGAACAAAUCCCCUAGUGAGAGAAAAAUGAGUGUGAAAAGUGAGGUCUUUGAGCAAGAGAGGAAGCUUUGAGUAGAGGGUGGGGAGUGAUGAGUCUUUGCCCUUGUAUGCAUAGGUUGCUUUUUACCUUUAGCAUUCUGCCAAAGUUUGAUCAUUCAUAGAGAGAUCCCUUUGCUGCAUUUAACCCACUUGAACACUGAUGAGAUCAUUUUAAUCUCAUAGCCUCUCCCUAGCCAAGCCAGCUUGUUUAAACCUUGCAUCAUGAGAUCCACCUGAUAAAAGCUUAAUGAAUGUGAAAGAGUUGAGAGAGAGAAGAACUUGUGGAGAUUCCUUGCUGAGUUGACAUAUAUCUGAGUAUGGCUUUGCAUUGCAUAAUUGAGCAUGAACUUGAAUUCUCAUUGUGAUCACUUCUCUCAAAAAGAAAAUGUGAACUCCCAUUGCAUACAACCUCUUUCUCUCAUUUGCUCUUUUUGCUUGAGGACAAGCAAAGGACAAGUGUGGGGGAGUUGAUAUGUUCAUAAUUUGCAUCAUUUAGGUUGCAUAAAUCAUUCCAAAUCAUGUUUUAUUUCAUGUAUUUUAGGUCCCUAGGGUUUGUUUUAGAACUUAGGAGAUGCAUUAGGUCCCAAUGAGUCUUUGCAUGUUUUGAGUGUCUAUCAGGUGAUUAUGGAGCUGAAAAGAUGAAUCCAGGAGGUGGAAUGGUGAGCAGAGCUUGAAAAAGUGGAAAACUUGAGUCUAUGGAGGUUAUCGGCCAUUCUCGCUGGCCAGGAAGGUUUUACCGGCCAUUUUCAUGUACUGCGGGAAGCUUUACCGGCCAUUUUCACGUACCGCGAAUUAAGUAUAUCGGCCAAAAUCUCCGGGUGCGAACGAGUCUCAGAAAUCACCUGUCCGGGGAGCCUUCCGGUCCGAUUCAGAUGGCGGGUCCUUCAUAGAAGUUGGAGAGCAUUGAAGCACGGUCUCAUAGCAAUUGGAAUCGUAGAAUUCGGACGCGUGAGCAGAGAGAUAAGCUCGUCGGAAGAAACCCCUGUCUCGCAGGUAUUCCGGACCGAGCAGAUCAGUUCUGAAGGAUGCGAAGGACGGUGCACUUCCAGGCCGAUUCAGCUUCCGGGUCCUUCAUGAGAAUCAGAGACAUUUGAGUUUUCUUUCCAGAACGUCCAAGAGCAUUCAAUUCGGAUCUAUGAGCAGGAAGAUACGGCCUCCGGAAUGGACACAUGUCUAGACGCCUCUCUCUGGUCGUAUACAUGCACUGCAAAGAUGUGCCCUCCAGGAAGCCUUCCACCUCCCAAGCACUGAAACUUCCUUCACAAAAGUUGGAGAUAAAUGAGUCCUCUGUCUUCUGCAACCGAAAUCAUUCAAUUCGGACAAGUAUCACAGGAGUUACACUCUCCGGAAUGCGAAGUGAUCUAAGCUGCUCUGGAUGCUGCGAGAUGGUCUUGCGACUUGGUUAACCCGCAGGCCUGAAGAUGAACACCUGAAUGCUGAUGCUGCGAGUUGAAAUGUGCGGGUAAACUAUCACUGGAAGAGGUCUGGAGCUCCCGAGCAAGAGAAAUGCUAAGUCCACAAUCGUGCGACUUAGGCAUGCGAGUCAUCCGCGCCUGGAUCUAUGCCGCACGAUCACUCGGAAUUCACUCCGACUUGAGCCUGCGACCUAAGUGCAAUAGAGACCAACCCGCACAGUUUCUACAUCCCCCAGAAACCGGCUCAGCCCUGCGAGUUGGAGAGGAAGGAGACCAUGCCGCAGAAACACUCGCAAUUUACUCCUAGAUAGGCGUGCGGCUCCGACAAGGUGAUUCAAGCCUCACAAGACAAGUCUUCAUCUACUGCGACUUAGGUGUGCGGCCUGGGACAUACUGAACCGACCCGCAGCUUUUCCCACUUUAUCCAUUAAAGCCGGGUCAGGACCCGGUUUGUUCCGGGCUGACCCGGUUCGUUUUUAAGAAGGUAUAAAUACUUUUUAGGGUUUUUUGGGGGAGAACUAAGUUUUAUUCCCUUUGUCUCUUGCCUUUUUGGUGAAAAGACUCCAUUAAGAAGAGAAAUAUCUUUAUUUGAGUGUUUAAUCAAGAGAGUUUAAGGAGAUCUGGGUGUUUAAAGCUGUUUUCUUUUGAAUCUAUCAUCUCCAUCUCCAUUUCUCAUCAUUAAUCAUGCUAAUCUACUCAACUUGCAAAAGUUUAAGAGAGAUUAGUAUGAUUAGUGAGUAGUCACCUUAAUGAGGUUCUAGAUGUGUAGGUUAGGGUGCUAAAGUGUUAGAUUAGGAGUGCUUAGGGCUAGAUUCAUUGAUUCAUCUCUCUAAACAGCUGUUCUCUAUGCUAAAUCCUUGAUAAUCACUUGAGAUCUAGAUUCUGGGAAUUUCAUGCACCAAAAGUGUUUGAUGAAAUUCCUGAAAGAGUUGUGUUAGAGGUUUAAGUAAUUUUUCAUCAUGGGAAUGAUUUGUUAAAUGCUUGAAUGAUCAUUAAGAGCUGUUUGUUAAUGCAUAUUGAUUCAUGUUUCACAAAUGGGAAUUUGGUUUGAAAAUGGAUUAGUAUAGGGGUUAAUACCUUCAUGAGAGGAUUAACCUAGAUUAGAGUUCUUAAUCAUUUGAAUCAUGUCUCAUCAUUGUCAUUAGCAUUUCUAGUUUAACACCAAGGCACCCUAACCAACUAUCAUGUCUAGAAUCUCAUGCCUCCAUCAUAUCAUAUUCACAUCAUUUGUCAUUGUCAUUUGUCUUUAAACCUGUUUAUGUUUAUAGUUGUCUCUAGAUUAAUCAAAACCUAUUCUUGUUUGCUUGAAUUAAGAACUUGAUCAUAUAGCUUAGUGUCUAACACCACAUCUGGAUUGAUAAACCUCUUUGUACUACAUUGACAAGGGGAUUGAUAGCCCUGAGACCCUUAAAAGUCUUAUCUAUCAUCCAUCUAACAUUUUACUUUCGUUUUAUGAAUAAGUUCUCUUUCCCUUAGCUGUUUUAGGAUUUGAUGUACUUAAUCGAUCAAGAAAACAUGGUCACCAUUCCAAUGUUCAUUAAUUACCAACAUCAAAAGAAUAAUAUUGCAAAUCUAAUUGAAAUCUUCAAAAUGUGAAUACAAAAUGGUUUCUACAUAAAAAUAUAAGGCCGGAAUAAUAUGAUAUACCUUUACAUAAUCAUUAAAUGGUUUUUUUAAAUUACGUGUUUUCUUUCGAGAUUAUUGCUCCCUUGCCAACAUCAAUGAUGACGUUUAUUCCACGUCAAAUAUGACAUGGCAAAGGCGCUAGCUCUGCACAAUUUCAUUGGAUGCUAAUGCUGAUGUGUAAUUUUUGUCCAAGUUUUUCUGAUUUAAAAAAACAAAAAAAAAGUGAAAAUCAUAAACGGAUAAACAUGCGGAUCUUUAUACCCGAUCUAGCCCAAUUAUCUGUAUUUUAAAAACAUCCUUUGGCCCAAUAAUUCAUACAUUCCCAUUUUUAAAAUUUUUGAAAUUAUGGUUUUUAAAAACUUUCCGCGUAAGAAAAUAGAAAUUUUUCCCAAAAUGGAAGAUUACAUUAACUAUUAGCAAGAUUUACCGGAGUUAAUGUAACAAUAUAUACAGAAAUUUUAAUAUUUCAAAAAGAAACACGAAUUUAUCUUACAUUUUAAUACUAUACGUCAAUUUUGGCAAUUAAAUCAAUUUGAAUAUAUUGAUUCUCAAAUAUUUCCGCAACAAUAUCUACUUCUACGCACAUUCCGAAUAUCCAUAUUCUUCAUUUCAUUCUUUUUUUUCAAAAUAAUUUAAAUCCCGCCUAACAUCAAUUUUAAAAAGUUCUCAUUGACUUCCUCUCCCUAUAUACCUAUCCUAAACCCUAAAACUCUACAAUUCUCAUUCACAAAAAUGGCUUUAGUCCGCAAACGUUCGGCUGCUCUAGUUCCAUUUGCCAAAUUAGGUCAAUCAAGUGAAAUUCAGAAAAUUAGAGCUAUUAUAUUUUUACUUUGGAAAGUCAAGAACAGGCAGUCUGGCUUUGUUAUAUAUAGAAAUGAUAUUGGUUGACAAAGAAGUUUGUAUGCGAUCUUAUGCAUUUUGUUUAUUGUUAUUUUAAUCAAUCUAUAGAUUAUAUAGUAAUACUAUUUGUGUGAUUCACAGGGCACUAGGAUUCACGCUACGUUGAUGAAGAAUUGAUCGCAAAAGAUAAAUGCAUCCUUAUAGAAGGAAAAUCACUUUCUAUUAAUUGCUUCAUCAUUAAAGAAUACUAUAGUGAUUUUAGGACUACUCCAUUACCAUACAAGAUUGCUUUGUGCAGAACAACCCGUGCUAAGGAGAUCAAUGAUUUUCCAUCAGACUUGCCAGAGAAAUAUUUUUCUGAUUUCAAGUCAAUCAAGGAAGACAAACUCGACAAAAACGUCCUAAUCGGUAUGUCAUCAUCGCGAUAUUGAAAAUUAUAUUCUAAUGUACAUAUUUAUCAUUGUAUACAAAUAUUUUGUCUUCAAGAUGUCAUUGGACAAAUUGUCACCAUUGGGAGUAUGGAAGUUAUAAAAACUAAAGUAAAAAGUGGGAUCAGCGAGAAAUUGAUGAUAACACUCCGGGACACCAAGUAAGUAGUUAUGAUAUCAUACCAAAAUAAACAUAACAAUAUUUUAACAAUGGAACGCUAAUAUGUUUAUUGCUGAAGUGAUGUCCAACUGAAAUGUACACUAUGGGGACAAUAUGCAAAAGCAACUGUUGAGUACACUGACAAGCAUAUGGCUGUUAUUGUUGUGUGUGUAAUGCGAUUUUUCUGUAUAAAAGAGUACAAAGGUUAGAUCACUAUAUCCCCUAUUCAUAUAUACACAGUUUUGUAGAGAUUGGUAUUGGAUUAGAUUGUUAAUUAUUCUUAUUUUAUGUUUUUCGAGUAUAGGUGACAAUUCAAUAUCAAACGCUUUCAACUCCACCAAAAUUUUGUUUGAUCCUGACGUCAAGAUCGUGAAAGACUUCAGAGAAAAGUAUGUUAUGUGACAAUUUUAAUAUCAUUUUAACAUUGUUUUAUUUAUAUAGUUAUUGUUUACAGUUUUGUAGGUUGCUAAAAAACAAUCAAAUGAUUGUGCAUGCUGAACAGAGUUAUUCGACUUCUUGGGGUGGUGCUAUUGACUACCGUGAAUAAUUUUUAGGUGUGAAAAAUAGGAGGCGGACGAUAGCUGGAAUUCGUGAUAAAAAAGUGGCAUGAGCUAUAUUUUAUUCAUGGUACAAAUAUAUUUAUAUUUCACUAUAUACAUAUUAAUGGUUUUGUUAUAACCUGGCAAGAUUUUAACAUGCGUAAUGGUCAAAGACGUUGACACUUCAAAGCUGUGGUAUUAUUGGGCAUGCAAACCUUGCAUCAUCAAAGUUUUAGAGCAUGACAUUAUGUCUGAUGAUGAAGAUUACGAUAAGAGGAUUCCUCUUUUCAGUUGCAAAAAUUGUGGAUAUAUCUAUUCAUAUGAUACCAUCGUCGCAAGGUAAUACAAUGAUUUGUCCCAUAAAGUCAAGAAAACAUUACUUAUUUCAUUAAGACUUUCUUUGGUAUGAUAUAUAGCAGAUAUAGCAGAAUUAUUUCAUGUAGACUUUCUCUGAUUGACUGGCUAAAUGUUCGCCUUAUUUUAUUACAUUGAUUUGUCCCAUCAUACAUUUAUUCCAACAUUACAUUACAUGUUUAUUCAUGUAACGUUUAAAUAACUCACUCUUCUGUUUCCUUUCAAACUAUGUAGGUACUAUAUUGUAUUAUUUGUAACUGAUGAUUCAGACGUCGAUGUCCGCUUCCUGAUGUUUGAUGACACUGCUCAAAGAUUGUUGGGUCAUUCAGCUGAGUCUAUAAUGGAACAAAAUGAUGAGGUUAUUCGUUAAAUAAUUGUAUACAUUAUGCAUUAUUUACAUUUUCUGAAAUAAUAUUAAUCCAUUAUAUAUAAUGAUGCGCAGGAUUUACCAAGAGGGCUCCCUGAUGGCUUGACAAAGCUCCUAACCAUGAGGAUGCUUUUCAAAAUAACAGUUUCAGAAGAGCAUACAAAAGGAAGCCAGUCUCCGUAUGUAGUAGAAUGGUCUCAAGAUGUCGAAAUUAUGACUGAGUGGGAUUCUCGAUCAGUGGUAAUAUAUAGGAUAAAUUUUACAAACUUCUCAAGCUCGCUUAUCUGAUCGUUUAGUUAAAUUAAGACGUCAACAAUGUUUUAUAUUUUCAGCAACCGUUGAUGCUUACGAGUUCUGACGAACUUGAGAAUCCAUCGUCUGGAUCUUUACUCAUUCCUUCAUCUAAGAAGCUAAUUAAGAGUCCUGACUAUUUUGAUGAAGGUGAAAGAUCUGUUAACAAAAAGCGACCGAAGCAAGAGAUCCCGAUGAAGUUAUGAAGAAGCAAAAAAUCGUAAUGAACUUAUUGCAGAAAUGCAUUGCUGGUGAUUGAUUAUUGAUUUUGAUCUUUAUAACAAAUUUGUCCAAUGGAUGGAUAACGUUUGAACUCUCUUCGUUAUUUUUUGCGGUAUUUGUGGAAUUUUUUUGGCAUUUUUUAUUUAAUUGUGAAACUUGAAUGUUGCCCUAGAAUUUUUUUUCAUAAUUCAUUUUUUGAAACUUUAAUUUGUGAUUUAAAUUUUUUUGGUUCAACCAACUGUCAUAAAUUUACACGAGAGUUUCAAUUAAGACGACAUUAAAACCAUAACCGUUUUACUCCAUCACAUAGAAAACUAUUCAUUUCGUUAUUCUCUUUCAUCUUCAAUCUUAGCAAAAUAUUAAAACAAAGAAUGUCUCCUAGUGAAAGAGUUUCCGAUCUUCAGAAGAAAAACGGCGGAUAUCGUAUUUGUGUACAUAUACUAAGAGAUUAUUAUGAUUAUACUCUCUUCGAUCGACCUAAUUGGAUGUUAGUUCUUGCGGAUGAAUUUGUAAGUUUUGGAGGUUUGAAAAGAUUUACCAUAUAUAUGUUUUAGGAAUGUAUUUGUUAAUUAUUUAUCUUUGUAAACCGUGUAGGGCAAUCGCAUCCUGUCUACUAUUCAAUAUGAUAUAAUAGACAAAUUUGAGUAUGAAUUGGUUGAAGGAGAUUGGGUGGUUCUUGGUAAUUUUGAAGUUGCUGACAGAGUGAUUUGUCCAAGUAUAUCAUCAAACAACUAUCAUAUACAUUUCCUCGAGGAUACCAUUGUUGAGAAAACUGAUCUGAAGUCUUCCAGAGGAAUAUACUCUUUUUGUGCAUUCAUGAAUAUUUUAUAUAGAUUUAUUCAUAUAGAUAGAUAUCUUGCUAUCUUUCUUACAACUUUUUAUUUUAAAUCGUUUAUCUAAGGAACUUCAACAUGUAUUUAAAGGCAGUCCUUUAUUUUUGCAGUUGUUCUUCUCGGUGUUGUCACAUUUGUUCAGAAACUUCAGUUAUGAUCAGACACACCCACGCAACGUCCACUUAUUCGUUUUAAAAUUCAAGAUUUCAGGUCUGUUAUCCUCAAAACAUCUGUUAUGUGUAUAUUGUUUACAAAUUUUAAAGUAUAUUAAUAAUGUUCUAAAUUAUUUAAAUAUACAGUGGAGAAUCUUUGAAAUGUAUUGCUUGGGAUAACUUGGCAAGGAAAUUUGAAGAACUUUGGAGGAAUCGUGAAAGGUCUUCUAGGCAUAUUAUUGUAUUGUGAUUUUUCUCUUUCACUAGACGGAGAAGUAACUAACUACUUCAUUAUUUGAUAUUUUUAAUUAAUUACAAGUUUUACAUAUAUAUUUUUCCGUAUAUUGAGUAUGUCUAUGUAUUUAGAUGAAUGGAUAGUUGAAUUGGAAAGAUUCAUAUCUGAUAUUCUCGAGGAUCCUCCUAUCCCAGAAGUGGAAAGAGCAGGGUUGAGGUAUGUUUAUUCCAUCUUUGAUAUUGUAUUCUAUAUUUUAAUAUUUAUAAAUAUAUAUAUAUAUAUAUAUAUAUAUGUAUAAUGAUAAAAAAAAUCCUAAUAUUAUUUCAGGCUUGCAACUUCAAUUGAUUUUUCUCCGGUCCACGAUGAAUAUGAAGACCAGUCUAAGUAAAAGAGAUUAUUGUUUCCUAUUUCUUAUUUUUAUAGUGUUAAACUUGAAAAUCUAUAUUAUUCUGAUUGAAAAAAACUUAUCCAAUGACAAUAUAUAUAUAUUUUUUAAAAAACAAUUUAAUUGUGUUAGCAUUUUUUCGUGAAGCGUAUUCUAUUUGAUUUCAACAAAAAAAUAAUUAUGAUAUUCAAAAUUAGGAUGCUCCGUGAUAUGUGUCUGUAUUAAAAAAAUAGAGUAGGUAAAUUCUGGUAUUGUACUCUCAUUAAUUAUUUGUAAUUAAUGAAAUGAAGUAAUUAACUUAAUUAAAGAGAAGUAGUCAGUACAAUAUAUGACAUUUUUCUACCAUCUUUACAUAUUUUUCUACAUAUAAUUAAUCAAUAUAAAAGUCAAAUAUACCUAUGAAUUGAAUGUAACAAAUUUGGUUUGUUCGUAAGUCACUUAGUGCAAUAAAUGUCAAAGGUUGCAAUUUAUUCUAAUUUUACAAAACAACACAACUUUUCAGACCCUAUACUUGCUUUGCUAUACAUAUAAAGGACCAAAGUAAAAAAAUGUCUGGCCAUCUUAACUAAAAAAAACCUAAAGUCCCAGAAAACAACCACUUUCCUCAAACAUGCCUCGCUAUUGUACCCUUGAGUAUCUUUCUCCCACAAAAUCUGACUCCAGAAUUCUUAUAAAAGUUCUACGAGUUUGGGAACACUUCAACUACUGUAAUCAACGCCAGGAAUUGCAUCUUAUCCUCGGUGACGAAAAUGUAAGUUCAUCUUUUUGAAGUUUUUUUAUUCUGUUGCAUGUUAUGAACAUUUAAACACAUGAAUUUAGGGUUACAAAAUAGAGGCAUGGAUAGAUCAGGAUCUUAACUUUUCACUUGGUCCAAAGUUUAAAGAAGGAGAAUGGAAUUAUGUCAAAUUCUUCAACGUUGUCAAUGCGUUCGGAUCUUUCAGAAAUACUAUAAACUACCACAUCAUCAACAGGAACGCCGAUACUAUUGUAAACAAGACCUUUCAAGUCAAUCCUAAGCAUAUGAUGGAUUUUAUGCCAUUUGAUGCCAUUAUCUGAGGGAAUUUCUCUACUGAGUACUCUAUCGGUUAGGCUUCUCACUUUUAUUCAAUUUAAGAAUUGUUAUAAAUAUUGUGUAAUGAAAAUUUUUCUUUGUAGACUUGAUCGGCGUAAUCAUCUAUGUUGAUGAUGAACUAAGUACUGAUAUUGAUGACCCAUACGAGAUGAUUUUUGGACCUUCUCACAAAUUGGACAUUCAAAUAAGAGACAUGAAGUAAGAUGUUUUAUAUUAUCAUCUAUAUAUGUAAAUGCCAAUAAUUUGUCUUAUGUUGUACAUAUGUAUUUUUGUUAAUGUUGUUGUAAUAUAAUUUGAUAUGGACAUCAAACUCAUUGGGAAGACUGCUCUGGAUUUCUAGAAGAAGUGAGAAAACAUAUGUACUUAUGAAACAGUCUUGAUUUUGCGCAUGUUUCGUCUGACCUAUGAUUCUGAAGGUUAGUAAUUAAAUAUUAUAAUCGAGUGGAAACAUUCAUUCCCACUUUGUUAAUAUGAUAAUUUGGCUUCUAACAUGUGUGCCCUUUAUAUUUUAAAAUCAUACAGGAAAAUAUCGCAUAAAGAAUGAUGGACACCAUUCUGAAAUACUUUUCAAUCCUCACAUAAAUGAGGUUUCUGAUUUUCUUGACUGGUAAUUUUUCUAAUUGGUAUUAAUAUAUAUAAUAUGUUUUAAGGUUUAUUUUAAUCUUUUUUACAAUAGUUAACUUGAAAUUAUUUAUGGUCAGGCUUCCUUUUAUUGAUAUCCAAGGAGAUCCGAGCUGGCCAUAAGUUUAAUCCCUCUUAUGUACCUAUAUUUUCUCGUAACUGUUAAACAUUCCCAUUAUGUAAUAUUUUCCCAUAAAACUGGGAUGGAGUUGAACAUAUUUUCGUAUAUUUGUAAUGAAAUAUUUAGUAUUUAUUUAUAGUAAUGUUUAAUUGCCAAUUAAUAUCAUUUUAUUUAUUGUUUAUAUAUAUUACAUGUAUAUAUGUAUAGUUUGGAUAUAGCAUAUACAAUCUAUAUAUAGAAUCCAUUUGAUUUUAGAAAGGUUACUUCCUUUAUAGACAUUUUCUUCCAUCGAAUAUUGUACAUUUCCAUAAUAAUAAGACAUUGUCAAAUUAUACUACUACAAUAUAGUAACGACCAUUUUUCAUAUUAUGCCAAUUUUAGUACCAUAACAAUUUAUGUAAGUAGACUUCGACAUUACAUUUAUUGCGAACCUUUAUAAAUUUCUUUAUUUAUAAUUAUGCCAAACGAUGCAACUAUAACGCUUUUUAGGCAAUUUCAUCUAAUGCUCACUAUUGAUCUUUUUUUUUUUGGUCGAUGCUCACUAUUGAUCUAUUAAAAACUUUACGUGUAAGAGUAAAUUGAAAUUAAUUCUGAUUGACGUUUUCAUUUCAGUGUUGAAAACUGACGUCAAGCUUUUCUCAUAACAUUUAGAGUUGAGUGUCAAAUAUUAUAUAAAUUAUCAAUGUUUUAAUGUUUGUGGAUUAUAAUUAAUGUAGCAGAUGAGCUUAUAAUCUUACGAAUCAAUUCACACAUAUGAGAAAGUGAUUUGGGAAAAUAAUUCAUUUUUAUUUGAAUCAAGAUAAUACAACUUAUUGUAGCAAAAAAGAGAGAUAAUUAAGGUACAAAAAAACAAAAACAAAAAAACAGAGAUAAUUUUAGCUAAACUCCAAAGUUUCUCCUUCCACGUUUAUUCUUAUGUGCCUAUAAGAUUCAAAAACAUAUAAUGUUGUUAACUUCAAACAUAUUAGUUAAACAAAUCAAUGUAUUAAUGGAAUAUUAACAGCUUACCCACUCCGAUGUAUCUAGGUAGCGAAUCUCUCUCUUAACGAAGCCGCAUUCUAUACAUUUCAAACCUAUCUCCAGAUCUAGAUGGAGAUCGUGUUUUCCUUUCUUGCAACGUUCAUUUGGAUCAUCAGUCGAUAUUUCUUCAUCAAGCUGCAGAUAUUACAUAGUGAUAUAAACAUACAAUAAUACAGAAAUCAUCAAUAAAACCGAAUAAUUUAAAGUUUAAAUUAUCUCAGAAAGAACCUCGAUGGCAUUCGCAGUUGAUUUGCUCAGAAAAUCAUUCAUCUCUUCCCACUUAUUAGUUUCCUCCAUCUCUGAUUCAGAAAUUGGAGGAGGUGAUGGUGGUUCUUCCACACCAAAUCUCAUGUUCGAUGGUGGUGGAUUAAUUCUCAGUAAUCCGUUUUCAUCAUAACGUUUUUCUUGGUGAUUCUCCAUUUUUGUCUAAUCUCUUAUCAGGCGUUUAGGGUUGCAGAGAAAAUUUAAGAAGUAUGUUUAUAAUCGAAGCAACUCUUAUUUUAUAUAGGAUAAGGUAGUUAAAAAAUAUUCAAUGUCACCAAAUUUCUAUGUUUUCUUAGGAAUACUGUUUCAACCAACCAGUUUAGCUUUUUAACUUUCGUUUUUGAUAUAUAGACAUAAUAUUUACACAAGUCUUCUGCGUCCAACUCACACAACUUAGCUGAAACAAAAAUAUUGAAAAGUUUGGAUUUUCCUCUUUACAGUUUGAUUUAAACCGCAAUAUAUGGUAACAUAAUAUUGUCUCUGAUAAUUUCGAACUAAUAUUCUUAUGAAGCAAUUAUGUAUAAAUUGAAUUAUCUAACCAUAUAUUCGAGAUUUUUAUAAAUAUUGUAUGAAGGAUAUUUAUAUAUUGUUGUUACUUUAUAAAACCAGAUGCAUAUUUCAAUCUUUAAUGUAUUUGUAUAUUCGUGUAUAUCCUAUUUAAUCCAUCUAUAUAUUCACAUCAUACUUUUGUGAACUGCAACUUCAUUUGUUACACUGAAUAAAAAAUCUCAAUAUUCUCCAUUUCUACUGCUAUGAACAGGAUAGGUAAACCUUAUGCGUCCAACUUUAAUCUAUUAAGAAUCCUUUUGAAUAACUAUAGACAUUUACCCUUUAUAUUUUAUUAUCAGACAUUAUUUGUUUCCUUUUAACUGUUUUAACAAAUUCUUUAUGAUUGUUUUCAGAAAUUAUUUAAUUUCAUCUACCAAGAACAAAUUCUUCCAAGCGAAACAAGGUCGACAAAGUAAUGAAAAAUACAAAAUUUAUUGCUUGGAUGGAGUGUAACAAGAUAUACGCAACUGCCAGAUUCCUACUCUACACUGAAUUAUCUCAUCAAUUUGUAUGGAAUGUCACAUUGCAUGAGUGGAGGUCACGGGUGAAGGGUUCAGGAAAUCCAACUAUUCUUCAACAGUAUUCAAUUUAUGAUGAGUAGAAUUUUUAUUUGGGUGUCUGUUGAAUAUCAUUAGAGGUCCUCGCAGUUAUGAAGAUAUCCGAACAUUUAAUGGUGUUGUAUACGACACCUUCAGAAAAGUUUGCUAUGCAAGGGGCUUAUUCCCGAUCAAUUAGAUUUAUAUAUCUUUCUUAAUUUUAGUUUUAAAACUGCAUGUUGAAUCUUUAUUUCAAUAAGUUACUUUCAUUUUGUUGUUUUUAAUCAUCUUCAUUUUUUACAGUACUUUUUAUGUUGAAUAUAUGAUAUACUAAGGUAAAUCAUCUACUAAAUACUACAUUUGCAACCGUGACAUAUUACAUGAUUAAUACAAGAGUCAACCAAUUAACAUUUUAUAAAAUAUAGCAUAACUUAUAAUUUAUAAUUUAUUGAAUAAACUAUUAUCAUUGUAAGUUUAAAGUAUUGUUGAUGCGGAUUAAUCGUAACUUAAUUGUUAAUAUGAUAAAUUAUACCUCAAAUUUUGGAAAUCUCUGAUAAAAUUAAACAACUUUUUAAAUUUCAAUUUAAACUGAACUACAUAAUAUAGACAAAUGCGAUUUUUUGUUAUUUUAGAUAAUUGCAAAAGAGAAAUAAUAAAUCUAACAAUCCUAGAAAUUAGGAAAAUCGUUGUAGUUCAAAUUAAAAAUUCCCAAUUAAAAGUUUUAUAUUUUUUACACAAUAUUGGAUCUCAUUCGAGGUAAAUAACAAUUUUUUACAUAAUUAGAGUUUUUUUCUUAAAAUUCCAUUCAAUAAUAAAAAAUCUACUAUAGCAAAAACUUAUUGAAAACGGUAUACAUUUCUGUUUACCUACUGAACAAAAUUACUUAUAUCUCACUCUACAAAAAGUACAUUGUCAAUACUCUAUCCACAAUUUGAUAUAAAGUAUUAACAGUAUACUUCAUGUUGAAAGUGAGCAUUCACAAGUAAUAUAAUUACAAUAACUCUGUGGCGACACAAUGAAUAAAAUUACUUCUUCUGAUGUGAUUCAUCACAGAUACACAAGAAAUAUUAUGUAGGAAAACAUGUAUUUUUAUUUCAUGUAAACAUAAUUUUUGUACGUCUGUGAGUGGAUCACAUCAGAAGAAUAAUUAUAGUAUGGGUUGUGUUUGAGUGAGUUAUUGUUUGCUUGGUUAAUUGAUCAAAAUUCUAUUCUGAUGUGUAUUUAUAGAAUUCUUAGAGCACGUCCAGUGGGGGUUCGUCCAUGGGUUCAUAACUCAUUUUAGAAUUAAAAAAAAUGUUUAAUGAGCUAUUUAUGAAGACUCGGUUCAUCCCAAAGAGUCUAAUGAACCUCAUUUGCUGACGUGGCAAUUUUUUAGUGGUUGAACCUUCAUUUUUCUUUUUCCACCUCUUCUCUUUCUUAAAAAAAAUCAUUUUUUCUUUUAUUUUGCAACUUCUCUCCUCUCUCUUGUUCAGAAUUUUAUUAAUUUAAUAUUUAGGAUGAACUUUAUGAAAAGUUCACCAAUGGACAUGGUCUUAAAGAGUGACUCCUCAUUUUUCUUCCCUGUGUUUCAUAUUCCCCAAAAGUCAUUGAUAAUUAAAACAUAUUAAACAACAUUUGACUGAUAUAUCACAAAUUCCGAAAGAAGAUAAAUUUCGAAAUAAAUGAAUACAUCUUCGCAUAUAAUCUAUAAAAUAUGUUCAUAAAUGUCACAUUUCGAUGCCUAACUUAAAAACAUAAAAUUAAUGUAUAUAUUCAUAAUUACAAGUAUUUUUUUAUCUACACUUUCUUCAUUAUACAUAACUAAUUAUAAUUACGUAGAAUUUAUAACUGCAAAUAUGAGCCAAUUUUAAGACACAAUCCAAUUCUUAUACUAAUAACAUACCAUUCGACCCAAAAUUAGUAACAUUGUAUCCACACACACUGUAAAUUAUCAAUAUUAUAAAAUUCGACCCAAUAAAUUUAACAAUAUACCUAAUAAAAUUAAAAUUUCAAAAAACGUUCAAGCCCGCACAUGUGUGCGGGCCAGUAUCCUAGUGCCUAGAAAAUACAAACAAGUGUGGGUAUAGAAACGUGAUACAUAGUGAUUAUGUUCCUUUCAUAUGGUGAUGUACUUAUAUUUCCUUUUAGUAUGCUCUAUAUUGCUAAGUGAAAACAGGGAGAUUGUGGAAUUUAGUUGCAUAUUUAUUUCCUUUUUAAGUGUCCAAUUGCCUUUUGAUUUCGUUUAUUUAUUGCGGGUAAAAACAACCAAAACCAUUCAGUUUUAGCUAGAUCUACUCUCGGAAAUAUUACAUGUAACAUUUGGUCCUUGUUGUUCGACCUAUCGUUCUACUACCAUGACAAAAUAAUUGUACACUUGCGGUUUAGUAAAUUGGUAUUUAAAAUUGACCGCACUUUUUCCAGGGACUAGCUGUUUCACCAUUGGGUUAAAGACUACAGUUGAACAUAUGACAAGUUUUUCUUGUUUCCCCUUUGACACAAAAUAUAUAUAUAUAUAUAUAUAUAUUUUGUUAUAUUUUUGUUACUUUGCUUAAUCGCUCCAAGUUUUCCCUAAUUGGCCUUUCAGCUGCAUGACUAUAAAUCCUUAUACCAUGAGGGUCUGACCUUUCACCGUUUGAAAGAUAAUAGAAAGGAGAGCGAUUAGCACGUUUGGAGAGAGAGACAAUAGAUAAUCAGAAACCAAAAUUGGAGAGUUCAAGUUUGAACAGUUUCUAAGUAACUUGGGUGCCAGUGUGAGUUUGAUGUCCCUGGAUGUGUCAAAAGGUCUUGGGAUAAUAGAUUUCAAGUCAUCAAAGAUCACUCUGGUUUUUGUUAAUCGCUCGGUUGGUUACCCAAUGGGUCUACUUGGGGAUCUACUAGUCAGGGUUGGAAACCGCUAUACUCCUAGAGCAUUCAUUUUGUCAUAGUUACAUAAAGAGCUACAUGAACAGAUGAAGGUGUAGCUGUAGUUGAAGCAGUUGCUGUACCAGAUGAAGUGAAGGAUGGAAUUCCACAAACAUGAAGUACGUGACAAGCGAAGCAUUUGGAAUGAGGAGCUGGACGAGUAGCUGAGCUGGACCAGUAGGAAUGGGAGUCUUGGAAAGAAAGCAAAGCUGGAUGGGAAUAAAGGAGCAGAUCAGGAAGAAUGGAAGAUUUUACUUAAACAUGUAAAAGUUUAAGGAAAUAGGAAAUAUGCACCAAGCGACAAAAAUGGAAGCUGUGGUGUAGGGUUUUCGGCGUGUAUAGCCGCUUAGUCUACUAGGUAUAAGUAGACGUGUUGAACCAUUGUAAAAGCUUAACACAACUACUAGAGAGCACUUAGCAUAAGGGUGAGAGAUUCGAGUAUUAGGGUCUGCAUCAAGGGUUAAGGGUUUUUCUAGGGGAGUUCUGAGAUCAAGUACAGCUCGAAGAACAGAGAGAGCUAGAGCGACAGAUCAAGGUGUGUCUUGAGUCUGUUCUAAAUCGUUUUACAAACUUGUAAGGUGUGUUAACAGAUUUACUAGUAAUAAAGUUCAGUUAAAGGAAAAACUUUGUGUUAAGUUGUGUUGUUGUUCUUGAACUAAGACUCUUGCAUUUACAAUUGGUAUCAGAGCGGUCAUCUGUAACUUGCAAACAGGUGAGGUCAUGCGGAGAUGGAGAAUUAUCAAGAACUUGUGAGCAGUUCAAACGUAAUUUUGAAUGCUGGAAACUACGGCUUCUGGAAAGCGAGGAUGCGUUCACUCAUAAUAGGAAUUGAUCCUUUGGUAUGGAAGUCGGUCCUGGUUAAGUGGGAAGAACCAAAGAAGAAGAACGAUGCUGGAUCUGAUGAGCCUAAAUCUGAAGAAGAAUGGACCGAGGAAGAAAGAAAAAGGUUCAAAUACAAUUCAAAGGCGUUGACGGCUAUUCACUGUAGCAUAUCAGCUGAGACCUUUAAACUAAUUCAGGGAUGUGAGACAGCCAAAGAAGCUUGGGACAUACUGCAGAUACAGUUUGAAGGAACGACAAAAGUGCAAAACUCGAAGAAGGACAUGUUGGCUUCACGAUUUGAGAACCUGUAGAUGGAAGAACAUGAAACCAUUGCCGACUUCAGCUCCGAGUUGAGUUCUCUGGCUCAAGAGGCUACAACUCUUGGGAAGCACUACAAAGACAAAAAACUGGUGAAGAAGUUCGUAAGGUGUCUUCCUUCAAGGUUCAUGGGGUACAAGUCAGCUCUGAGUGUGAACCAGGAUACUGAAUAUCUAAGCUUUGUAGAGAUUGUUGGGAUGCUACAGGCUCAUGAGAUGAAACUUGAUGGUGUGAAGAACCAGAAAGGAUUGGCGCUGUCAUCUGUUCUCGAGACCAAGUCAUCAGAGGAAGAAAAGUGUGAGGAUGCAUUAGGGCUACUGGUGAGGAGGUUUGACAAGGCUCUAAGACGAGCUGAGAAGUCAUAUGGUCAGAAAAAAGGUUGUACCUGCCAAACGAACAAAGGAAACCAGUGAAAGAAGGGGUGAUGUUCAAUGCUACGAGUGCAAAGGGGUCGGACACUUCAAGACUGAAUGUCCUACUAUUAAGAGAAGGUAGAUUCAGUGCUUCGGAUGCAAGUGUUUUGGUUAUACACAAUUGGAAUGUGUGAAUGAUCAAAACCGCAGGAAGGAAAGAUCCAUGCUGGCAGAAGAAGAUACUGAAAAUGACAGUGAUGAAGACACUGUGGAGGAAGUAAACAACUUUGUCUCAUUCAUUGGCAUUGCAGAAUUCGAUGAGAGUAUGGUUGCUUCAGAUGCUGAGUCAGAAGUUGGGGCUGAUGAUGAGCUGAGUGAAAGCUACAAAGAGGUUCGUGAGACUCUGAUCAAGAUUGGCAAGGAAAACACUGACUUAAAGAAAGAGAAUCUUUGAGUUGAAGCAAGAGUGGAGGAGCUGCAGAGAGAACUGAAAGCUGCUCAGAAACUGAGUCAAGAAAGUGUUGCGCUGAUAAAAGAGAAGCUGAACUUGGCAAAGAAGGCAGAGCAACUGGAGCAUGAUCUAAGUCAGGAGAAAGGGAUUUCCAACAACCUGAUGGGUGAGCUCAUUGAGCAACGUAAGAAGAUUCAUAUGUUUGCUGGAACUAAACAGCUUGAUCAGAUCUUGAGCCAUGAAAGGAGGUAUGAUGUGCGUAGAGGAUUGGGAUACGAUGCUUGAACCAUGGUAGAAACAGGUACUACAAAGUUUGUCUCAGGAGGUACAACUAAGCCACAAGAUCUGAUCAAGCUGAAAAGCUGUGGAUGAAGUCGGAAAGGUCAUCCUGCGAGGAAUCAGAUCUAGGAACAACUGUUAUAUAUGGGAUUCCUCUUGCAAAGAAGAAAAGUGCUUCACAGCACGUGAUGAUCUACAUCCGUGGCAUCAACGAUUGGGACACAUGAACAUCACGAAUCUUGCCAAUCUUGUCGACAAAGAAAUUGUCAGAGGAGUGCCUAAAGUCAAGGGAGUUGAUAACUCGGUGUGUGGACCUUGCACUCAAGGCAAGCAAGUUAAAGUGCAACACAAGAGAGUACCUGAUGUACAGUCAAAAGCAGUUCUUGAUCUAGUCCAUAUGGAUCUAAUGAGACCAGUACAAACCGAGAGUUUGGGUGGCAAGCGCUAUGUGUUCGUCCUUGUGGAUGACUUCUCUAGGUACACCUGGGUUAGGUUCCUUUGAGAAAAAUCUGAGACAGCUGAGAGCUUCAGAAUAUGGGCGCUGCAACUCUUGAAUCAGCGCGGUAGAAUAAAGAAUAUCCGGAGUAAUCGUGGCGGCGAGUUUCAGAAUGAAUUCAUGAAACUUUUCUGUGAAAGUCAUAGCAUUGCUCAUCAGUUCUCAGCACCUAGGACACCACAGCAGAACGGGGUUGUAGAAUGGAAUAACAGAACACUACAGGAGAUGGCACGAGCAAUGAUGCAUGGGAACCAAGUGUCAAAGAAGUUCUGGGCUGAAGCAGUCAAUACGGCUUGCUACAUCAUAAACCGAGUCUACGUCAGAAAGGGAACCAGUAAGACACCUUAUGACUAUGGAAAGGGAAAACCCCUAACUUGAGUUACUUUCAUGUCUUUGGUUGCAGGUGCUACAUCCUUAAUGACAAAUACUAUCUUGGGAAGUUUGACUCAAGAAGCGAUGAAGGGAUGUUUUUGGGAUACUCGGGAAAUAGCACUGCAUUCAGGGUCUUCAACAUCAGGUCAAAAGUACUGAUCGAGUCAGUGAACAUGGUGUUUGAUGACUAUGCUCGUACCAAGUGGGAAGGAACUGCUACUGGCAGUGACUCGGACGAAGAAGAAGAAAAUCAACCAGCAGCUCCCACUGGAGAAGGUGAUCAAGCAGUUGUGGUUCCAACAUCUGAUGUUCAGCAAGUUCACAGGAAUCACUCACCUUCGAAUCUCAUUGGUGAUGUGAAUGAAGGAAGAAGGACUUGUGGAGUUCAGUUGGACUUCAAAAAGAUGGUUGGGAAAUUCUCGGAGAUGGUUCUAUUUGCAUGCUUUGUCUCUGUCAUUGAACCCCGAGACGUGAGACAGGCACUUGGUGAUGAAUUCUGGAUCAUUGCCAUGGAACAAGAACUAGAGCAGUUCGUGCGUAAUUAUGUGUGGAAACUUGUCCCAAGACCCCUUGAAGGCAAUGUGGUGGGAACAAAGUGGAUCUUCAAGAACAAAAUCGAUGAGAAUGGGGUUGUGGUUCGCAACAAAGCAAGGCUAGUUGCACAAGGGUUUUCACAAGUCGAGGGAGUCAACUUCGAAGAGACGUUUACCCCUGUAGCAAGACUUGAAUCAAUCAGACUGUUCUUGGGGAUGGCCUGUAUCCUAAACUUUAGGGUAUAUCAGAUAGAUGUCAAAAGUGCAUUUCUUAAUGGAGUGCUCCAAGAAGAAGUGUAUGUGGAACAGCCAAAAGGGCUCAAAGAUGCUCAGUAUCCACAACAUGUGUACAAGUUGAAGAAGGCGCUUUAUGGCUUGAAGCAGGCUCCACGAGCGUGGUAUGAGAGACUCACUGGAUUUCUGGUUGAACAAGGAUAUGUUAGAGGAAGUGUUGACACGAUCUUGUUCAUCUAUGAGCAGAAUGGGCAGAUCAUAAUUGUGCAAAUCUACGUGGAUGACAUUAUCUUUGGAGGAACUGCUCAGUCACUUGUGGAUCGAUUUGUCACAAGCAUGACUCAAGAGUUUGAAAUGAGCAUGGUUGGUGAACUGCGGUACUUCCUGGGUUUGCAAAUAACUCAGUCUGAAGAUGGGGUCUUUAUCUCACAAAGCACCUAUGCGAAGAACUUACUUACAUGAUUCAAGCUUGAUCAGUGUAAGGAAGCUAAUACUCCAAUGAGUACUACAGCCAAGCUCACUUGGGAUUAAGAUGGAACAGAUGUUGACCCCACAGUUAUCUAGGGAUGAUUGGAAGCUUGUUGUAUCUCACAGCAAGUAGACCAGACUUUUCCCUAAGUGUGGGCAUCUGUGCUCGAUAUCAGGCGAAACCCAAGCAAUCACAUCUUGAAGCAGUGAAGAGAAUCAUCAAGUAUGUCAAAGGGACAGUCAAGUUGGGAAUCUGGUACUCCAAAAGAUCGAACAAGCACUUGGUGGGAUACUGUGACGCAGGAAGUGCAGAUGAUCGGAAAAGCACAAGUGGAGGUUGUUUCUUUCUUGGGAACUAUCUAAUCUCGUUGUAGAGUAAGAAAUAGAACUCUGUCUCACUGUCUACUGCAAAGGCCGAAUACAUUGCUAUGGGGAGCUGCUGCAGUCAACUGUUGUGGAUGAAGCAGAUGUCCGCAGACUAUGAGAUGGAUUCUGGGCCACUACUGGUUCACUGUGACAACAAAAAUGCUAUCAGUAUUUCAAGGAAUCUGGUGCAGCAUUCUAGGACCAAACACAUCAAUAUAAAGCACCACUUCAUUCGUGAGCUAGUGGAGGAGAUACAGGUAGUGAUAGAACACAUUGUCACUGAUUUGCAACUGGCUGAUUUAUUCACAAAACCCCUGGAUUUUAAUCGUUUUGUCACCUUAAGAAACUCGAUUGGGGUUUGUAGUAUGUGAUUUUUUGUGAAGUGUGCAGGACUGAUGCAAAAACUGACUCGAGGGGACACUCAAGGUUUAGAUUCAGUCUGGAGUCAUGGAUCUAGUGGAAAAGAGCUAUCUCAACAACCGUCGUACCUUAACGACAGUACAGGUUUCAUGGAGUAGAAGGGAAGCUGAGCUAGUUUCGGAGAAGUCAAGUGAUGAAACUAGCUCAUUGCACUCAAACCAGAAAGGGAGGAAUGAAUAAAUAAAAAAAAUUUAAAAAAAGGAGGGGCUGCUUGCAAUUAAAAUUAGUUGAUCCCCUCAAAAGGUAGAUCCUCCCCUGGUACUGAAAGCUUCCUUCACCCGUGAAUAAAGGUUGAAAACUAGAAAAUGGGUCGAUAAAGGUAGUUGGGUGUGAAAGCUAGCCCGUGAAUCAGGAUGGCCAGACUCUUAUGAAUCAUAACAAGCUGAAGGUGUCUCGUGAGUCAGAGGCUGUGUCUAGUUCCGGUGCACUUCAAAGAAAAUGGUAAAAAUAUGUACAAAGCAUUGUUUUCAAAGCCAGCGCAUAGGUGAUAGUUCAAUUGUCACUAUUUGUUCUCUAUCAUCGGCUUAUGUGUGAAAGUGUCCGUGAAUAUUGAUGGUCUAAUGCGUGCGUGUUUGAUUCAGUAUGUGUUCGAGUGCUUUUGUCACGUGUGAAACAGGAAAGUGGGCAGGGAAUUUCGAGGCCUUGAUGAGUUUGUGAAAACAUCUGUGAGAUGGGCUUGUUGCGAGAGAACAGCCCACAAAAGACAAUGGAAAUUGAAAAGACGUGGGAAAAUAGAAAGUGGGGGAGUUAUUUACGGGGAGUGGGGAUCCGAAAAAUCAGCACCACUUCCUGUUUUAAACCCUAAUUAUCUUCCUACAAAAGGCGAAUCACAAAGAGAGACAUCAAUGGUGAGAGGAACUCGAAGGGGGCUAAUUGGUGUCCGAUCUAAAGCACAGAUGACGCAUGCAGAUGGCGAUGCUCAGAGGCCUCAUCUAAUCGAUGAGCACAGUGGCGAGAGUAUGAAUCCAACUGAGGCGGUUCCUGAUCAAAAUCCCGCGGCAUCCAUUGGUCCAGCAGAUAGUGCAGGCUCUUUUGCCACCGCAAAUGAUGGAGAUGCGCAGAGUGGAUCGUCGGCGAACCCUAAAGAGAAGGCGGAUGGCGGAGAAACCAAGGCCAACUCGGAGGUUACCCAGAAAAUCAAGAAUGACGAGGAAGAGGCUGACGGUGGCGAGAGCAAAAAAGCUGUUGAGGUGAAUCUCUCUGUGCCACAAGAAUCGGCGAAUCCGACCGCCGAUCCGGUUCUGAUCACAAUGACUCAAGAGGAGGCGACAGCAUCUCCCGCUGAAGCAUCACCUACCUCGAUCUCCGUGAAAGAGCAAGCUGCAAAAGUCGAACGCAAAAGAAAUACAAUGAAGGCUUUGGGACUUCCAGCUCCGUCAAAGAAACCCAAAAGUGAGCCGUCUCCAGUUCCAAAAGCAGAACCGGAGCCAGUCCCUGACUCGGUGCCAUGAAAGCGGACCAAAAAGGCUCGAUCUCGCAAAGAACAGCCGUCUCCUGAUCAAGCAAGGUAUGAUCACUUUGCUACACGACAACUUUGGUGUGAGAGAACUGUCGAUGUAGGUGAAACAGAUGAAUGGGGAUACAUCAAAGUGAAUAGAGACAGCGGUUUAGAAUCAGCGGUUGUAGGGAUCACUUUGUAUGUACCGCAAGUGAUUCAGGAGUUCUAUGCUGGGCUUCCGGGUGAGCUACCCUCUGAUCCAGAUCAAGAGAUUCGUGUCAAGCUGAGGGGUUUUGAGUAUUGCUUCUCUCCUGCGUGGAUCAAUCGGGUCCUCAAUCUGACUCCACUUAGCGAGGCUGAAGUUCACGAUGAGUCAGUUGCUGAAGCAGUCUCUCUGUCUGAUAUUGCCAAACACUUGUCGAAAGGAGGAAGUGGUUGGAGUGGGCUGAGCACGAGGAAUCUCCCACCGGUUUUUGCUUCAUUGAUUGUUAUUGCGGCGUACAACUGGAUUCACUCAACCAACAAGAAUCACAUUUCUGAGGAGCGUGCUCGCCUGCUGUACAAGCUGAGUCAUGGUGUGAGGGUGGACUUCGGAAGGCUGGCUUUCAAACAUAUUAUUCUAAUGAGCAAGAUCAUCAAAAAAGACACUCACUGGCUGGUAUUCCCGUGUUUGAUACAGAAGAUUAUGAACCUUCAACACGAGCCUUAGCUGGGUCAAGGAGAGACUCACAUUGUCCCAUUUUGAUACAAAAAAGACUCACGCAGUGGUGAGGAGUUCAUCAAGAAAGAGGCCGCAGCUGCAAAGAAGGAUAAGAAGAAAGGGAAGCAAAGGGCUGAUGCACCGAGAUCUCCAACUCCUCCACCUCAGUCGUCUCAACAGCAACCUGAGCCAUCACCGAGUGUGCCACUUCGGUCCUUCCGCUCACCACCUCCUGAUGCAUCCUUCAGGUCAUCCGACUCUGCUCCUGGUCGGACUCAAAGUGCUCCUCUCGGAGUGAUUUGUGUUCCUUUGGCACCAGAAAGUGCUAAUGAAGUCACAUUGGCCUUAUGGGAUGUGAGUCGUGUGCUUAACCAUCUCCACGGAAUAGUCAACAUGGUGAUUGACUCAUUUGCAAGUAAGUUUUCUGACUCUGACUUGUUUCUUAUUUUAGGUAUUGAUCCCUGUUUUUACUUUCGGUGAUCACAAGCAGGAGGAGAAAACAUGUGGGAAGAAAUUCUACGAGAUGAUGCAGGAGAUGAUGCGGGUGCUUAAAUUGUGGGGGAGUUUGUGUAAUAAUCUAGUUUCUUGUUUCUGAAUUAGGCUAAGUUUGUGGGGGAACGUGUAUUUUGCUCUGAAAACUCUUGUUCGCAGCAUUUGAUUCAAGACUCUGUGUUUGACGUUUUCUUUUCAUAUGAAAUGCGUUCUGUUUGUCUUGGUACUUGGUUGGUCUGUGGUUGUUUGUGUGCUAUGUCUGAAAACAGGUGCUUCUGAGUCACACGAAGCUAAAAUGGGGGAGAUUGAAGGUGUAGCUGUACUUGAAGCAGUUGCUGUACCAGAUGAAGUGAAGGAUGGAAUGCCACAAGCAUGAAGUACGUGACAAGCGAAGCAUUUGGAAUGAUGAGCUGGACGAGUAGCUGAGCUGGACCAGUAGGAAUGGGAGUAUUGGAAAGAAAGCAAAGCUGGAUGAGAAUAAAGGAGCAGAUCAGGAAGAAUGGAAGAUUUUCUUAAACAUGCAAAAGUUUAAAGAAAUAGGAAAUAUGCACCAAGCGACAAAAAUGGAAGCUGUGGUGUAGGGUUUUCGGCGUGUAUAGCAGCUUAGUCUACUAGGUAUAAGUAGACUUGAAGCAUUGUAUAAGCUUAACACAACUACUAGAGAGCACUUAGCAUAAGGGUGAGAGAUUCGAGUAUUAGGGUAUGCAUCAAGGGUUAAAGGUUUUUCUAGGGGAGUUCUGAGAUCAAGUACAGAUCGAAGAACAGAGAGAGCUAGAGCGACAGAUCAAGGUGUGUCUUGAGUCUGUUCUAAAUCGUGUUACAAAUUUGUAAGGUGUGUUAACAGAUUUACUAGCAAUAAAGUUCAGUUAAAGGAAAAACUUUAUGUUAAGUUGUGAUGUUGUUUUUGAACUAAAACUCUUGCGUUUACAACAAGUUCCUCUAGGCUCAGCUAAACCAAUUCUCUUUACUUAGUUGUUUUUAGUAGUUGAUCUCGACUGGGUGAAAACCGACCCUAACACUUUCCUUGAGUUUGUCUUGAGGAGAACCAUGUUCUCAGUCCAUCCUCAUAUCUCCUAUCUCCAUUACUUUGAAUCAAACAUAUAGUUGAUUUCUGAUAUUGUUGUCGAUUAGCUUGAUGAGUUGGUACUUUUUCGAAGGUUUCUCCCAAGUCAACAACGUUUCCCCACUCGCAUAAAAACUAAUCUUUCAAUAGUCUCGUUACCAAACCAUCCCAACCUAAUUCAGGUUUGGCUUAUCAUAUAAAUUACAUCCAUUUUUGAACUGUCAAAACCUAAUUUAGGGAAUUUCAGUAAUAAUAUAUAGUUUUUUGGUGUGUCAAAUCAUAUGAGAGAACCUUUACGAUAUAUAUGUUUUAACCAAGAGUGAUCCCGAUAUUUACCACUCAACUAAUCCAACAAUUCCCAAGGGACGAGUGUAGCCGUGAAGUAAUUCAUUCACAAUUUUUUUUUUUUUACAUCUAAUUCACCUUUAUUAGUUAUCAAAAUUACAAUCGUUAAUUACAGUACACUACAAGAAAACAGCAGGUAUUCCUACGAAAGAUAUCAUCAGAAAAUGGUAGGAAACAGGCAUUUUCUACCAAUUUCCGACGAAAAUGUUUUGGUAAGUUCUAUGCCGUCGGAAAUUAUAAAUGGUCAGAAAAUGAUAGGAAAUUUCCUACGAAAUUUUUGGUCGGAAAAUUUCAUCGGAAAAUUUGGUCAGAAUAUCGUAGGGCAUUUGCUACUAUUUUCCUUCCAUUUUCUUUUGAAAAAAUCCAACCCUUUUCCUACGAACAGUUUUCUAUCAUAUUCCUACCAUUUUCUUACUAGCUAUAUAAAAAAAUUUUAAUUCAAUUAAUUACAAAAUUAAAUAAUUUCAAUUAUUAAACAAAUUAUAAAAAUUAAAUCCAAAAUUAAUCAACCUAAUUAAAAACUAAUUAGAAAUUAAUUAUAACUAAAUAUGGAACUUCUAAAGCCCAAAUUAUUUUUAUUGACUCAGUAUUUUUUAUACUUAAAGCAUGUGUCUAUUUAUAGAGUCUUUUCAGCAUCACCUGCUUGGUCGAUGUGGGAUUUUUCCCAUUUUCCUUUUUGACUGAUUUUGGUAGGAAAUUGAUAGGAUAUUUAAAUAAUAAAAUAUUUAUUUUUCGUAGGAAAUUGAUAGGUAAUUUCUUACAUAUUAUAUUCGUAGAUAAGUGGUCAAAAAUUUCUGACAAAUUUCCUACCAUUAUUACAGUAAAUUUUUUCCACCGAUUUCCUUCCAUUUUCUGAUCAGAUUUCCUACGGAUAUUUUUUUGGUUGAAUAUUGGUAGGAAAAUUUUGACCAUUUUCUGACGAUUUUUAUCGUAGAAACUUUUCUUCCAAUUUCCUACCACUUUUAUUUUUUGUCAUAAAUUCGUAGGAAAAUGAUAAAAAAAAAUUUCUACCAAAAUUUACGUAGAAAAAUUUAUAGGAAUUCAACAUGUUUUCUUGUAGUGGUAUGUUGGAGGAAUCGAGGACAAGUGUGGUACAAUGACCAUUGAGUAUUACAUAAUAAUGCUUGUUUAGCCAACAUAUCUGCCCAUUGAUUUGCUUCUCGGUGUCGAAAGGUGAAGCUCACUUCAGCGAACAUUUUUUCCAGCUUUUGAUAGCCUCUAUGUAAUGGUGGAGACGCAAAUUAUUUCCUUGCCCAUUGAUGAGUCGGAUAAUGGUUAGAUUAUCUCCUUCAAAUUCCACUUUUUGAAGGAAUAUUUUCAUAUUUUCAUUCACAAUAUUUUCUAAUGGGUCUAAAAAAUGGCACCAUUUCAAUUCGUCAAAUGAAAAUGGUUAGAUAAUUAUAAGUUUGUUGAGAAUUCUUUCUUUAUGGUACUUUGAUAUAUUUAGUGAACUUUGCAAGUAUUGUGUAUGAAUAACCUCAGUAGAGUUUCUUUAGGUUCUCGUUGUACUAUUAAGAAAACAAAAUUUCUCAUCGUGAACUUUGCAAUUUGUGAAUAUUUAGUUUAAAUAUUUUUUCUUUUUUGUAAGACCCUAGAGUACGAAUAAUUAAAUUGCAGUAAUAUAAAAAAACCAAAGACAAUAACAUAAAGUACAGACGAUUUUAUUAUGCAAAGAGUGAAGAUUACAACUCGAACACAGAGACAUACAUUAUUAAGUUUAUUCUCAUAGUUUCUUUUCUUAAACUUGAGUCACUUCAUUACAAAUGCACCAAUGUUUACUUAGAGUCAUACACACGUAUGUGCAUAUAUGAGACUUAAAAGUAUAUUUCAUAGAUUUUAAUGACCGGGCUGAGUCUGAACAGCUUCUGCUCCGUGUCCCCCGCGUCCACCAUGGCCUCCUCCUCCAUAGUGUCCUCCUCCUCCGUAGUGUCCUCCUCCUCCUCCGUAGUGUCCUCCUCCUCCUCCUCCGUAGUGUCCUCCUCCUCCUCCUCCGUAGUGUCCUCCACCGUGUCCUCCUCCGUGUCCUCCUCCUCCGUUGUAACCUCCAUGGCCACCACCAUAUCCAUCAGGUUUCUCAUUUUCCUCACUCUCUGACUUCACCGUGCCUGUUCCAAACACACACAAAAAAAAAACAAAAUUAUUUCAAAAAUAUUUUUAAGCACGUGCAAAUGUGCAUUCCUUUGCCUAUUUCAUAAUUGAACACUUUUAAAAAAUGUAUAGAAAUUCGGGAUAAUGAUGUAGUUGUAGUGACAGAAUUACUCUGAACAGCUUCUAGUCCAUGUCCCCCGCGGCCUCCAUGUCCCCCGUGGCCUCCUCCUCCGUAGUGUCCUCCUCCGUGGCCACCACCAUAUCCAUCAGGUUUCACAGUUUCCUCACUCUCUGAGUUCACCGUGCCUAUCCCAAAAGCGAAACCACAUUAUUUUAUAAAUAUUGUUAGUACGUACAAAUGUGCAUUCCUCUCCCCAAUUUCAUAAUUAAAUUUCUCUUAAAAACUUUCUAAAAUAUGUAUAUAAUUCCGAUCUCUAGUUAUAAAAAAAAUGAGUUCAACAUUAAAUAUACGUUUUAUAUAAAUUGGCGUCAAGCAUCUAAAUAGUUUGGGAGGGUCUAAUAGGUAUAAGAGCAUGUACAUCAGUGAACCCUUAAAAGAGGGGUUUAACAGAAUAUAAUAACAUUUUUUUUUUGUUUUAGUUUUUUUUUUUUUUAAUUCGAAAAUUAUAAUUUUCGACCAUGUUUUAUUUGGGAUGAUACCGUCUCUUCAGGUUCGUCGGGAUGAUACUGUCUCUUUAAUAUUAAGAUCUUUUGUCUCAAAAACCGUGCCAUGAACCCCUCUUGAUCCUCUGAUGUAGAUGCUCUAAGAAGGACUAAACGUCAUAAGUAAGCGUAAGUGUCUUUUCUUACUAGGACAUCAACAUGAUACUUAAGUGUGUUUAUGACUUAGUGAGUCCAAAUAAUUGACCAUCGUUCACCCCAACUUUUCGCAUUUAAAACGGACGAGAUAGUUGGACAAAAUUAUCAAAUGGUACGUUAGUCCGGUUAGAUUAGCUUCACGAUAAUUUUUUUGUUUUCUAUAAAAUAAUUUUACGUACCCGACUGCCUUGCUGAGACGACGAGAAGAAAUGCAAACACACCCAACAGAAGCAAAGUCUUGGAAGCCAUUUUCUUCAAACUGCUUAUAACACUUUUAAUUUGUAUAUAUGGAGAAAGAAGUGAUGAAUAAAAUGUUAGCCUGCAUGCUCUCUAUUUAAGGAAAACGAGGAGGGCAGAAUGAGGAAAAGUCAAAUAAAUAAUUCGUAGUGCAGUGAAAAGAAGUAUUUUUUUAAUUAAAAGCAAAAGGGAGAUUUAGUGUAUCACAAAAUUUAGAGAAAUUGCAUUGUUUGCAGAUAAAGACACACUUUUUAGUAGCAAAUAAAUAAAACUAUAUUUCUUUGCGCAAGCGAACAAAAGGGAGUUGUAUUAUUCUAGAAGAGUUUAGAUCUAAUUUAUACCCCCCAAAAAAUAUAGUUUAGAUAUCUUUAUCUGUAUCAUGCAAUCUUUCUUUGUAAACAUCUUGAAUAGAGUUAAUAUAUGUUACGUGAUUUAUAUUAGAUUGCAUGAAACAAAAAAUACGUGAAACAAAGUGUUUCGAAAAGGAUAACAAUUUUAAAAAUGAUAGGAAACGUUUGCUUUCGGAAACAUAUAUUAUAUAUAAAACAUCAAAAUCAUAUGAAAAACAAAACGAAACAUUAAAACCAAACGAACUUUAAUACUUAUAUAUCAAACAGAUAAAUAAAGAUACAAAUCCAAACGUGGUAAGAAGAUAACGAAAUUUUCAUAUUUUCGAAUUUACUUCAUCUAUCCUACAAAUAAGAUGGUAAGACGAUCGAUAAGUAUGAUCAAAGUAUAUCUGUAUCCGUUGCGUCGAUUCCCAUAUGGUGGGUUGUUGGAUUGUGAUUUGUGAAAAACUUUAACCUCAAUAGUCUUUUAGAUAUUUCUUAUCAACGUCUUUAAACAUAGGAACCAUCGGACAAGUAUUGAACUAUUGAUAUGUAAGAAUUACAUUAUUGGCCAUAACUGGUAUUAUUGUUACAUUAUUAUUACUAUAAUUUGGACACAAAAUUAGUCCACUAUUUGUACUUUAACUCUUUAAGGAUCUUCUUUGAAAAUCUCAGCCGACAGGUUUUUAAGCAGACGGAUAAAGAAUUAAUACGAAGUAAUUACUAAGAACUUACCUUUAAAGGGUGAAAUUUUGCUUGGCUAUAAUUUAUUCAGGCCUACAUCGAUAAAAAAAAAUAAAAAUCAUUCCAGUGACCUAAGUGUAAAGGAGCUUGAGAUAUACGUGUUGAGAAGAUGAGCAUUAUUAAGUGUACAGAAUGUAGCUGCCGUCCUAAUUAUAAUAAAAUAGAAGUUAAUCCGCACAUUGUAAGGGAUAAUGUUUUUUUAAUUAUUUUUAAAUUUAAUUUAAUUUUUUUUAGUUAAAUUAAAAUUGGUGGCAAAAAUAUUUUAACAAAAAAUAUAAAUAAACAAAAUUAAUAAAAAUUAAAUAAUAUAUAUAUAUAAAUAUCACACAACCGAUAUUUAUUUGUAUAUAUAUAUAUAUUAUAGAGUAUGACUUUGAGCUAAUUUUGUUAUGCAGUUUAAUUAUUCAUAAAAUAAGAAUUUAAUUUUGAAUAUUUUAUUAGAGAUUAAACUAUUAUUUUUAGUUAAUAAAUUAUAAUAUAUGUUAAUAAUAAUUAUAUAUAGGAUUAGACAAAUUCGUCUAUUUAAUUUAUUUUAUAAUUUUUAAAAUAUUAUUUCGACCAAUCCGCAAAAAAUAGAUUUUAAACUUUAAAUUAUAUUUUAUUUUUUAUAAUAAUAAUUGAAUUGAUUUUCAAAAAUGAUGCUAAUUAAUUAUGAAAAUACAAAUGAAAAAUAUUGCAAAAUUUAAAUAGUUUUUCAUAUAUAUGGAUUGAUUAUUAUUUAAAAUAAUAGAAUAUAUUUUAACAUUUUAAUAAGUAAAAAGCAAAAUACAUUUUUUAUUUAUAUCCAUAUAUAUUCAAAACAAAUAUGUGAGCUAUAUAUUUAACUAUCUCUUGUGAAGAAAUAUUUAAUUAAAAAUUUUAUAUUUGUAAAAUUUAUUUAUUUAAUAUCUUUUAAGUAAAGGUUUAUUUAUGUAAUAUUUUAUAAAUAAAUAUUUAUUUAUGUAAAAUAUUCUGUAAUAUCUUACAAAUAAAAGUUUCUUUAUAAAAUGUCUAUUCAAAUAAUAAUGUAGAGAUGUAAUUUAAUUAAAGUCUAAUUGAUAUGAACUUCAUAAUUAUUAUAAAAAUAUGAUCAAUUCCAUGCGAGUGAAAAAGAUUUACAUAGUUAUCGUUUAUUUCUCAUACAAAACUAUUUUAAUUUUAAAGAGUAAAACGUAGCAGAAAAUGAAAACUGGAACUUUUUUAGAAUAUGACAGCUAGUUUUAAAAAUGGGAGAUGGCUACAAUACCGUUUCAAAAUAAUAGAUUAAAACUUAAUCCCAGAUAUCCGACUUGUUGAUGGUUUCUAUUUGCUUACGCACACUAAAUAUAUUAACACUCAAGAGAGGGAAAGUGUAAAUUGUAUUAAUGAAAGUGUUAGUGAACCGUAUUACAUUAAUUCCCUUUUAUAUACCAACUAGGUUAAGAAUAAAUACAUAUAUGUUAAUACAUCCCUCUCAAACCGAAUCAACCUUAGGUAGAAAGAGGUUUGAUAAUAAUACACGACUAAGCAAAAAAUGAAAUGGACCUAGAUGCAAAGGCUUCGUCAACAUAUCAGCAAGCUGAUUCGAAGUAGAGACAUGAAGAACAUUUAGGAAGCCAUUCUUCACCUGAUCUCGGGUUAUGUGGGAAUCAAUUUCCACAUGCUUAGUUCUCUCGUGAAAUACAGGGUUAUUGGCAAGAUUCAUAGCUGAUUUUUUUUAUCACAAAACAGGUUGGCUUCAGAAGUUACCGGGAUAUGAAGAUCAGUCAGUAAUUGGUGCAGCCAAAGUAACUCUCCCGUAGUAACAGCCAUGCUCCGAUAUUUGGCCUCCGUGCUGCUUCUAUUAACCAUUUCCUGUUUCUUGGACUUCUAGGUGAUAAGAGAUGUUCCAAGAAAUACACACAGACUCGUUACAGAACGACUGCAUCUGAAAAUCCAUUCAAGCAUAACUCUGUAGUAGCAUAAUAGAAAAAACCUUAGCCCAGAUUUUCUUCAAAUAUUUAAGGAUCUGGAAAGCAGCUUGAAAAUGAACAUUAGUGGGGAAAGACAGAUACUGACUCCACUGAUGCAGCGCAAAAGUGAUAUCAGGACGAGUAAUGCAGAGAUAUUGCAAUCGACCAAUCAAUUCGCGAUAUGAAGUUGUAUCAGAAAGAGACGUACCCGCGGACUGGAUCCAUCAAAACUGAUUUUGGUUUAUAACCAAGGAGACCAUAAUCUUCAAUAAGAUCCAAGCAGUAUUUCCUCUGUGAAACAGAUAACCCCGAAGCAUUCCUUGCAAUCUCAAGACUCAAGAAGAAAUGAGCUUGGCCAAGAUCUUUGGUCUUGAAUGGGAUUGUGAUAUAUUCAUAUCAUUUCGUGUUUAGGAUGCAUUUUUGGUCCAAGAAUAGAGCCUCAUGCAUACAUUUUAGAUAGAUUCUUCAUGUUUUCUUUGUUUUAGAGGUUUAGGACUUUGCAUUAGGUCCAAGUGAGUCUUGCAUGUUUGGAGUGUCAAUCAGGUGCUUUGGAGGUCAUCUGGAGAUGAAAAUAUGGAACCAGGUGAAGAAAUGGUGAAAGAAGGGCAAGAUAUGGUAAAAAUGAGGUUUUGGAGGUUAUCGGCAAAAUUGCUUACUGCGGGAAGAUUUUUAUCGGCCAAAAAUCAUUCCCGGGAAGCAGUUAUCGGCCAAAACAUGUACCAGACCAAGUCUGUAUCGGCAAAAAUCCUUUGUCGUGGGAAAAAAUGUUUAUCGGCUAAAAUACGUACCGCAGUACGUAACUUAUCGGCCAAAACGUGAAUUAUCGGCCAAAAGUUUCCCGACCCGAUAUGCUUCAAAGAUGCCUUUACCAGAAAGCUUUCUCGUCCGAUUCAGUUUCUAGUGUUUUCACAAACGUUCAAGAGAAUUGAGUCACAAUUCCAGAACAGUUGGAAUCAAUGGAUUUGGAGCAGUGAGCUGAAAGAUACGGCCAACAGAAGAUGAAUCUGCCUCGCAUCCAUUCUGGUCAUAUCCGAUGCGACUCAAAGAUCACUCAGGAUGAAACUCUUCCCUUCCAAUCUAGUUUCCGGGGCUCUAUCAAGAUUUGAGAGAUUCGAGUCAUAUUUCCAUAACGCUUAGAAUCAUUCCAUUUGGAGUGUUGAGUUGGGAGAUAUCGCAUUCGGGAGACAGACAUGCCCUGCAGUAAGAAACUAGAACCUCCCGAGCCAAUGCAAUGAUCCGUUUACCGGAAGGCCUCUCUCACCCGGGAUGCACUUAAGUUCUUCAUCAAAGUUGUAUGGAAUUGAGCUGCCUUUCCUCUGGAGUUUCUCUCGAGUCAUUUAGACUCAUAUCCCACAAGUUAUGCUAGCUCAAGUAAACAUAGAUCCGAGGAAAUGAGAAAUGCUGCGACAUGGCUUUGCGACUCGGUCAACUUGCAGCGAUGAAUGUUUAAAUUCUGGGAGCAAGCUGAGACUUGAAAUGAUGCGGGUGAGGUGACUCGGAGCAGGGUAAGGAUUUCCAAAGCUCAAAUAUUUCUAAGUCCAGAACAGCCUAUGACAUGGCAGUGCGAGAUUGAUGAUGAGAUGAACCAUGUCGCACACACACUCGCUUGGGGCCGCGACAUGACAGUGCGAGAUGGAUGAAGAGAAGUAACAUGUCGCACUCCUACUCUCUUGGGGCUGCGAACGUGAAGCUGUGAGUGGGAAAAGAAGGAUUUAAGCUGCAAGUACAAUUGCUUGAAUGAUACGACAUGAAAGUGCGGCUGAAGAAGCAAGGGAGCUGAGACGUAACAACAUUCACUUGGGGCUGCGAGAUGGCAGUGUAGGUGAACUGAAGCCAGGACCAUCUCGCACCAUGGCCACAUGACCCAACUGAACCAGGUCAGUACACAGUUUGUCUUGAGCUGACCCGCUCCAAAACACUUAGUAUAAAUAGCUUUUAGGGUUUUUUUCCAAAGAACAUCUCAUUUUCCUUUAGGUUUUUAGCCACUUUUGUGUAAGAGACAACUAAAGAGAGAUAUCUCCUUUCUUUUCUUUGAAUCAAAAAUGUUUGAGAGCUUAAUCUAUCUAUCUUAUCAUCAUUACUAUUCAUCAUCUUGUUUUCUCUAUCAACUAAUCAUGUUUAAUUACUUUUCUUGCAAAGGAAUCAGAGAGUUAAUCAUGAUUAGUGAGUAGUCGCGUCAUUAGGGUUCUAGAUAUGUAAGUUAGGGUGUUUAGAGGUUUGAUUAAGGCUGCUUAGGAUUAAAUUUAUACAUCUCUGUCUUGUUUAGCUGAUUUUAAUGCUUGGUUAUAGAUGAUCUCUCUAACCCAGAUUUUGGGCAUUUCAUCUACCCAAAACGUGUUUGAUGAAAUGCCUGAACCAGCUAAGUCAAGAGUCUAUUGUUUGAUUCACAUGAAAAUGUUGUUUUGAGCAUAGAUGGUAUAUUAGGAUUCGUGUUUAAUGCAUUCCUUUCAUUGUGACUCUAAUGAUGAUUAGGUAUGAGCAAUGUUUGGUAUUGUGUUUUGAUGCUUGAGAAAUAUUGAAACUUGAUUUGAAUCCUAAGCUGCUUAGAUCAUUCAUCAUCAUUGUCAUUAGCUCCUUGAUUAAACUAUGAUGCACCCUAGAAACUAUCAUGUCUAGAGCUCUAAGUUUCAUCAUAUUCAUAUCAUCUUAAUCAUUUUCUGUCUUUAUUUAUUGCUUGUUUAAUUCUUUAAUCUUGUUUAAUUGCAAUUCUGUCACUUGUUUGAAACUAAAACAUUUUGUUUGUUUGAAUUAAGAAUAGUUCAUAUAGAUUAGUGAACUAAACACCACACCUUGGAUUGAUAACCUUUGUACUACAACAGACAAAGGGAUUGAUACCCUAAGAGCCUUGAAAAAUCUUGUCUACCAUAUUGAGAGAAUCUUCUAAAUAGACUUGACAGCUUCAUCAUCAUUGCUCGCUAUAAGGAUGUCAUCGACAUAGAUCAGGAGAUAAAUAAAUAAUGUACCUGUUAGCUUCACAAAGAGGGUGUUAUAUGCAUAAGACUGUACAAAUCCGGCAUCAAGUAAGACCUUCGACAAACACUUGUACCAUUAACGAGAUGUCUGCUUCAAGUCAUAGAUGGAUUUAUCAAGUUUGCAAACCUGAUUAGCAGGCAGAUGAACAUCAGCUGGAGUGUAACAUCGUGGCAAGCUCAUGUAUAUCUCCUCAUCGAGCUUACUGUGCAAGAAAGCAUUGGUUACAUCCAUUUGGGUUAAGCUCCAACCCAUUCAUGCGGCUAAACCAAGGAUAAGCUUCACACUGGCAAGCUUGGAAACUGGGAAAAGGUGUCAAAGUAAUCAACACCUUUUUGUUUUGUGUAUCCCUUUGCUACCAGGCAAGCUUUAUAACGCUCCACAUUUCCAUCUGCAUUAUACUUAAUGGUAAACACCCAUUUACAACCAACAACAUUUUCCCUCGGAGGCAAUGACACAACACUCCACGUAUUGGUUGACUCCAUUGCUCCGAAUUCCAAAUUGAAAGCAUCAGUCCAUUCUUUGGAUGAAAUCACCUGCUUAAAGGUGUUAGGCUCAGUCUCCAUUGAAAAAGAGAGAACAAUAGACUGAUAUGGGGUGUUAAGAGUAGAGUAAGAGAGAACAGAAGAAAGAGGAUAUGGAGUAGUAUAAACCUUUAUAGAAAUGGGAGGAGUAGAAAUUUUUGUUAAAGAACAAUGAUAAUUGGACAAAUAACGUGGUACUUUUGUCGAGUGUUUUAGCCUGGCAUUGGGAAGUGAAACCAGAGCAUUCUCUGUGACAACAGGGUGAUGGAUUUUCCUUGGAGCACUAGAGUGAGAUGAUGAUGCAUGUGAUGUAUAAAGCGGAGGAGAAUGGAUGGUCACAGUAGAUGAAGGAUGCAAAUUAUUAGGCAGUGAAAUCACCUAAUCUAAUGCAACAAGAAUUGGCAAUGGUAAUAUAAACUCUAAAAAAAUAUCAGAAGAUGAACUAGAAAGAAGAUGCUCAGUAAAAGGAAAUAUUGUCUCAUGAAAAACAACAUUUCGAGAAACAGAGAUAAUUUUUGAAUCAAGGUUCAAGACAUUAGAAUACCCUAAGAGUACACAUCGAUCCACACGAGGACUAAAAUUAUGUUUAUCCUUCUGUAACGUAGAAACAUAACAUAAGCAGCCAAAAGAUCUUAAGAAUAAGUAAUCGGGCUUCUUAAGCAUAACCAACUCAUAUGGAGAUUUGUGUUUAAGAAUAACAGAAGGUAAUCUGUUUAUCAAAAGACAACUCCAAAUGAAGAUCCGCUUGCGGCUAUAGCUAGAUCUGAGAGUUGCGAAUAUGCUUACAAAUUUUCAGGCUGAUCCAAUCCGAUUUGCCUGUCUGUUUCUCUCUUACACCAUAACAGGUCGGAUCUGCCACCUAGAUGGUUACAAUGGCUUCGCCUUUAAGGUUCUUGGCCACAAGAUAGCUCUCUGAUCUCUUCUAAGACAUGGCUGCUCUAUUUAUAGAGUGGAGAAGAGAUACUUCUAAAUUUAGAGUUUUAGAGAGGAAAAUAAUGAAAAUGGGUUUGAGAGUUUUUCUGAUGGGUUUUGAGUAAUCAGGCUGAAAAAAAAAAAAAAAAUUAGACCAAACCCUAUUCUUGGGAUGUCACAGAUUUAUUAGAGAAUAUAUUUACAUGAGUUUAUAAUUAUUUGUAUGAUAUUUACAUGAGUUUAUAAUUAAAUCGUACAUUAACAUAGCAUCGUUAUUGGAUAGUUAGUCGGAUCGGUUCAACCGGUCAUACGAAAAGUUUGUUUAAUAUAUAUAUAUAUAUAAGAAAAUAAGAAUAGUUAUUUUAAGAAAAAUAAAGAAAAUAAAAUUAAUUUCUUUUAAUUAUUUACAACUGCCAGCCAGCGAUUACAUCCGUCGCUUGAAGAAACUUAUUAUCUAAAUGAAUAAAUAAACUUUUAAUUUAUAGCGGUUCUAAGCGUCACAAAGAGAUAAGAAACAAGUUCAACGGUUUUAGUGAUUGUUAUUAAACGUCACGAAAAUAUAACCGUAUGCAAACAUAGCGUAUGUGGCUGGCAGCGAGAAAACUAUCCAACACUAAAUAUUACAUAUUUACUUUAAAAUUCAUGCCUGCUUAUUACCAAACCAUAUUUUUACCAAUUUUAAUUGUGACAUUUAAUGUCCGCACAUGCGUACAGGCCAGUCAUAAAUCUGAUAUAUUGCAUUCACAUCAAUUUGUGUGUAUUUUUGUUUUGAUAUGUCUUCUGAUUUUUUUCUGUCCUAUGUAACCAUUUUUUGAUAAUUUUAAUUGGUUGAUCAUUAAUCUUUACGUGUCUUUUAAAAGUGAUGUGGUAUAAUCGUUUUAAUUAGAUUAUUAAAGCUCGUUUAAGAUUGUCUUUUUAAAAACGACAAAAAAAAUCGGACAAAGUAAGUAAUAAAAAUAAAUGUAUGACCCAUAUAUUUGAAAGUGUCACUGGCCCAAUGGCAGAAGUCUCCCUUAUGCAUUUGAAGGACAUGUGUUUGAACCAAGGUGGUAACAAUUUUUUAAAAAAUCGUAGAAUUUUAAAACGACAUCGUUUUGAGUUAACCUAACAGUAACAGCAGAGUUAACAGCGUUUAACUUUUCUGUUAACUUUAUAAACGGAGUGCUGAUUUGGCAAGUCAACGAAAAGUUUGUUAUUAUUUAUGGAAGUCAACAAAAAUUAAAUGUUUAUUUGGCUAGCCUGACAGUUCAUGCUUUUUUUUGGCAAAAUGUGGAAAGUUUAAGGUUUUUUUGGCCGAAUUCUCAAAAUAAACUCAUUAAAGUUCGUUUAAAUUGUUUUUUUAACCAAUAAACAUUAAAACCUGUUUAAGAUUGUCUUUCUAAAAACCAAUUAAAGUCUGUUUAUAGUUGUUUUUAUUAAAACCAAUGAACUCAAAAAACCUAAUAUACUUCUUCGAUACACUAAAUAUAUAUAUAUAUAUCCUCUCUAACAUAGUUUGUCUUUUAAUGUUCUCUUUUUCGGUAAACAUUACAUUUGCUUUUUUCUAUUAAUUUUAUUAACGUACGCUUGAGUUUGAGUUUGUUGCUUGUGCUUAUAAAUUUUUUUGUAACAAUUCCUAAUCUUUUUAAGAUUAUGAUUGAAAAUGUUAGUAUAAACAACCAUAGUUUAAAAAAUAGCAUCAAUGUUCACAUACUCGUGAAACAAUGUAUAGCAUCAAGUCUAUCAAUUUUUUUGGUCUCUUAUUUUAGAUUUGAUGCGGCAAAAAGAUUGCUUUGGGAACCAAGUCUUUUUUUUUGUUGGAAUUAUCUUCUAUUCUUGUCAGUUUUUAUUUUUCAUGCAAACGUUGACAUUAAAAUCUCUUUGUUAGAUUUGAUACCAUAUUAAAUUUCAAAUCUGAAUUAAUCAUUAUAUUUAUACAUUAUUAUUAUGGAUGAGUUUAUUUUCGUUAUCUGUAGCCCAAACUCUCUUCCCACGAAAAAAACGAUUAAACCAAUAAUAUUUAUUAUAAACAGGCCGAUAGACUUUAGUAUAAACAAGUUUCAAUAGCCUAAUUAUAACAAAAUUUGUCACAUCGCUUUAAAGCACGUAUAGAAUUAAUGAACGAACAAAAAAUAAAUACAUGACAUGUCAGGACAAAACGACACAUAAGAUUUUGGACUUCACAAAUAAUAGUAACUAGGAAUUAACAUGCACAUUGUGCGGGGUAAUGUUUUUAAGAAUUUUAAAUAUUUUUUAAAAAAAUUUUGGUUAAGUUAAAAAUUGGUAGCAAAAACCUUUUAACAAAAAAUAUAAAUAAAUAAAAUUGGUAGCAAUUAGAUAACUAUAUAUAUAUAUAUAUAUAUAAAUAUCAUACAACCGAUAUUUACGUGUAUAUGUAUCUAUUGAAAGAACUUUGAGCUAGUUUUGUUAUGCGGUGUAAUUAUUAGUAGUUUUUAAAUGUGAAGGUGAUGUGAUGUUAAUAUAUUCAUACUUAUAUACUGCUGGGAUAAAUUCGAUCCUUCCUACAUGGACGAACUGCAUGCUUGCACGUGGCGUCCAUGUUUUUUUUUUCAGGUACGGCCCCCCUGGGCCAAAUUAGGAUCCGUAGUGGGUCGUAAGCAUAUAGCACUGGGCCUCGAAUCCAUAAGGAUUCGGGAGAUCCGGUACGAUAGAUCACUUGUUCCCGGGUUCCUCGUAUCUAAUAGUGCAGGCCACGCUGUCAGAAGUAAGGAGGUCGAAACUGAGUGGUCAAGAGGAGGAGAAGUCCCAUUUUCUAUGUCCUAGGCCUAAACAUGGUAAUCCGGAAAGGUCGAGAUAUAAGGUAGUGUGGCCUACACAGGAUCUGGAGAGCGGAGUCAUCCAUCGAGACAACCCCGACAGCCCGGUCCCAGUAUCGAGGGAUCCAUGUCAGGUAUGAAAUAAUUUUAUGAGCGGAAAACACUAUUCAAAUUUUCCUCCAUUCGAUAAUAGGAAUAUGCCUUAGUAUGAUUUGAUUGCCCAUACUCUUACAAAACCAUGAAAUUGGCAUUUAAUGCACCCUUCUUACAUGUGUCAGGCGACAGCGACCUUUCACAGAAACUAGAGGAAAAGAAGAGGUUCAUCAAGAGUUAUACCGCGUAUGAACCGCCAACCCAAUCCGUACACUGGAGACGAAAGGAACAUGCUAAGGAGCGGUCUCGCAGCAGGCAGAACACGUCAAGGAAAGUUGGUGAGACCGUCAGAGGUAUGACGUGGGAAAAAGAUUUGAACCCAAUAAAAUCGGAUCGAGAACCGACCAACCCACCCGACUCGCUAUGCAAGGACAGACCCGGUAUACUAACCCGGGUCAGGUAAAAUCCUAUAAAUACAUUAUCCUUUCCAACAAGGAAGGAGAUCACUUUUAUUUGCUAUCUUAAGGCUCAUAUUAUCUCUCUAGAUACUUGUGAUCUUUGAGCCCUAACAUAUUAUACUUUCCGGUCAUUACUCAGAACAAUGUUUUAGUUCUUCUCCACGGCGGUUCCUAAAUCGUGGAGUAUUUCCACCCACAAACUCUUUCAUUUCUUCUCUUUUAACUAAUUCUUUAUAAGGAACGCUGGGCCCAUCUUUCUUCUCUCGUUUUCCGAACUCUUUCCUCUCUCCAAUUAGUCACUCUGUGAUCUUUCUUCACUGUUUUCUGACUUGAACGUCGGAGAACCUUCCGAAAACACACCAUCAUCGUGUUUUUUGGGCCUUCACGUGCUUUCUGUUUUUGCAAGAGACUUACCCCCACAAAGGAUCAAAAAUCUCUAAAUAGUUUAGCGCUAGAAAGAGGAGGGCAACACUCUUCUAUAGGAAGAACUGAAACCAUACACGACCUUGAAGGUAUGUCAUGACAAGAGAAGACGGAGGUAGCUCACCAGAGAACGACACCUUGGAGGGGAUGGAAGGAGAGAACAUCUGCUGGGUCGACAGACCGACCAAGCUAUUCUCGGGAUGCCCGAUGAUAAGGGGAACAUCUUUGGUUCCCCACGCCGCCGCCAAACGCACACUCAGAACUCGUCCAGAGUGUAGAAGAAAAUGCCCUGUAAAAUUCCUUACAUCCAAAAACCUUAGUGAAAGUGUUGGCAAACUGGUCAUUAUAUAUAACAAAUGAGUUAAAGACUCGUGGGCAAUGCCCAAUAAAGUCUGCCAUGGAUUGGUCCUGUACAACAGUUUUUAUAUCAAUUAAAAAGUGCAGGCCUCGUAGGUUGAUCGAUUGCAGUUUGCGGAUUAAACAAUUGGGAUCUAUACUAGUUUCGGCAAAGAUAAUUGACAAGAACGUCCAAAACCGGCUAAGUGAAAGACAACGUCUUGGAGACCAAAAGUAUGAAAGAAGCCUCAUGUAUUGGUUUGCCACACACAAAAAAAAAACUAUUUGUUUUUAGUUUCCAUUUUAUAAAAAAAAACUAGGUAUUUAGCCCUUUUUUGCAUGGGCAGAGAAGUUUAUUAAAUAAUACUAGGAGAGAAUCCGCGCGUAUGCGCAGAUCUUGUUUUAAUUUAUAUUUUGAAUAAUUUGUAUUGAAUUUUAUGUUUACUAUUAUUGUAUUUUUGUUUAGAAUAUUUAUAAUAAAUUAUUUGUAAUCUCUUCUACACCAGUUGUGUCAAAUAGUCUAAUUUUUUCUUCGAUCUUCAUAUUCUUUUUAUUCUUGUAAAUCUUACUAAUAUAAUAUUUGUUAAUUUUCUUAAUUUUCUAUUUGAAUUUUUUUGGUUAUAUAUAUUUUAUUGAUACCAUCUUUUUAUUAUUAAAAAAAUUAUAUAUGACAUUUUUAUGUGGAUACUUUUUUUUACUAUUAUUUUUUUAAUAACUUUUAUCUUUUUAAUAGUUUAUUAAAUAUGCUUUGUGUUUUAUACUUUUAUUAGUUGAAUUUUUAUAUAAGAUUAUUUGAAACUUUUUAAUUUAGUCAGUCUCAUAAUUUUUUUCACUUGCAUUAAAAUUUAAUUAUAUUUUUAGUUUGUAAAUGAAUUUUAAAACAUUUGAAAAAAGAAAAUAGAACUAUGCAAUUAAAAAGUCUUAUAUUAUAUAAUAGUUAUAAGUUUUUAUAUAUUAAAAUUAAAUUUUAAUUUUAUUCUAAUAUAAAUAUAUGUUAAUAUUUAUUUAUGUUUUUAAUGUGUUUGCUUUAAAUAUGAUUAAUUAAUUAUUUUGUUAAUAUUUGAAGAGGAUAGGUGGUGCUCUCUCCAGUGCUGACGUGUCGCUCAACUGGAGAGAGUUGGCCAAAUUUUAUAUAUAUGACUAGGAGAAUACAUGCACGUAAUAUGCGGGUUUUUUCUUUAAUUAUUUCAAAUUGAUAUAUUUUUGUAUUUUUCUUAAAGAAAUAUAGUCAUCAUUUCUUCUAUGUUACUAUAUAAUUAUAAAUCAAUCAAUUUAAAAUUUAAUAUUAUUAAAAAAUCAAGAGUUUAUACAAAAAAGCUAUCAAUGUUUUAGCAUAAAUUCUUGUUUAAUAUUUAUAUAACUGUUAUUUAAGAAUCAGUUAAUAAAAAAAAACUAUUUUCUUUGAAUGGUUGAGAAUUUAAUACUAAAAUUUAUUAAUCAAUUUUUUUUUGAUAAUUGUAACUUUAAAUUAAAAAUUGACAAAUGUCAUCUCUAUAUUAACUCUAAAAUGCUGAUGUGUCACUCAUAUAUAGAGAGUUAGCCAUCUUUUAUAUAUAAGAUUAUAAGUAAACAAUAUAUUUGGUAGUUUAAUCUUCAUCUCUAAAGUAAUCAUUAUUUGCAUAGAUUAGUUUUAUGCAUUAUUUUAUUCAUUCAACUUUUAGCCUCAAAUUUCUCCUUUUUUGGCUAAAUUGACUAUCCUUACUGAUUUUUAUCUUCUCGUAAGCGUAGACGUGAAACCAUUUUAUCCAGUUGUAUGUAACAAAUCAAUCUUUUUUGCUAGCUUUGAUACCAUAUUUAGUUUCAUCUCUGAAAAUUUCAUUAUAUAUACAUUAAGUUUAAAGAUGAUUUUAGUUCUUCAUUCUCUUGAAAUUUCUCCCUGUUUAACGAAAAUUGUCUCUCUUUGGUUGAUACUUAUCUUUUAUGCAAGCGUGGAUACAAAACUUUAAUAUCAUGUUGAUACCAUGUUAAACUUUUUUAAAAUUAUAGUCAUUAUUUAUAGACAUUAAAUAUAUAGAUUAUUGUAACUAGGUGAAUCUCCGCACGUUACGUGCAAGUUUUUUUUUCUUCAACUAUUUCAAAUUUCAAAUUCCUAAGAAAAAUGCAAUCCUACUUUAUUAUGUGUUAGAAUAUUAUUAUAAAUCGAUCAUUUAAAAUAUAAUAUUAUUAAAAAAUUAAGAUUAUACAAAAAAAAAUCCAUCAAUAUUUUUAAUUAAUUAUAACAUAAAUUCUUGUUUAAUAUUUACAGAAAUAUUAUUUAAGAAUCAAUUAAUAAAAAACUUUUCAUUUUCUUUUAGUGUUUUAAAACUUCAUAUAAAAUUUAUUAAUUAAUUUUCCUUAAAAACUUUUGUAACUUUAAAUUAAGAAAUAUGACACAUAUCAUCCCUAUAUUAACUCUCAAAUGCUGAUGUGGCAUUCGUAUGAAGAGAGUUGGCCUUCUUUUAUAUAUAAAAUUUUUCAUUCUCUCUAGUCGGAAAUUUCUUCCUCUUUUGUCGGAAUUGUCUUUUGUUCUUCUAUGUUUUUAUAUUUCAUGCAAGCGUGUACAUAAAAUUAUUAUAUCAGAGCGUAGGUAAACAAUUCUUUUGUUAGCUUUGAUACCGUGUUAAGUUUCAAAUCUGAAUUAGUCAUUCUUUUAUACAUUAUUUUUUAUGGACGAAUUUAUUUUCAUUCUCCGUAGUUCGAUCUCUCUUCCCACGGAAAGACGAUUAAACUAAUAAUAAGAAAACCGCAGACUUUACAUUGAAACGAGCUGCAGAUAAAAUUUAGAAUAAAAUGGACUUUAAUGAUCCAGUUAGUAUGAACUAUGACACAUCACUUUCAAAACACACAUAGUAUAAAUGAACAAUUUAUUAAAAAGCUAGCUUUAAUACCAUGUUAGAAAAUAAACUAAUCCUUUUUGCUAGCUUUGAUACCAUGUUUAGUUUCAUCUCUGAAUUUUUCAUUAUAAAUAUACAUUAAGUUUAAAGAUAAUUUUGGUUCUUCAUUCUCUAGAACUUUUUCUCUGUUUAACGGAAAUUAUCUCUAUUUGUCAGUACUUAUCUUUUAUGCAAGUACAGCCACAAAAUUUUGAUAUCAAAGCGUAGGUAAUUAAACAAUUUUUUUGGUAAUUUUGAUAUCAUGUUAAUCUUUAUCUUCAAAAUAGUCAUUGUUCAUAUACAUUAAUUUUAUAGAUUAUUUUAAUUCUUCAUUCUCUCUAGCUGGAAAUUUCUUUCUAUUUUGUCAAAAUUGUCCUUUAUUUUUUUGGUUUUCAUCUUUCAUGCAAACAUGGACAGAAAACUAUUAUAUCAGAGCGUAGUUAAACAAUUCCUUUGUUAGUUUUGAUACUGUGUUAAGUUUUGAAUCUGAAUUAAUCAUUAUUUUAUACAUUAUUUUUAUGGAUGAAUUUAUUUUUGUUCUCCGUAGUCUAAUCUCUCUUCCCACAGAAGGACGAUUAAACCAAUAAUAAGAAAACCAUAGAUUUUUUAAUUAAAUAAGACCGCAGAUAAAAAUUAGAAUAAAAUUGACUUUAAUGAUCCAGUUAAAAUGAAGUAUGAUACAUCACUUUUAAAAUACAUGUAGGAUAAAUGAAUGACCUAUUAAAAACAUUAAAAAAGUCAAUAAGUUAGAAAAUAAACUAACCACACAUCAGAUUUUUUGCUUCAGAAAUAUAUCGAUUGAAAAACAAUGUUGCACUUGAUGUACAAAUGGCUUUUGAUUGAAUAACUAUUACAUUCAAUUAAAAAAACAAUAACGCCUAGAGAGACUAGAAGUGCCUUUAACCAAAGUAAUUAACUAACCGUCAACACCAUAGAUGGCGCGAUGCUCUUCGACAGAGGAUCAAGACACAAGCUGCUGUUUUUGAGACUUCAAAGAUAUAGAACAACCACCAAACUGAAUAAUAGAAUCUGUAUAAUAACGUCUUGUUGUUGGGCAUCAUGCCCGGCCGGAACUGCCCCAUGCAAUAAGAGACAGAUGAGUCUUAGCUUUUAAAAGAAAACCAUGUCACAGAUUGCCUUUGACCUUGAGUAAACAUAUAAACCUUGUUGUUGCAUCCCAAUGAGUCUGUUUUGGUUCUUGCAUGAACUAAGCAACAAUGUGGACCAGUGUUAAUCUGCAGGUUCAGGAAUUGUACCUCUUUUAACUAAAGCAAGACGUACGAUGGUUCUUCUCCAGAGGCACAGGUCUCCGAAAUGAUAUUAUGAUGGUCACAAAAUGUGAAAGCAGUUUUAAAAAUGUUUCCUACCUAAAAUCCCAAGCGCAAGGCUGAAAUCGAAGUAGUACUAGGUACAAAUUCACAGGGAGGAAGCAGAGUCGACCCUUGGCCAAUCCAAGAAAGCCUAUACUUCCGGCUGAUUCUUUUAUAAAAAAAUAUUUGGUCCUCAAUUAUUCAAAACUUGUCUUAGUCUGGUCAGACUGAUCGUAAAGUCUUAUGUGGCGCUUUUAGUCCCCAUUCCGUGUUCGAAUCUGCAAAUUGCCUUAGUUGUUGGGUCUAUAUGAAAAACGUUGAGAGUCUUUAGAUUUCUGGUAGUCUAUACUCUUAAGGGAAAAAUAAACUUCCUUGGCAGCCUGUUAUAAUCUUAUUUCUUGGACCCAACAGUACGAACAAUGAAAUCGCACUACACAAAACCAAAGAGAAUAUAAUACAGAGACAACAUAAACAACAAACGAUAUUAUUAUGCAAAGAGCAGACAUUACAACUCGAACACUGAGACAUUACAUUAUGAAACUUUAUUCCCAUAGAUUCUUUUUCUUGAGUUACUUCAUUACAAACUCACCAUGGUUCACUUAUAGUCAUACACACGUAUAACUGUAUUAUAUAGAUGUAGCCAUGCAUGGUGGUUAAUAUAAUAUGAAGUUUUUAGUUACCAGGCUGAGUCUCAACUGCUUCUACUCCGUGCCCUCCUCUUCCUCCGUGUCCACCGCGUCCUCCUCUUCCUCCUUUGUAUCCUCCCCCUCCUCCUCCGUAGUGUCCCCCUCCUCCUCCGUAGUGUCCUCCUCCUCCUCCUCCUCCGUAGUGUCCUCCUCCUCCGUAGUGUCCUCCUCUUCCUCCUCCGUAGUGUCCGCCGCGGCCACCACCAUAUCCAUCAGGUUUCACAGUUUCCUCACUCUCUGACUUCACCCCUGUCCAAAAAAAUAUAGAAAAAUCACAUUAUUUCAAAGAUAUUGUUUAGCACGUGCAAAUGUUCUUUCCUCUCCCCGAUUUCAAAAACGAAAUUUCUCUUAUAAACAUUUUAAAAUAUGUAUCGAAUCUCUUGUUUAGAAUAAAGAAUUAUGAGUUUCAAAAUUAAAUAUACGUUCUAUAUAAAAUUUUCACCAAUAUACGUAAGUGUCUUUUAUUACUAGGACAUCAACAUCGUACUUAAGUGUGUUUUUUGACUUAUAAGUCCAUAUAGUUGACCUUCGUUCAAAUCAACCUUCCGGACUUAACACGGACGAAAUAGACAAAUAGAGACAAUAUUAUCAAAUAUGGUACGUUUGUUUGGGUUCGAUUAGCUUCACGAACAUUUAUUUUGUUUCUAUAAAAUAAUUUUAUUUACCCGAUGAUUGCCUUUCUGCGGCAACUUCUGAGACGACGAGAAGUAAUGCAAAGAGACCCAAAAGAAUCAAAGCUUUGGAAGCCAUUUUCUUCUACUGCUUUUAAGUUUAUAACACUCUUUUGUUUUGUUGGAGAAAGAAGUGAUGAAUAAAAUGUUCGCCUGCAUGCUCUCUAUUUAAAGAAAGGGUAACGAAGAGGAGAAAAGUCAAAUAACUAAUCCGUGGACCGUAGUGCAUUAAAAAUAACGAGGAAUUUUAUUUAUUAAAGAGAUAAGUAAGGGUAUUUGCAUUAUUUGCAGAUAAUGACAAAAAGAGCAAUUCAGUAAAAUAGGAUUGAGACUGUGCUUCGCGCGGAUUGUAAUUUAUGUUCAUGUUUUUAUAUAUUUUAUAUAUUAUUUCUUAAGAAAUAAUUUGUUGAUAAUUUUUUCUUAGUUUAAUAGUUUUAUUUUUAAGUUUACAUUGUAUUAACAAUAUCUGUGUUCUGUUAGUUAUUCUUACUGGUAGAUUAAAAACUCUAUAAAUUAAUAAUAUUAGGACUUUGAUAUUUUAUUAAUUUUUAGAGUUAUUAAUUUAGAGGUUUCAAAUAAAAAACUAUUUCUUAUUAAUUUUAAAAUUAAAAAAAAAUCGUUGAAAUUUAUAAUAUUUUUAAAAAAUUAAAAAAAAUAAAAAUGAGUUCCAAGAAGACUUCAAUUUAAAUUAAACAAAAACAUAGUAGAUUAUCUCACUUAUAUGUUUAUAUCAAAUUUUAUUUAUGGUAAUUAUUAAUUUAUGAUAAUAAUGGGACCAUAGAUUUACAUAAGAGUUUUGUUAAGUUUAUUAUCUUAUUAUCUUAUCGAAUUGUGUCAUAAUUUGAACUGGCUCAACGUAACUCAGAACUAUGAAAAAUUAUUAAUUUAUGUAUUUAUUAAUUUAUCGAGUAUUAAUUUAUAGAGUUUUUAUUGUAUGUCUAUAUAAAAAUAGUUUUUUUAAUUAUAUUAUUAACUUCUGUAAUUUUUUAUUUUGUGUGUUUUUAUAUUUUAUCUGUACUAUUGUGUGACUCUAAUUAUAAUUAUUUAAAUUAUUUUUUUAUUUUUCUUAAUUUAUACUCUCUAAAUUAUUAUUUUUUAAUUCAUACUCCGUACAAAUUUUUAUUUUUAGUCAUCUAUUAUUUUGAAUUGUUGAAUAACUAAUUUAUCAUAUUUUUCUUUUUUUGAAAAAAAAAUUUAUACUCCUUUUCCAUCUUCAUAUUUUUAUAAUUUAUUAGUUUUAUCUUUUUUUUUUUUUUUAUCUUUAACGUUUCUGUUUUUGUAUUUUAUAAAAUUCAUCUUCAUUAGUUUCAUGUUCUUCAUUUUUUUAUUUAUUUUUUUCAUUUUCCAAUGGUUUUUGACUUCUACUUUUCUUCCUCCUGUUUUUUUUUAUUCUUUUUUCAUUGUCUUUUUUUUUAAUUAUCAUCAUUUUUCUAAUUUUUUUCAGUUUAUAUAAUAUAUUAUUUUUAAUAAUAUAUAUAUAUUUAAUCCAGUUAGUAUUACAGUUUUCUUUAAAUAUUAAUAUCUAAUUGCCACUUAUCUUUUUAUUAUACUAAUAUUUAUUUUAUUUAAUUUAAUUUGUACUAAAUAUACUAAUAACAAAUAUAAAUAUAUAUAUAUAUAUGUAUUAAAUGUUUAUUUUAAAUAUGCUUUAAUGUUAAAAUUUAUGAGUUUGUUGAUGUGGACACCCUAGAUGGAGAUAAAAUUCUCUUAUUAUAUUACAGAUUAUAAAAUAUUUGUUCUUUCUCAAGGGAACAAAAAUACUUUUUUAUUUUUUUGUUGAAUGUUUCAUUUGAUUGUUAAGGGAAAAAACAGUUUUUUUGUCCCAUAUCGUGUUACAUUUUUAUAUGGACAGGUAAUUUUUUUUUUUUAGGGCUAAACAAAUUUUAUAUAUUAAGAAUAAGGAUUACAAUCUGCAAAUACAGCAUUAGACAACCAUAAAGGUGGAUACAAUUUUGAUGAAUAAAAAACAGCAUUACACAACCAUAAAAGUGGAUACAAUUUUUAUAUGGACAGGUAAUUUAUUGAUUGGAUUUUUUUAUACAGUUUAUUAAAAUAAUUCGAAUGUUUCUCCUCCACGUAUCAUGCUACUUUCUAUUGAAUGAAACCUUUGUCUCAACUUUAAUUUUAUAUUUGAAGUAUAUAAAUAAUUUAGUGCGUUAAAUAUCGGUUUAUUUAUAUAUUUUUUUCUUGAUGGUUUAUUUGUGUUUGAGAAUUUUUUUUUUUUAACAUUUUCUUAGAUUAAUUAAAGAAAUCCAGCCGGUUAAAGCAGUACAGUGAAGCUGUAAAGAGCUCGUUCUGCUAUCUCAUCAGUUAAAAGAUUGUCUGAUUGAGGAAUGUGUUCGAAAAAGAUGCAAUUGAAACAGAGUGACAGAGAGACUAUAUCGAAAGUAAUCCCCGCGAUCUCUUUGAUUUUUGUCCCUCGAUUGAUUGCUCUGAUCAGAUCCGAAGAGUCCGAUUGGACAUGAAGCUUUGUGAUCCCGAGAUUUGUGGCGUGAGUCAUGGCAGAUCUCAGGGCUAGAGCUUCAGCGAUGAUCGGGGAGGUCACAAAUUCUUCGAUAUCCAUACCCUGGUUCCAUGGUGGCGAAUUUCCUCAACGGAAAACCCAACCCAAUCUGCCGAUCUGAUUCUCUUCCUUCCAGGCCACAUCGGUUUGCACAAUGGUAUGGUCUGUUGGGAUUUCCUUCGGAUCUCAUGUUUGAAGAGUUGAAAUCUCCCUUUCCUGUAGGUCAUGUGCCUGAAUCCAAUCUCUUGCAUUGCAGAUGGCUUUGUUCACCGUUUCUAAUGGUGUGAAUGUUCUGUUCUCGAACAGUCGGUGGUUCCUGGAUAACCAGAUGGCCCAGCAGAUCCAGGGGAAGAGUAGUCCGGCUUCUAUUCCUGUUGGAGGUAGAGUGACCCAUCCCUUCGAUGCUUUGAGCCCUGUUGCAAAAUCCGGAAUGAAAAAGGGAUCUAUGGUGUAUUUGAAGGGCGCCAGUGACCAAACCGCCUUGGCGAAGUGACAGUAGAGGAAAAGGUGGUCAGCUGUUUCUCUUUCUCUGCAUAGACUGCAGGAAGCGUUGUUGGAGAGUCCCCCGGUAAGUAGAUUUGCUCCAGUUGGUAGUGCUUUCUUGAGUAUCUUCCAUAGAAAGACCUUUAGUUUUAGGGAAGUUUUCUUAUGCCAGAUAUCUGAGUUCCAGUUAAUUGUGGUUGUCUGUGCAUGAGAGAGUGGUUACUUCAUUCGCUGAUGUGUCGCUGUGUGGUAUCCUGACUUGGUCGAAUAAUUUCCAUCUCUGUUUGGGGUCCAAAUGUAAGAGUCUUCUCCGCCUCUUUUGCUUGGUUUUAUGCUUAAGAUCACAGAUGAGAGGUGUGGGACAAUAACUUCAAUCUUUCUUGUGUCCCAGGUGGUUGAGUUCUCUUUUAUUAGGUCUGAGACCAGCAGAUCUUUAUUGGCGUUGGUGGGAAGGCCAACUACUCCUAGCAGUGAUGUCGUCGAUAGCCAGGGAUCGGACCAUAGGUUGGUUUUUCGUCCAUUUCCAAUUAUUUUGCUUAUAUUUGAUUGCAGGAUAUCUUUGCCAAUCAUGAUUCCCCUCCACCCGUGGGAAGAGGAAGAUGUUGAUUCAGCUCUGAGGAAGGUUGUGGACCGGUGGUAUCUUCUUUUGAGAACUCGGGCCAGUAGACACUAUGGGUUUAUCAAGAUUCUCCAACUCAGUUUGGCCAGUAAGGUGUCGUUGAAGCACUCAAUGUCACAGAAACCAAGACCACCCUCUUUCUUUGUUCUUGUUAGCUUUGACCAUGCUAGCCAACACAUUUUUCUUUUUUCAGGGUUGGCGUCCCACCAAAAGCGAGUAAGAGCGGAUUGGAUGCGUUUGCAGAGACUUGCAGGGAGCUUGAAGCACGACAUCGUGUACGCUGGGAUGGCUGAGAGAACUGUCUUCAGCAUCGUGAUUUUACCCGCCGAUGAUAGAAAUUUUGUUGACCAACUCGUUGACGUAUCCUGUCCACAAUCUGAGUAAAGAGGUCUUUUUUCCUUCUCCCAAAAUGUUCGGGUAAGCCAAGGUACUUCCCUUUACCUCCCUCUUGACUGAUUCCCAGAUCCUGUUUAACUCUUUCUCGUACAUCAUCAGGAGUUUUGCAUGAGAAUGUAAAGGAUGAUUUUUGUAGAUUGAUCUUCUGUCCCGAGGCUUCUUCAUAUUUCCUGAGAAUUGCCAUGAGUUCUGCGCAGGCUUGGGGGGAUGUUUUACAAAAGAACAUUGUGUCAUCCGCAAAUAGUAAAUGGUUUAUUCUUGGGCUUUCUUUUGCAACUCUAAUGCCUGACAAGCGGCCAUUCUGUUGAGCUUUUUUGCAGAGACCAGAGAGCACUUCACCACAUAUGAUAAAUAUAUAGGGUGAUAGUGGAUCACCUUGUCUGAUGCCGCGUUGAGGGAGGAUUGGAACGUACGCUGGGUCAUUCACCAGAUACGAAUAGGAGACUGAGGUGAUGCACAUCAUUAUCCAAGUAAUCCACUUCUCAUUGAACCCAAGCCUUUUCAGCACCGUUUCAAUGAAGCCCCAUUCCAGGCGAUCAUAUGCCUUACUCAUGUCAGUUUCAACUGC
rnacentral:lncRNA from 1 species